UCUGGGGCCAAUGUAAGUCCAAUUUGCGCAAGCUCUUUAUGCACCACAGCUCUUCUGGAAGCUUUCUCAAGUAAGCACAUGGGUUGACAAUUAAGCUUUCAAGUUUCGGCAUUGCUCCAGCCCCCAUCGUCCACUCAUCUAGCCAAUACAUUGAUUUCAGGUGCAAAACCUUAAGUUCGGGAAAGCUACUCAAGCCAACACAAGCAAGCUUUCUUCCUAAAUACGAGUUCUGCUUCAGUUUCAGCACUCGAAGGCGUGGAAGAUUUUCCAGAAUUGGCAUGGGAUCCUCCAUUAGCUCAGUAUUUGAUAAGCUCAGUUGGAUCAGACUUGGGGGAAAUUGGUAUUCAGACUGGACCAUCCGUGAGGGCUUGCUCUCAUUCACCAGCUUCAAGCAUUCAAGUUUGUGGAGUUCGCAAAGGCUUUUGGAAACCCCAGAUUGAUAGUAACUCAAAUCUCCAGAUAUCCGAAGAGUCUGAACACUUGGUAGUCUGCCCAAUAUAUCAGGAGUACAACUACUAGGGUUUAAAGCUGAUAUGAAAAUGAGUUUUUUCAGAGAGCUAGAAUAAUUUUUUGGAGGUGCGGGCAGAGUGAUAGAACCAAAGUUUAGAUGCAUGAGUUUUUGCAUCAUCCAAAUAUCCUCUGGUGACUGAUCUAUGUAGCUAGAUGGCAUUUCUAGUGUUUCAAGGUUUAAAAGGGUGCAUAGCAGUGAAGGAAGGCAUUUGAGCGAAGGGAUAUUCAAUUUCAAAUACUUCAAAAGAUAUAAAUUUUCUAAUGCGGGUGGAUAUUGGUCCAGGACUGCAGAACCCAUGUUCAAUACCCGAAGGUAUUUGAACCUUUUAAAAAAAUUCUCGCAAUCUUUCGGAUUAAGAUGAUUGCUUUCUGAACUGUGAUUCAGAAAUGAUUGGAGAUACAUGUCAGACUGUUGUAAAAAAAAGAACUCAAGCAGAUCUUCCAAAAUGAAGCACCGUUUAGCAUUUUCAAUUGAUUCCCCUAUCCAUGCAGGCAUUCGGACAAAUCUCGUCUUCUCUGCCACCAAACCCAAUGAAGUAAAUACAAAACUUGGAACAUAACACGCUUUAAUUGUGCCUCCGGCUCUUCUCGUACUCACUUUAAUGAAGCCGCGAUGGAUUAGUUCUUUCAAGUAAUGUUCGGCAGUUUCUUCACCGUUGUAUGGUAUGAAACCUUCAGCUACCCACAACUGAUAUAAUUGCCUCGUGGAUAUCUCGAUGCCUGGAGGGAAGACACACAAAUAGAUGCAGCAGACUUUCAAGUGAAAAGGUAACUCCAUCACAGAGAAAAUUUGUCUCCAUACUGUCGGAAUCGCUUCGCUUUGAAGAUAAUUUUCUAAUGGCAUACUUCCAUAGUGUAGGAUGAAAAAUUGCCAGGCCUCAUGCUUUAGUCUGAUCAAUGGUCCUCCAACGAGCACUGAACCAUGCCGAAUCUUCUCUCCAUUUUCCAUUUCCAACGACUCAAGGAGGUCUGGAUCAGCGGCCAAUAUUAAUACUCUGCUUCCAUUCUCAUUAUCAGGGAGAACUUCUUCGAGAUCAUCCCAUAUCUCACGGUCAUUGAAGACGUCAUCAAGCACAAUAAAGUACUUCUUGUUUGUUAGGUAAUCUCGAAGAAUAGAUUUCUUCAAUUGAUAAUCUUCACCGAUAAUUACACUAACCCGAGCUGGAGGCAUCACAGACUUGAUUAUGCCAUCCAAUAUCUUGCCAAAAUCAUAACGUAGAGAAACCCUGACCCAAGCAUGACAGUCAAAAUAGAACUUGACAUGAUUACUGUUAUAAGUAUGUGCAGCAAAAGCAGUCUUAUCGAAGCCACUGCUGUCGAGAAUUGCAACCACUGAAAGCCCAGAUGGUCCCUCAAUCAAUAGAUCAAAAAACUUCUCUCUGCCCCUUUCAAAUUCACUGAUAUCGAGCCGAGGUUGUCCCUCACUCAAUAGGCGAAUGAUUUCGUUACGUUUUUCACUGAUAUCAAAACCAUUGUCGCCGGGUGGAAGUUGUUGCGUCCGAUUUCUAAUAUCAAUGAUUUCACUGAUAUCAAAACCAUUAGUGCUGCUUUCACUUUCGUUUUCACUGUUUUGCUGCUGCAUAAUGUUGAUGAAGAAUGUGUCAAUGGCUUCCUCAGAUUCAUGGACAAAGUGAUUGAUGUCCUUAAGAAUUUCCAGAAUGUCUGAUCUUUUAACGUCUUCUUCAUCACUUUCUUCUAAGUCCAACAGUUGCAAUAAAGGCAAAGACAUAUUGGAUUCAGCGAAUUCUUGUCUGAAUAGUUGAGACAAAAUCCGAGCCAUGUCAGCUUCAUAGUUUCCCGACAGAGUAGUAGUAAUAAUUUCAGACUCCGUAAGAAGGUUUUGAAAAAGCGGGGCUAAAUUUGUUGAAUCAGUCAACGUUAACGUGCCUUCUUCACCUGCUAACACCCUUUUCAACCUCUCACAAAAUAGUCGGAGGUGGACGUCCAGCAUAUCUCCUUCUCUCUGUAGCACCCAGAGGUAUUGUUUUUUGCUCCAAGAAAUAUUAAAAGGAUUGGUUCUAUCUCAAAGUGGUUACUGGUGUAAAAUUAAACGCCAUGGGAGAAUUUGAAGGGAAGAUGCCAAGGAACUGGCGAUGUGGCUAAAUUACACAAAUACGGCAUUAUUGCUCAUUUUUAACUCAAAAAAUUGAUACCAAGACGCUUGCCUUUUGAAAAGAAGAGGUAUCCAACCUUUAUCUUAUUUAAUUACUACCAUGACAUGAUUGAUGGUGCUUAAAUCAAUUGUUUCUUUAUUAAUUUAAAGAAUUUUUCAUUAAAAAAAUUAUUUUAAUAUCAAAUACCCUUCAAUGGCAUAACUGCCGCAGGCCCAGAAACAGGAUUAAUUAAAAUUUUUUGAAUUUUUGGGCAAGGAAAGAUUUGAAAUUCUAGUUAUGCAACCCAAGAGGGAGUGAAUUAGAAUUCUAUAAAUUAUUUAAUUUAUAAAGAAAACCUUAAUGCAAAUAUAAACCAAAUUCAAAGCAAUAACAAAUAAGGUGAUCACAAUAUAAAAAGAUAAGGGAAGAGAGAUUCAAACACAUAGAUUUUUACUUGGUUCGGCCAACCUCGCCUACGUCCGCGCCUCCAAGCUUUCCGAGCUUAAAGAUUCCACUAAGCAAGCCUCCAAGGCUUCAAAUGCUUACACUUGACUUCCAAGGUGUCAAUAACCUUUACAACAAGAGAUUAUCCCAAUCUCUUUAACCCAAGUGUAUCCCAACACUUACAAUCACUCAAAACAAAAGAUUACAAAUUUGUUUUGACUCUCACAAUAUUUAAGAUUACACAAUGAUGCCCAAUAUGUCAAUAGAUGAAGCAAGAAUGUGUUCAAAGCUCUAUGAAGAUUGUAUUCUCGAGUAUAAGCUCAAUAGUCGUGUUGUGAUCAAUCUUGUUUGAAUUUGAAUGAGCUUAUUUAUAUUUGGAGCUGAAAAACUAGCCAUUACAAACUGUCGGCCCGAAAACGGUUCGCUGUUAACCAUUAACGGUUAACCGUUUAGGCUGGUCAAAAGUUACCGUUGGGCCAAAUUUCAAAUAAACGGUUUGCCGUUUAGGAUUACCCCUUCGCCGUUAAAUUCUAGAGACCUGCAAGAUGAAUAUCAGUUAUCCGUUUACAUUAAACGGUUAAAGAUUUGCAUGAAGUGACUUCUCUGGAUAUUAUCGGUUAACCGUUUGUAAUAAAUGGUUCGCCGUAUGUUUCCAGUAACCUGCAAAACAAUUUAGCCUUAUCCGAUUUUGUUAAACGGUGCCAGAAGAGUACAACCUUCAAUUCUGGAUUUUAUCGGUUAACCGUUUAAAUAAACGGUUCACCGUUAAAUUCCAGUAGCCUUCCCAGCUUUUUGUGUUUUCCAUUUUUCUUAAUCGGUUAGAGCUUAGGCAAUAUGUUGCUCUCUGGUUUUAAUCGGUUAACCGUUUGAAAGAAAACGAUUCACCGUUUAUUUCCAGAAUCACAUUUUAAACCAGAUUUUGCAGAAAGUCAUUUUCUAAUUUGAAAGUCCAUCUUUUAUGAAUAUGAUUGGAAUGAUUAUAAGGCUUUCAUUUAUUAAGGAAUAGCUCCAACAUUUUAAUCAAAAACCAUUUAAAGUUUGUUAUCAUCAAAAUCAAUAUUAUUAACAUAUUCAUGUUAACAAUAGUAGUAUUAAACAUCAGAAAGCUAAGGUUGUUCUGUUAAUGAAUUGAUAUUGACAUAAUUUUAUUUUGGUUUCCGGGGAAAAAAAAACAUUUGUUGACAAGCAAGAAAAUAUUUUUAAAUUUUACAAUUUAUUAUACAUAUUUUAUCAUAUUACAAUAAUUUUAAUAAUAAAUAGAAACAUAAUAUUACAAUAAAUAAGUUAAAGUUUAAAUUAUUUUAAAUAUUAUAAAAAAUAAUUUUAAUAUUAUUAAUAGGAAGACAUUUUGUUAAUUUUAAAACCUUUUUAACCCAAAGGUUUAUUUAAAAGCUUUAUAAUAAACAUAAAUAUAAGAUUAAAAUAAAUAUCAUAAUUUGAAAUUUUUAGUAUUAUUUUAAAUAUUAAAAAUACUUUAAUAUUAUUAGCCUACUACAUUGAUUUUAUUAUUUAUAUUAUAUUCAUAUUGAUUAAAACUUUUUAAAGUCAAUUUUUUAGUCAGUAUAUUCAAGAGGUAUCAUAGUUAAAGAAAAGAUUUUGGUGUUAUUUUUUGAAAAUUUUAAGGUUUAAAUGAUAAUUUUUUAAAAUUUUAAGGAUGUAGGUAUUAUUUUUCCGACAAUUUAUUUUAUUUUUGAGGAAUUCGAUGAGAAAUAUCAUGAGAGAAGGUUAAUUUUACAUUCUUUACCUUUAUGAAAAAAGUGGAAACCAAGAAGUAUUCAAUUUUGUAUUUUUUGUUUGUAAUUCAAAAAAUGCAUCCACCAAACAAUCUUAUCUUGAUUUUUUCACUUUAUUCAUUUUCGAUCCUUUAAUCCAUCUAGUAUCUGCAGCCCCCGCCAUUUUUACAAAUCUCCAUCCGACAUCUACCCUAUCAAACAAAGUUGAUGGAAAUUGAACAAUUGCUUUUUGAAGUGGACCCAAUAAGUGGACAUUUUAUUAAUAUUAAACAAAGUUGACGGAAAUUGAACAAUUGCUUUCUAUGAGCCACUUAUUUUUAACAUUAGCGAUCUUAUCUGGACUACUCCAAUUAUUGAUGUAACUCCAAUGGUUGCAUCAACAGUUGAAUGUAAGAUAGUGUUAGCUCUUCUUUGAGAAUAUAGAGUGAUCUUUCUUUGUUUCUCUGUUGCGACGUGCUACUAUAAAUUUCUUUACCUUGCAGUUUAUAUAGUCUUGCUGUUAAUGAAUUCGCGGAGGCAUUAUUGAUCCAAUCUCAGUGAAGUAAUUGUGGGUGGAAAAUGAAUAAAGGGUAAGAGAACGUAGCUCAAGUGCUGAAUUGGCUAUUAAAGAAGAGUGUCACUUGAUCACAAUCACAUUGAUGCACAACUCACUCGAGGCAAAUUUCAUCUAUAUAUGUACUGCAAAUUCAGCCAAACCAUACAUGCAGGAACAAAACUAAAAUGUAGUUCUAAUCAAAACUGUAAUUAAAGCUACAAAAGGCUUGCUCAAUCCAAAAACUUAAAAGGAAGAUUUUACUCAAGUUUGUCCCCAAAAGACAGCUGAAUUGAAAAAUAUUGACUAUUGAAUCAAUGCUCAAUUACAUUUGAAAUGGAAAGCUUGGCUGCAGUUACGAUGUUUUUCCCUCUGAUUUUCUUCCAAAACAAAUUCAUUUGUAAACAAUAACGGAAGUAGCAAUAAUUUAUUCAUCAAAGAAAAUAUCCAAGUUUUCAACUAACAAAUCCUUUUGUCUAAACUAAAAAAACUUAUAUUUUUAAAAUCUAUCUACAAAAUGUUGGAAAUAAAGAGUGAUCUAUCAACUCGGUAAAUAAACUCAUACAUAAUGUUUACAAUAAUGAUAAAUUACAUAAUAAUUAUUAUAAAGAAUCAUAAAUUAGAAAAAUAUUUUAAGAUCAAAUUGCCUUCAAUGCUGAAUUACAUUUGAAAUGGAAAGCAUGGCUGCAGUUACGAUGUUUCCCCCUCUGAUUUCCUCCAAAACAAAUUCAGUUGUAAACAAUAACGGAAAUAACAAUAAUUUAUUCAUUACUCAAAUUUUUUCAACUAACAAAUCCUCUUGUCUAAACUAAAAAAACUCAUAUCUCUAAAAUCUAUCUGCAAAAUGUUGGAAAUGAGGGGUGAUCUGUCAAUUCGGUAAAUAAACUCGUGCAUAAUGUUAACAAUAAUGAUAAAUUACAUAAUAAUUAUUAUAUAGAAUCAUAAAUAAGAAAUAUUAAUCAUUUCACAAUCUAUUACGUAAGUAAGAUAAAUUUCAUAAUAAGUUAAGUUAUAAUGUAAUAAAUAUUUUCAAUAUGCUAAGAUAGGAUUGGUCCUAUCUCAAAGUAGUUAGUGGUGUAAAACUGAUGGUUGUCGAAGCCAGCAAAAAUAAAUACCUACUCUAAAUAAAUUGUGUAUAGUGAUUGAGCAGGGUCGUGUCCACAGAGAUCGGUAAUUAUUUAAAUCAUUUUAAAAUGUAAAAUGCAAAAUGGGGGAAUUGUUGACAAUAAUAAAAAUCAAAUUAAAAUAACAAGAAUGUAAAUUAAAAUUGUAAUUCAAAUUGGGGAAAAAGUAGUAUUAGACUUCAGAAAGCUAAGGUUGUUAUGUUAAAGAAUUCAUAUUGACAUAAUUUUAUUUUGGCUUUCGGGGAAAAAAAUAUUUGUUGACAAGCAAGAAAAUAUUUUUGUAUUUUACAAUUUAUUAUACAUAUUUGAUCAUAUUAAAGUAAUUUUAAUAAUAAAUAGACACAUAAUAUUACAAUAAAUAAAGUAAAGUUUAAAUUAUUUUGAAUAUUAUAAAAAAUAAUUUUACAUUUGAAAUGGAAAGAGUGGUUUUAAACACCAGAAAGCAAAGAUUAUUCUGUUAGACAAUUGUUAUUGACAUAAAAAAUAAUUUGGUUUUCAAGGAAAAAAAACAUAUUUGUUGACAAGCAUGAAAUUUUUUUUUUGUAUUUUACAAUCUGUUAUUACAUAUUUUAUCAUAUUAAAGUAAUUUUAAUAAUAAAUGUAUAUGUAUCUAGAUUGUAACUAUAUUUUAAAAAAUAUAAUUUUUUUAAUUAUUGCACAGAAAAUGUAGAAAAAUGUCUAUGAAAUAAUAUUAUUAGGACUAAGAAAAAAUAUUAUUUUAGAUAAGUUAUAUAUUUAUUAUUGAAUGAAUAAUUUAUUAAUUUAUUGAUAAAUAAAUAUUUAUUAAUUUAAAGAGAGAUUUUUUUUGGUUUUAGUAAUAGUUUGUUUGUUACAUGUACACACUUAUAAAGAAACACAAAAAGUGCUUGCUCAAGUCAAUAGUAUUUGCUUUAAUCGCUACUGUUCAUAAUAAUGUAGCUAAGUUAGGAAAUUUGUAAUUAUACUAUGGUUCUGUUUUGUAACGCCCAAAUUUCUAUUAUUUUAUUUUAUUUUUAAUGGAAUUUAUAAAUGGCGUUACUGCCCUUAUAAAAAGGGUUAUUCAUGGGAUAAUUUUUAGGAAAUGGUUAUUUUUCCAAAUUCAAUAGGGUUUCUUAAGACUCCCUAUAAAUUAAUAUUUUUUUUCCCUUCGAUACUCGAAGUCCACGACGAUUCUUCUUCUUCUCUGCUGCUCAUUAUGCUCCUACCCAAACCCUAGGAUUCAAACUUUUGCUUAGGAGAGAAUCAAAGCGAUUGGUGUUGGAGGUGAUUGAGGCUCUUAGAGGCUUAGAGGUCUGUUAAUUCAAAUUCUUUUGUCGAGAUAAGUAAUUUCAUUCCUAAUAUACUGGAUAUGUAUAAGUAUUUUGAUGUUAUUAUAAGAGUUUUUAUACUUCUUAGAAGAUUAAUAGAUUUUCAUACCAAAAUCAGUUUAUGAAAAUGUUUUCAAAUCUGAAUUCUUUUGAUAAAAUAUUUUAUAAAUGCGUUUUAAUAUGUAAAUUAUUUUAUGACAUGACUGCCUUUUAUAAUUUUGUCUAUGAAAUAUUUUUGCAAGCCUAAAUUGUUGCUAUAGACUUUCAUGAAUCUAAUACGAAUGUUUUGUGCCUAUGUAUGAUUUUAAUUAUUUAUGACUGUACGGGGGCCACCUCUUGAGACUAUAUGGGGGCCACCUCUUGAGGGCCAAAGCGCCGCAAAGUGCCACAUAUAGUGCAAAGUGCCACGUAUAAGUCAUUAUGUUUUGGCUCAUUGUCCGUAGUUAUUCUGAUUCUAAUUCUGAUUGUAUUAUACGAUAUAUUUGUUCUGGACUAGUACUAGGUUUAUGUUCUAAGUGUGCACACGAUAUUCUGAUUCUGUUUCUGGUCAGGUCACCGAGACUAUAGGUGAUACUAUGUGACAUGAGCUAACUAUCUGCUUUCUGUAUACACUUUAUACGAUUUGCUUUCAUAAUUGAUUAUUCUUUUGAUACUCUGAAUUACCAUGAAUUUAUGUUAUAUAAUUGAAAUAUGUUGUUUUAUGAAGUUUAUGAGUUAUAAUAUAUGUUUUUGAAUAAAAGAAGGCUUGCAAUAUUUUUGAUAUCGAUAGGCCUAGUGUAUUAGGAAUGAUUUUACCUACCGAGUUGACAGCCCACCCCUCGUUAUUACUUUUUGCAGAUUAAGUUCCUUUUAAGAGGUAUGCGUAGCUUUGGAGUUAGAGAUUUCGUUUCCGUUUGCUAUUUGAAUAAGAAGAGGAAUAGACUCAUGUUUCUUUUUAGUUUAUUUCUGUUAUGAACUUGUAAUUUGGAGUUUGAGACUUUUGUUAUUGUUAUGUUUUGGAAGAGAUUAUUUAGUGUUAGACGUAUUAAUUUGUGGAUUUAUUUGAAUAAGAAUUUGAGGUAUUUGAGUUUGGAAUUUAUAAGUAAGGAUUACGAUUUGUAAGUAACCUCCUUCUUCAUGUGCUCCGCACGUGUUAGAUUUGGGGUGUCAUAUGUUUCGUAUAACUUUUGAAGUAGAGCUUAUUUAAAUAGAGUAUUCGUCAAUAAAGCUUCUAUAAAUAAAGAUUUUACUAAAAAAAAUUUAGUUGUUUGGUUGUCAAUGUCCAAAUUGACGAACUUUUGUUCCUUUGCUAACAUGUAUUUGUUUUAUUUAAUAAUAGAAGUUUGGUUUACAAUUACACCACCUUCAAAUCAGCUGAGCAUUUUUGCAACCGGUCACAUUAUACAUUAUACUAAUAGCAUCGGCAAGAGUUUUCGAUUGUUGCAACUUGCAAUGGACGCGAUGGGAGAAAAUGAGAAUCUUGUUUAAUUGCAAUAUUGACAAACCUAAUCCUUUCGUAGGGAGUAAUUUAAUAAUCGCUUGUUAUAAUUGAAUAUGUAUAAAGAAAGGAAAAUUCUAUUCAUAGAUUUCGACUUAUUUUUUGUUUAAAGUAAUUAAUCAUUCAACCAUCUUCAUUUGCCUCUGGCCAAUGCCCUUGUAGAUUAGUUGAACCGUUAAUUACUUAAUUCAGAUAAUUACAGUGUCCUUUUCGCUAAUUAAUUAUGAUUAUAUACGCUUUCAUAUAGCAAGUGGCUUUGUAGAUCUAAACCAAGUUGCUAUUUCAAAACGUUAAUUAAGUGAUUCUCCUCAUUGUCAUCAGCGUUAUACGCUCUAGGAAAAUAGCUCAAUUGUUUCCCUGCAUUGAUUUUCAUUGGUACGUGAUUUCUUAUGAAAUUCUUUUGAGCUUUCCUUAUUAAAAAUGCUUGAGCUUUUAUCACCCAAUACGGAUAUCAAUUAACUUGUGAACGAUUUUGUAAUGAAACUAGGAGUUAAAUAAGAUUUUUACAUGAUGAAUUUUUAUUUUUUUAAUUUUUUGAUGUAGUCAAUUUGCUAAUUUUAUGUAUUUCAUAUUCAACGGAAUUUGGGCACGGAAAGUUUGGAUUCUAAUAUUUAUAUGUUUAGCUUUAAUCAGUUUGACUUUCGUAAUCUUUUUCCCCUCAUCAUUAAGGGAUUCAGAAUUAGAGAAACGUUAGGAAGAGGAAGAAAAUAAUUUCGGAAAUAAGUAAGAGGGAAAAAAUUAUCAAAUUAGGAAUGAUUUUUUGUAGAGUAUGUUGCGUUUACUAAAAUGAAAUCGAAAUGAGCUGGAAUCAGAAUGGAUAAAAAUGCGAAUGUGCUGGAAUAAGAAUAAGUAAUGAGAAUCAGAAUAAGUUGUUUACUUGAACUGUAAGAAUCGAAAUCGAAAUGAGCUGGAUUGCAAUUACUUUGUCCUACAAUUAGAAUCAAAAUGAGUUAGAUUGUAACAAAUUACUAAAAGGUACUUAAUGAAUUAUUGUCAUAAUUAUUAUUUUAUAUUUUAAUUAUAGUGAUUAUUUAUUCUAAAUUAUUAUUAUUAAUUAUUUUCAAUAAUAUAUUAAUAUGUUAAUUAAUUUUAAAAAUUAUUAAUUAAUUUAUUAUAAUAAUAUACUAAUUAAUUAUAAUAAUUAUAUUAAUAAUUAUUAUAAAAAUAUAUUAAUUAUUAAUAAUGAAAUUACUUAUUUAAUUAUAAUAAUAUAUUAAUUAUUGUGAUUAUUUAUUCAAAAAUUAUAAUUAUUAAUAAUUAUUGUUAAUAAUGUAUCAAUAUAUUUUAUAUUAUGAAAUUGUGAUGUAUUGUAGACAAAUAAGGGAAUUUGGUACAAUAAAUUCUUAAUAUCUUAGUACAAAGUAUGGUACAAUGAUAUUUUAACUUAUUGUAGACAGAUUAAAUUUCGACACACUUAAUCCAUAAUAAAAUUAGUGGAAAAUAAUGAUAAUUUAUACAAUUAAUCUUUUGAGCAAUAAAAAAAUAAAAGAAAAAGAAGUUACUAAAUUAUGUUUACUGUUAAGAGUGAAUCCACAAUCCUAAAUAAUUUAUUUCCAUCGUUUCACUUAAAUUAAAUAGUGUGAAUUUAAAUUCUAAUUUUUUGAUAAAUUAAAAAGAAAUAAAAAAUUAAAAUUUUUCUCUAUGGAUCGACCUCGGAUUGAUCAAUUUAUUUCAUAACAACACACUUUUAUACUUGAGAGUUAUAAAUAACUUUGAAGUUGUGUUAAGUUUUUGACGCUCUUACGGGGGAAAAAUAUUUAUUUUAUUUUAUGUAUGGGUCAAACUUGAAAGUAUAUUUUAAGAUAGCUGCUAAUAUGCUCUAUUAGACAAUGAUAACGUAGUUGUUUGUGGUGUUCAUAAUGAGUUUAAUUAUGAUUCAACAAUUUAAAAUAUGAAAACAUAUGGAAGAUGGCCGUAAUUAAAUUGAUUGCAUGAAAAUAUUUCAAUGAAAUUUUAAAAAUUUGGUACUUAUUAUCUUAUCAAAAGUUUUUUAAAUUAUAUUACUACUUCAACUUAACUCCUCCUGGAUUGAUUGUAUUGAAUUUCCAGCACCGCCAUUGCUUCUACUUGAAAGCCAUUUAAGUUUGUGUAAGCUACCUAUAGUUUGAAUAACAAUUUACUCAUGAAUUGCUGUUCAUGAUAACAAUUUGAUUGAAAGUGCGGCUGCACUAAUUGUUCUCGUACGACCCCAGAAUGCUGUUAAAUCAGUUGUAUUGGAAAUUAAUCAACUGGUUACAACUCUACACCCCAUCAAUAUUUAAGCAGUCCACAGAACAUUAAUUGUGUUUUGAAAUUUUAAUGAGUCUCACGUGUUUUUCACGUGAUAUGCAGUAAAAACAAAAUUAAAAAAAUGAAAACAUUCAGCCCCAAAGCCAAAAUCCCCAACUCCUUCCAAAUUGGUUCCGCAGCCCCCAAAUCCCUUAAACCCAAAGCACUCUAAAACGACUCUCCUCAGCCAAAAAGAAAAAGGUCACCUCACCUCUCCUCUUCUUCUUCCAUGGCGAUCAACGGCGGCACAAGCACGGGCUGAUCUCCUUCGUCAGUAACGAUCAACGGCGGUACAAGCAUGGACAGAUCUUUUUUUUGGCAAUGAUGAACAGCGGCACAAGCAGAGUCGUCCUCAGGUACGGAUUUGAUGUUGGUUGUGUUGUCAAGUAGCGAUUCAUGUUUGGAAGAGAAUCCGCUCACAAGGACCUGGAGCACUUAAUCGAAGAUCUUAAGCGAGGAAUUCGCUUCCUCCUCAUUCCUAAUCGGUGCCUGAUUCAUCAGUAUGAUUAAGGAUGAAAAUUGAGAAAGAAGGACGCAUUAGGUUUGAGACAUUGGUUGAAAAACGCUACCCCGGUGGCCACGCUGGAAACAUAUGUUCCGUGGCUUCUUGCGUUGUCUGUGAGGAAUAUGUACUGCUGUAGAAGAUAAUUAUGAAUCAAUGGUAAUUGGCGUGUUGGUUUUGGUGCCGAUUUCCUCUUAUUUUCCAGAAAAGGCUUGUAAUUUGUUCACCUCAAGAUUCAAUUUUGUUAUUGAAAAUGGAUGGCUGUAAAGACCUAUUGGCCUUUCAUUAUAUUAAUGUUUUUGACAGUAAGUUUGUAAUAGUUAGUGCAGGGAACUUAUUGAUUCUUGAUUAUAUAUAACGGUGGCCCUUAUUACUUUAAAAAAAAAAAAAAAAUUGAUGAUGGGUUUCGUUUUGUAUAAGUGUUUGGAGUGUUGGAAAAUUAACAUUGUAUAUUUUAGAUAGUUGAGUUCCAUAGUAAUAAAAAGCUACGGAUUUGUUUUCUUUUUAUUGAAAUGAAAACAUUUUUCACUUGUAUAAUAGAAAAUAUACUAUAUCUUUAAUACUUUUGUCAAAUUUAUUAUUUAAAAUUUAUAUUUACUACAUAUUAUUAAUUUUUGUUUCAUAGUCAUAGCUUUUUUUCCACAGUAGCUGUAGCUUAAAAGAUACAGCACCUCAAUUCCAAACGCACUCUAAUUAAAAAUUUUAGAAUUUUUGGGCAUGGAAUUGAAAAGAGUAGUAUUAAACAUCAGAAAGCUAAGGUUGUUCUGUUAAAGAAUUGAUAUUCACAUGAUUUUAUUUUGGUUUUUGGGGAAAAAAAAAAUUGUUGACAAGCAAGAAAUUAUUUUUAUAUUUUACAAUUUAUUAUACAUAUUUUAUCGUAUUAAAGUAAUUUUAAUAAUAAAUAGAAGCAUAAUAUUAAAUAAAGUUUAAAUUAUUUUGAAUAUUAUAAAAAAUAAUUUUAAUAUUAUUAAUAGGAAGACAUUUUGUUAAUUUUAAAAUCUUUUUAACCCAAAGGUUUAUUUAAAAUGUUUAUUAUAAAUAAAGAUAUAAAAUUAAAUAUCAUAGUGUAAAAUUUUUAAUAUUAUUUUAAGUAUUAAAAAUAUUUUAAUGUUAUUAGUCUACUACAUAGAUCAUAUUACUUAUAUUAUAUUUGCAAUGAUUAAAAAAUUUUAAAAUCAAUUUUCUAGUUACUAUAUUCGCGAAAUAUUAUGGUUAAAGAAAAGACCUUGGUGUUACUUUUUACAAAUUUGAGUGCCUGCAUGAUAAUUUUUUCAAAAUUUAAGAAUGUAUGUGUCCUUUUCUCCAAUAAUUUAUUUCACUUUUGAGGGGAAUCCAAUGAGAAAUAUGAUAAGAGAAUGUCAAUUACUUGUCAUUUUCUAUUUUUUCUGUAAGCUAUUUAUUUUGAGCACUGGUGAUCUUGUCUUGACUACUCCAAUUAUUGAUGGAACUCCAAUGGCUGCAUCCACAGUUGAAUAUAUGAUAGUGUUAGCUCUUAUUUGAGAAUUCAGAGGGAUCUUUCUAUGUUUAUCAAUUGCAAUGUGCUAGUAUAAAUUUCUUUACCUUACAGUUUAUAUAGUCUUGCUGUUAAAGAACUCACUGAGGCAUUAUUGAUUCAAUUUCAGUGGAGCAAUCGCGCGUAGAGGAUAAAUAAAGGAUAACAGAACAGAGCUGAAGUGCUAAAUUGGCUAUUAAAGAAGGGUGUCACAUGAUCACAAUCACAUUGAUGCACAACUCUCUGGAGGCAAAUUUUGUCUGUAUGUUCUCUAAAUUCAGCCAAACCAUACAUGCAUGAACAAAAAUUAAACCGUAGUUCUCACCACAACAGUAAUUGAAGCUACAAAAGCCAGCAAAUCUGAACAAAAACUUAAAAGAAAGAUCUUAUUCAAAUUUGUCCCCAAAAGAGUGCUGAGAUGGAAAAUAUUGACUAAUGAAUGGGUCAAUGCUGGAUUACAUUUCAAAUGGAAAGCUUGGCAGCAGUUACAAUGUUUCUCCCUCAGCUUUUCCUCCAAAACAAAUUCAGUUGUAAACAAUAACCGAAGUAGAGAUAAUUCAUUCAUCAAAGAAAAUACCCAAGUUUUCAACUAACAAAUCCUUUUGUCUAAACUAAAAAACUCAUAUCUCUAAAAUUUAUUUGCAAAAUGUUGGAAAUGAGGAGUGAUCCGUUAUCUCCGUAAAUAAACUCAUGCAUAAUGUUAACAAUAAUGAUACAUUACAUAAUAAUUAUUAUAAAGAAAUAUAAAUUGGAAACGCUAAUCAUUCUACAAUCUAAUAAAUAAGUAAGAUAAAUCUCGUAAUAAGUUAAGUUAUAAUGUAUAAAUGUUUUUAAUAUAUAAUUAUUUAAGAAGUCAUUUAAUAAUAAAAUAUUUAUUCUAUUCAGUUGAUCAUAUAGCGUUAUCGAAACUCUUGACGAUAUUAUUAUUACACUUUUCUCAAAAAAACAUGAUUAACAUUUAGAGAAAAGUCAUGCCUUUUAGAUAGAAUAUGUACAUAAGCUAUCCAUAUUUUAUCUUACCAUGAAAAAAUUGAUGGUGAUUAAAUCUACUUUUAAAAUAGAUUUAAUGCACAAAUAUGAUGAUUUUUGGCAAAAAUUAGUUUCGGAAGAUACAAUGGUAGAAAAUAGUGAUGAUUAUUGUUUAAAUGUGUAAAUAGCCUAGGCAUAGCCCGUAAUACCAAUAUCCAUUUACCUUCAUUUAGAUUAUCACAUCUCAUGAUAUUUUUUCAUUCACGACCAUUGUUCGAGAUUUGAACUUGAUCAUAAAUUAAGCUGCAACGGAGUUACUUAUGUUUCUAAGCUUUUCAAUCGCGAUUCCUCCAUGCCUUUCUUGGAUACCAUUUUACUGACCUUGUAAUUGGUGUGUAUAAGGAGUCAUGCCCUUUCAGGAUCGUUUUCUUUUUUUUUUUUCCUGAUUGUAGUGUCAAAUAAAUAAAGAACGAACAAUUGAACUUAGUCUAUUUCGAGGAAAACCAAGGCCUGCAAUAUUAGAUGAACUUUGAACAAAAUUAAUCUACUAUUCUACAUCCCCACCAAAAUUUAAACAGUCGACAUUGUGGAAAGAAACACAUUUCGCCACUAGGCUUUUAGUGAGGCUAAUUUCUCUGAAUUUGGACAGAGUAGGUCCUCCAACGAGAACUGAAUCAGGACGAAUCGGCUCUCCAUUUUCUAAUUCGAACGAGCAAAGGAAGCCUGAAUCUGUGACCGUUAUCAAUACUCUGCUUCUAUUCUGAUUCUCAGGAAGUACUUCUUCAAGAUCAUCCAAUACAUCGUCACCCUCUUUGUACUAAUCAUCAAGCACAAUAAAGUACUUCUUGUUUGUUAGGUAAUCUCGAAGAAUAGAUUUCUUCAAUUGAUAAUCUUCACCGAUAAUUACACUAACCCGAGAUGGAGGCAUCACAGACUUGAUUAUGUCAUCCAAUACCAUGCGAAAAUCGUAGGAUAUAGAAACCCUGACCCAAGCAUGACAGUCAAAAUAGAACUUGACGUGAUUAUUGUUGUAAGUAUCAGCAGUAAAAGCAGUCUUAUCGAAGCUAUUGAUGUCUUUCAGAAGCUCCCAAAUGUCUGUUCUUUUAACAUUUUCUAAGUGCAAGAGCUGCCGAUAACGCGAAGGUAUUUCAUCUUCAUCGAAUUGUUCUCUAAUGAGUUGAAUUAAAACUCGAGCCAUGUCAGCUUCAUAGUUUCCCAGCAGAGUAGUGGCUAUAAUUUCGGACUCCGUAAGAAGGUUUUGAAAAAGUGGAGUUAAAUUUGUUGAAUCAGGCAAAGUUAACGUGCCUUCUUCACCUGCUAACACCAGUUUCAACCUCUCACAAAAUAGUGUGAGGUUAAUUUCCAUAUCUUUCCCUCUCUCAGUAGUACUCAGAGGUACGUAUUGUUAUUUGUUAGUGUUGAUGACGAAAGCUGAAUAAUCAAAACAACAGUGUACACAAUCAACAGAAGGCGAAGUAUGUUAAGUUGAGAUCAAAGGAUAUAAAUGAAGGAAAAGUUUAAGUACUCCGUUGAAAGCCAAAGUUGCUUUGGCCAAUUAAUUUAUAAGUGAAGGAAAGAAUAAAGUUAGUCCUCGAUGUCUUUUGAAAUUAGAAAUACAUUUUGAAUGCUUUAAUAGAUGCAGAGCAAGCUGGCUCGAUGUCUAACUAUUUUAAGAGCUAAAAUCAUUUAUUAGAAGUUGUGGCAUUGAAAAAAACUGGCUUGAUAUCCAAUUUUGUUAUUUAAUGUCUCACGUGAGAGUAAAUAACUGUUGUGUUACUGGCAGAUGAUUGAGACGGACAAGUUUGGAACAUUGUUCGAGACUGAAACUACACAUCAGUCUUAGAAAAUUGUAAUUUUGUUGAAAAAUUAUAGAUUGAAAAAUUAUUGAGACGGACAAGUUUGGACCAUUGUUCGAGACUGAAACUACACAUCAGUCUUAUAAAAUUGUAAUUUUGUUGACUUAUCAUGAUUUUGAUUGCCUCCCAUUGAUUUUCCUAUGAUGUCUCUGUAGAGUGGCUAUGCUUACAUUUUUAGGUAUUUAAUUCUAAAAAUUAACUUAUUAGAUGGAAGGAUCAAUUCUACCUGUAAAUCUAAGUGGCUUCCCUUUACUAACUCAUAUAAGACACAACAAUAAUUUUCUUCGAAAAAAACCACCAUCGGAGGGCUAUUUUCGUUCAACAUACAUGAGUUGUUCCGCCACCAUAUUUUGAGGGUUUGCUUCUAAUACAACUUGGGGAAGCUAGGGGUAAGAUUUCCAAGUAUCAACAUAAAAACCUUGCCGAUUGGAUAGAAGGACCAAUCUUACUUAUAAGUCUAAAUGACUAAUUUUUGAGGACACAACUCAACAGACCAAUAUAAACUUUUGGCGUCCCAUUUUAUUACUUUUCAGUGCUUUACUUUUGCUGUCUAUAGCCCUACUAUUCUAUUAAGCAGAAAAUAUUAUCUAUUUUCUUUCCAUUUUAUGUAUACCCCGAUCUUUACCUCUGAUUGGUUGUAGAUUCUUCUGUCGCUUUGGGGUUAGGGGAUGGUUUUCAUCAAGAAAUGAUAAAGGAUUGUUAGUUGUGUGACAAACAGCAUUAAUAUGAAGGAUGAUGAUUGUUCUUUUCAAGAGUUUAUAAUGACAUAAUUCUGCUUUGGUCUUUUAAAAAAAAGUAAUUUAGAAAUGAGGAGUAUGUGAGUGAUGAUUUUUACAAAUAAAUUGCAUGCGUAGUGAUGAUUUUGACACAUGAAAAUGUAAAAAGAAAUAUAACUUGUGAAUAAUAAUCGAAGUACCCUGCUAUUGUUAUAUUGAGUAAUCAAGGACUUCGAUAUUCGGACGAUACAAGCAACACAAUCAAAUAUUAGUUGGAAGGCAUAGCAAAAUUAGAAUGUAGAACAAACUGGGUAUUGAUAAAUGGAUGGUUUUGGAAGAAUUGAAAAUGAUGGCAAAAAAAAAACAAAGUUAAGAGAAAAGAGAAAGAGCAUUUGAACUUUACUUGUAAGUAAAGGCAAAUAUCUUGGUUCAAGAAAAGAUAAGAGAUAUCAAACUAGCAAUAGGAAAAAGGAGGAAGGUUAAGACAGCAUCUUAACAAAAGCUAAAGAAAAGAAAAACUUAGUUCAAGCAAAGAACAAUGUGCUAAUGUAGUGUAAUCUUGUUUAAUUUCUUUUUCUUCUCACAUUUUCCAGGGCUUAAAUAAUACAAUGUACAUUUUCAAGCAAAGAACAACAAAUAAAUAAUACAAUAUACAUACCCAGUAAAUUAAAAAAAAUAUAUUAUUCAAGUUUGUGGACAAUACUGUAGCCAUUGCGUCGUCGAAAUCUACUGACAGCUGAAACAAAGAAAGAAUGGAUGAACGCUGGAUCACAGUUGAAAUUGAAGGUCUGGUAGGUGAUGUUUCCCUCUCUGAUUUUACCUAAACAAAUACAAGAAAAUAAGAAUCACGAAUGAAAAUCUGUUAUUACACUGUUCUUACUUAUUAAAAUACAGAGGUUUCUUUGUUUCUCUGCAGCAAUGUCCAUGGCUAUUAGAAACAAGAACAAUUAGACCAGCAUUUGCAAGAAUCUUUUAAGGUAUUACUGCAGAUAUAAAUCGACUGAGGAAAUGGAAAAAUUGAAUACCAAAUUAGGCAAGUUAACUGAAGAUUCAGUUAUCAUAGAAGAAUAAAACUCAUCCAAUUCAAUCCAUCAAAUUUCAUUAAGCAUUUCCAGAACUCUUGAUUUUCUUUCUCAGUAGCCAAACAACUUCAAUCUCAUUUUUUUUUUUCAACAAUGAGUUCUCAAACCACUCUGGUAUCAUUUUAAGACAUUCUCGGCCUUGUACUCACCAUCAAAAUGGAUUGGUUGAGAGAAAACAUAGGCAUAUUGUUGAAUUAGGUUUGACUCUGUUGGCUCAAGCUCAACUUCCUUUUAAAUUCUGGUGGGAUGCAUUCCAUACUGCCCUAUAUCACAUCAAUAGAUUACCAUCUUCUGCUUUCAAACUUUCGACCCCAUGUGAGAAGAUAUCCAAGCACAAACCUGAUUAUGAUUUUCUCAAAUGUUUUGGUUGUAUUUGUUAUCCUUACUUGAGAGACUAUAACAAACAUAAGUUUGCCUAUCAUUCCAGUAAGUGUAUAUUCAUUGGUUAUAGUCCUUCACAAAAGGAUUAUAAAUGCUUACAUUCUUCAGGUCAAGUCUAUGUGGCAUGACAUGGUAUCUUUGAUGAGUCAACCUUUCCUUAUGCUACUGAAUCUGUUUUUCAUAGUCACACAAAUUCUGAUUCUCAUUCUUCAAAUUUAUUUACUCCACAGCAUGUCUAUUAUCUUUCUACUUUACCUGUCAUACCAGUAUUUCUAAAUAACAACACUGAUAAUCUAAACUCUACAAAACUAAAAUGCCAGCUGUUUGGUGUUAGCGAUAAGAAACAACUUACCACAACCAUUAAUUAUCCAUAAUUUCAUUGUUUAUCCUCAGUUUUCUUCAUAAAUGUUACAGCGUUCUUCACAACAAAGUGCAAGGGCAUCUCAAAAGUUCUGAAAUAAUACCUCAAUUCUAUUGCAAAAAUAAAUAAUCUCAAACAAGAACCAAUAAUCAUAUUUCGUUACUGUCAAACACAAUGCAUCUGAGCAAAACAUUGGAAGCCAACACCAGAAUACAUAUGAAUAAACAAUUAAAGAUAGAGAAAAAAGGCUUAAACCUUGGGGGAAAAAAGUGAAAAAACAUGAAAGACAAAUUACACAUGUGCAGUAACCAUCGAACUUAUCAGUGACAGCUGCAUCCAUUACAUUGCUCCAACAACACAAUGGCAAACCACCAGUUUCAAAUUGAGGAUAGCUAUUGAGAAUGAGAAAGUGUCCAAAACGCCAUAAAUAGACAUGUUCCUAUUAUGCAUAAUUUACAUUAUAGGCAAAUAUUCUUAUACCAUCAAAAGCAAAACAUGACACUAUAACAAUUGACUCCCCCCCCCCCCCCCCCCCCCCCGCACACAAAAAAAAAGGAAGAAACAAUACCGAAAAGAUUGAAACAGGUAAGGCUACACUGAGCACAGGAUGCCAUGAAACAUAAUCCAGGAACCAAAUUAAUAAAGAAGGAAGGCAAACCAUUAUUUAACAAUCUGUUUUGUAUUAGGGAAAGUCCGAUAAAAUCUACUUAGGGAUAAUUAGAGAACCUCAACUAUUAAUCACACCUCAUAAAUGAACUAACAUUAACCAUGUACCAUCCCCACAUCAGACAAACAUUCUCUAUACUUCUGAACCUAAUACUUCCAUCUUCAAUUGGGGUUUUUUUCUUUUGUGGGGGGGGGGAUAAGCUAUCGUUUUUCUAAGCUUGCUUACCUUCUGUGUGGGACUGAAAUACUGAUUUCGAAUCAUUAACAGUAAAAUUGGAAGCUCAUGAAAAAACAAUUUUAUCUUUUAACAAAAGUUAAAAUUACAUCUCCAUAUAAAUUCUCUUUUCAUUUCCUUCAAUUUUCUAAUUAAGCUUAAAAAAAUGUACCUUCAACCACAAAGGGGUUUAAAAUUUAAAAUAUAUAAAAAAAUAAAUUCAGAUAACAAUAAUUAAUUUAAUUAAAAAUAUAAAUAGAGAUUACAGAGAAAGAAAAAAUAGAGAAAGACCUGAUGUUGAGAGCAUCGACGGCCGGCAGUGACCGGCGGAAGAUGGCGAGAGAUGGCGGCGUGGGCCAUUGCUUGCGCAUCAGUGAGUGUCUCGAGUGAGAGAGUGAAGGUAGGGAUGGCAAUGGGGAGGGAGGGAGGGUCCAAUCUCUCUGUACCCAUCUCCCAAUUUGUCCCCGUCCCUCCCCGUCCCCAUUUGCUUAGAAUCUGUCCCCUACUCGAAUAAUAAUUCUCGAAUAAUAACAUAAAAUGCUCGAGGUUCUCGAUUUAUGAAUAAUUAAUAUAUUUUUUAUUUUAAAUUUUAAAUUAACUAUAUUAAAAUAAAAAAUUUAAAUAAAAAUAAAAUUUGAAAUAUAUUUUAUAUUAAUAUUGAUCCAUUAUAAAAAUUACAUACAAAAUAUAAAUUAUCAAAAUAAUUAUCUUUAUCAAUCUUCAUAAUCCUACAAUAAAAAGAAAAAAAAUUUACUUUUAUAUUGAUAAUAAAAUAAAUGUAGAUAAUUAAUUAAUAUUUUUAAUAAAAUAAAAUUAAAAUAAAAUAAAAUUUUUAGGCUAAUAUAAUCUACCCGACUUUUUUAAUGUGUUAAAUAAAAAUUUAAGACUUUAAUUAGUUAAUUAGGCCUAAAAGCUUAAUAAUAUAAAUAUUUUGAUAUUUAUUAUUUUUACUAAUAUUUAUAAUUUUAUAAUAUAUUCAAUUUUUAUUAUUUAUUUACUAGUAAUUUUAAAAAAUAAAAAUAAAAUUAAAAAAUAAAAUGGGGGAAAUGGGGAGGGGAUGGGGAUUCCACCUCAUCCCCGUCCCUUCCUUGUAGGGAUGGCAAAAGUUCGGGUCGGGUCGGGUCUGGGGCUGCCUGGAACUGACCCGGAUUUCACACAUAGCUGCCCGGACCCGGACCGUGCCCGGAUUUUUUCUAUGCGGGCCGGGUAUAUGGCUGGCACUAUCCGGGCACAGGUUUUUUUUGGGUUUUCUCUACCCACAUUUUCAAAACUGGCUAAAAAAAAAUUGAUAGAAAAGGCUAAAUAAGUAAACAAAAUUGCAAUUGGGCCUGGAAAUUCAUAACUUAUCCCUGAAUUAUAUAUAUAUAUAUAUAACUUCUAAUUCUUUGUUGAUACAAGUUUUUUCUAAUUCAUUAUAAAAUCACAUUAUAUAUAUUAUUUCCUCAUCAGAUAAUAAGUGACAAUUGCUCACCAGUUUAUUAACAUCUCUACGAAACCGUCUUUUAUGGCAUUAUUAUUAUUAUUGUUGUGGCUGAAACCAUGUAGUAUGUGAUUGAAGAAAUUGCAUUAAAUGUUGGAGUGGAGGUGAUGUAGGUGAGAAAGGAUUCCCUGGAGACUGUUAAACAAGACACAAGGCAUUUCCGGAAGAAAACAGAAGACAACUGGAUAAGACAAAACGGACAAAAGGGUAAGAGAGGUGGGUGGGAAAUUAAGAUAGGCAAUUUGUCCAGCAGAAACAUAAUAAUACCUCGUGGUCGUGGGUCGUGGCUGUGUUGGUGAAGUUGCAGCUGAACAAGAACAGUUGAUGCUGUCGCGUGGUGGCUGCCGUUGAGAAGAUGACCAAACGAUGAAGAGCUCUGUGACGGGAUGGUUGUGCUUUGCGAGGAGAAAUAGAGUUGACUGAGGAAGGUAAGAGGUUCGUGGAGGGAAAGGUGCGGACAACACUGCAUCAGUGCCGGUGGGUGGUGGAGAGACGGAGAGAGGUGCCGCCGAUUUGGAGAUUUCAGGGUGGGUGCUGACUGCUGCAGUGCUGCGUUGUUCUGCAAGUUGCAAUCGCGAUUUAGGGUUCAGUACCAGUUUUGGGGGCAAUUGGGCAAAGUAAAUUUUAUUUUCGCUUUUAUAUUUUCUUUUUUUUUACUUAAUAAAAAACCGGGCAUUGAAAAUCAAUGUCCGGAUCCGCUUUUUCCAUUCAUGUGGUCCGGGUAAAACCCGAACCGCACACGCCGGGUCUGGGCCGGAUCCGGUCCGGGUGGGUUUUUCUGCCACCUCUACUUCCUCGAAUAAGAAAUUUGGUAAAAAAAAUUUCCCGUCCCUUCCUCGAAUAAAAAAUCGGGUAUAAAAUUAUCUCUGUAUCCUCCCCGAAUGAGAAAAAUCCCCGAAGAUACCCAUACCUGUGGGGAUUUUUACCAUCCUUGAGUGAAGGGUUUUGUUUAGGGUUUUGGGAAAUGAAAAAUGUAAAUGUUUGAUUUUGUUGCUAGAAACUUCUUCUGCCGCUGCUUUUUAUUUUCGCUAUAAAAAUAAUAAUUUGUUAAUCAAAUAUUUUCUUAAAAAAGAUAAAUUUCUAGAACAAAAUUUAUAUUAAAUCAAAUUGUAAAAAUGUGGAAUAGGGCUAAUUUCUCCUUAAUAUUAUUAUUAGUAGAAGUAGAUUGUCGAACUAGUCUUGAUAUAUUUUAGAGUUGUAUUAUAGAUGUAUACGUAUCUAGAUUGUAAUUAUAUUUUAAAAAAUAUAAUUUUUUUUAAUUAUUGCACAAUAAAUGUAGAAAAUAUCUAUAAAAUAAUAUUAUUAGAACUAUGAUACAGCACCUCAAUUCCACAGUAGCUUAAUAUUAUUAGAACUAUGAUACAGCACCUCAAUUCCAAACGCACUCUAAUUAAAAAAUUUAGAAUUCUUGGGCAUGGAAAGAGUAGUAUUAAACAUCAGAAAGCUAAGGUUGUUCUGUAAAAGAACUGAUAUUGACAUUAUUUUAUUUUGGUUUUCGGGGAAAAAAAUAUUUGUUGACAAGCAAGAAAAUAUUUUUAUAUUUUACAAUUUAUUAUACAUAUUUUAUCAUAUUAAAGUAAUUUUAAUAAUAAAUAGAAACAUAAUAUUACAAUAAAUAAAUUAAAGUUUAAAUUAUUUUGAAUAUUAUAAAAAAUAAUUUUAAUAUUAUUAAUAGGAAGACUUUUGUUAAUUGUAAAAUCUUUUUAAUCCAAAGAUUUGUUUAAAAUUCUUAUAAUAAAUACAAAUAUAAAAUUAAAUAUCAAAAUUUAAAUUUUUUAAUAUUAUUUAAAUUUUAAAAAUACUUUAAUGUUAUUAGUCUUCUACAUAAAUUAUAUUAUUUAUAUUAUAUUUGUAUUGAUUAAAAUCUUUUAAAGUCGAUCUUCUAGUUAUUAUAUGCAAAAGGUAUUAUCAUGUUACAAUUUUUUGAAAUUUUAGGGAUGUAGGUUACGAUGAUUUAUUUCACUUUUGACAAAAUCCAAUGAGAAAUAUGAUAAGAGAAAGUCAAUUUAAUGUUCUCGACCUUUAUGAAAAAAAGUAAAAACUAAGAAUUAUUCAAUUUUAUAUUUUUUGCAUCCACCAAAUAAGUUUUGCACAUUUAUGUUAUCAUAAAACGAAAAAAAGGGUUUACCAAAAAAUGGUACCAAGCAUACCUUUAAUGUCCCACGUGAUUUCUUAUUAAGCCCAAUAUUAGAUAUAUUUAUACAUUUUACUGCAUUAAGUAUUUUAAUUAUAAAAGAAGUUGGUCCUUCCUCUAGUUACAAAAGAUAACUUUAUUUCAAGACUACCACUAAAUUCUUACGUAGAAUUAGUGCAAGGCCAAGAGAGAGUAACACAAUUUUACUUUUCCAUUACCAUUUUGAAAAUAGAAAGAUAUGGAUCCGUGUAUUUAAGAGUUAUUGUAAAAAUCAUACAAUUCAAUUUCCUGACGUGUAUUAUGUAUAUUUAGGCACAUUUGCCAAAAGCAUAAAUAGAUAGAAAGUAAAUUUACAAUCCACCCUUACUCACAAUUAUUGAAGUGAAGAUGCAUUACAACUGUCACUACUUUAACUUUAUUUAUUUAUUUGUUUUAAAUAAAAGUGUGAGAGAGACGGUGAACAUCAUGGACGAUAACAAAGGUUAAAGCCUAAAGGUGACCCAUUUUCUUUUUAAAGUGCUCUGCUGAAAGCCUAACUUCCUUUGGAUCCGCCGAAGUGGCCGAAGUGGUGGGCUGCUGCCCUCACAAGCAUUGUGAGGGCAGCGGUUCUAGCCCCCACAAAAGCAUUGUGGGGGUUAAAUGUUCUUUAUAUUUAAAAAUUUUUCUCCCUUGCGAAAUACAAGUGGAGUAUGGACAUCCCUCUCCUGUGAGGGGUUAUUUGUUUGGGCAUGUACUUCAUAGAAUUUAAUGUAAUAAUGUAAGUCCCAAUAAUGUAUAUCUGAUUGUAAAUAUCAGUAUAAUAUCUCUGCUACAAUAGCAAUUAUUGUAAAUAUUUGUGUAAUACAGUAAUCUGAUGAUUAAUCAGUAUUCAAAAAAAAAAAAACUUCAUUUGGAUCCGCCUAAGUUACUGCUUUGUAAAAUUUUAUAAAGCCCCUUAUACUCUAUAUUAUUUAUAAUUUGUUCAUAAAUAUUAUAAAACUUUCUGCAUUAUAUAAUUUUAUUGAGCCCCUUGUACUAUAUUUUAUUUCAUUGAAACCCUUAAAGUACCAAUUCGCCCUCUAUAAUUUUAAAUUACUAAAAUACCCUCCAUUUAAUUAAAAAUAUAAUGAUUAUUAAAUGAUUAUAAUUAUCUGGAGUACAAAUUCAGUAAUAAACAAUAACUAAAGUAUUAACAAUUUAUUCAUCAAAUAAAAUACUCGAGAUUUCAGCCGACAAAUCCUCUUGUCUAAACUAAAAAACUCAUAUCCCUAAAAUCUAUUUGUGAAAUGUUAGAGAUGAGUGGUGAUUUGUCAACUGGGUAAAUAAAUUUAUGCAUAAUGUUUCCGGUAUUGAUAAAUUACAUAAUAAUUAUUACAAAGAAAUCAUAAAUUGGAAACAUUAAUCAUUUUACAAUAUGUUACAUAAGUAAGAUAAAUCUCAUAGUAAGUUAAGUUAUAACGUAAUAAAUAUUUUCAACAUAUACUUAUUUAAGAAGUCAUUUAACAAUAAUAUUUUUUAUAUUUCAGUUGAUCAUGUCAUAUAGCGUUAUCUAAACUCUUGGCCAUAUUAUUAUUACUCAAUUUUCUCCCAAAAAAAAAAAAAAAAAAACAAAAACAAACAUGAUUAAUGAUUAGAGAAAAGUCAUGCCUUUUAGAAAGAAUACGUAUACAAGCUAUCCAUACUUUAUCUUACCAUGAUGGUGAUUAAAUAUAUUUUUAAAAUAGAUUUAAUGCACAAAUAUGAUGACUUUUGGCAAAAAUUAGUUUCGGAAGAUAUAGUGGUAGAAAAUAGUGAUGAUUAUUGUUUAAAUGUGUAAAUAGUCUAAGCAUAGCCCGUAAUACCAAUAUUCAUUUGCACCUUCAUUUGGAUUAUCAUAUUUUAUGAUGUUCUUUCAUUCAUAACCAUUGUUCAAAAUUUGGAUUUGAUCAUAAAACAAAACUAAAAAAUAUUAGAGAUACUAACAAUUGAGUCCCAUUUUAAGUCCCAAUACAAUGUGUUAUUUCUCAAUGUUGUGUCAUUCAUUAAUUAAGUGAUGAAUUUCAGAAUUAAUAAUUAGUUCAGACUUUAAUUAAGAUUUAAAUGUUAGAAUAUCUAGCAUCAUUCAAUCACAAUAAACAAAAUUCAAAUUGAAACGGCAAUAUUGUAUUUUCUUUAAUUAAUUUUGAUGCUGAAGCAAAUAUUUUGCUUGGGUUUUUCACUUCUUGAUUUUGAUUGGAAAAGUUUCUGAGACGAAGUAUUUUGGAUAAUUUUUUCGGGAUUGAAACCACAACUUGGUAGAGGAAAUUAGUUGGAGUAGUGAUGGCUUUGUCUUCAUUUUUGGUUCCUUUUGUGUCGGCAGCCCCUUACUAUUCUCUUGACCCUGAGUUUGAGAUAGAAAUUUAUCAACCUCCAACCCCACAUCCACAAACAAGUUGAUUGAAACAAUUGCUCUUUUAAUUAAGAGGACCCAAAUGAUUUAGGUUUCAGUUCUUAUCAUUUGUCUAUUAUUUAUUUGAAACAUUUAUUUUGAGCGUUACUGAUCUUAAUUAUCUGUAUUUCUCCAAUUAUUGAAGCAUUUCAAGUGGCCACUUUUUCUCCUUUUUAUAUAUGUUUAUUUUUUGGAGUGAUCAAACGGGGGCAAAAUCAAGUAUUCGCUGGUCUGUAGUUUAGCCAACGAUGGCUGAUCCACACAGUUGAUUAUAUGAUACUAUUAGCUCUCAAAAUCUUUCUUAUUUGAGAAUACAAGUUGCCCAAUAGAGUUGAACUAUGUUACCCAACUCCAUGCUCAUACAUUAAAUGUUUAGGUAGUUUUACAAAAUGAUAGCAGCAUGCCAAAACUUGUUGUUGUCAUUUUCGACAUUUCAAAUUGAAAAAUAUGCAAGCAAUCUUCAGUGAACAUUACGUUUUUAUUGAAUAAUUUAAAUGGCCAGUAAAUCAACAGUCCGUGAGUUUUAAAUCUAUUAUGACUUAAUGUAUCUUUCUGUAUUCGUACACAGGUUAUAUUAUCAUAGUUUAAAAUUUUAAUAUUAUUUUAAAUGUUAAAAAUACUUUAAUGCUAUUAGUCUACUACACAUGUUAUAUUAUUUAUAUUAUAUUUGUAUUAAUUAAAACUUUUAAUGUAAAUUUUCUAAUUACUAUAUUGAAAAGGUAUUAUGGUUAAGAAAAAGUUUUGGCAUUUCUUCUUGAAAAUUUGAGGGUCUGCAUGACAAUUUUUCCAAAUUCUAAGGGUAUAGGUUUGAAAAUUUAAUGUUCUUUAACUUAAUGAAACAAAAGGGGGAAACCAAGAACUAUUCAAUUUUGUAUUUUUUGUUUGUAAUUCAAAAAAUGCAUCCACCAAACCAGUUUUACGCAUUAAUGCUGUCAUAAAACAAAAAACAGUUUGCCAAAAAAUGGUACCAAACAUAUCCUUAAUGUCUCACAUGAUUUCUUAGUAAGCCCAUAUUAGAUAUAUUUAUACAUUUUAGGUAUUUUAGUUAUAAAAGAAGUUGGUCCUCCCCCUAUUUAUAAAAGAUAACUUUGUUUCGAUAUUACCACUAAACUCUUACAUAGAAUUAGUGUAAUGUUAAGAGAGAGUAAAACGGUUUUCCAUUACCAUCUUUGAAAAUAGAAAGAUAUGGAUGCGUGCAUUUAAGAGUCAUCGUGAAAAUCAUACAAUUCAAUUUCCUGACAAGAAGUUGGUCCUCCCCCCCUUUUUUUUUUUUUUUCAAUUACAGUGUGAUGGAGACAUUAAGGAUGAGCAUAAUAGUUAAAGAUGACUCAUUUCUCAUUUUCUUUUUAAAGUGCUCUGCUGAAAGCCAAACUUCCUUUGGCUAAUUAAUUUAGAAGUAAAGCAGAGAAUAAAGUCCUAGAUGCCUUCUGAAAUUAGAAAUACAUUUUAUAUGCUUUAAUUAUGAUUAUUUGGUAGACUAAAGACCUAAAAGAUAUGUCAAAAGUAUAAAACAGAGCGAUUAAAGAAAAAAGAAAAAAAAAACAGAGCAUUUGUGACGUAGAACAAUUGGUAAAUAAAUCCUAAAUAUUUGAGUUGUUAAAAGCAAAUAUAACAGAGACAGUAAGAGAGAUGCUGAAACAGAAAACUAUUAGCUUAUCUUGAUUUUCCCACUAUAUUCAUUUUCGAUGCUUUUCAAACGAGAUUCUUUUAAUUCUUCUGGUGUCUCUUAUAGAUCUCCAUCCCACAUCUGCACUACGAACAAGUUGAUUAAAAUUAAAUACUGUUGGAGAUGUGGGGUGAGCGGUCAACUUGGUAAAAAAACUAUGUGUAAUAUUGUUAAUAAUAUAAAAUAUAUAAUAAUAAUUACAAAGAAUCAUAAAUUAGAAAAAUUAUUUAUUUUACAAUCUAUUUCUUAAGUAAGAUAAAUCUCGUAAUAAGUUAAGUUAUAAUGUAAAAAAUAUUUUCAAUUUAUAAUCAUUUAAGGAGUCAUUUAACAAUAAAAUCUUUCUUUUUUUGAUCAAUUGGUCAUGGUACAGAGCAUCAUCUAUAUUCAUGGUGAUAUUAUUAUUACUCCGUAUUCUCAAAAAACACGAUUUAACAUUUAGAGAAAGUUCCUACCUUUUAAAAAGAACAUGUAUGCAACAACUACCCAUACUUUAUCUUACCACGACAAAACUAAUAGUGACUAAAUCAAUUUUCUCGAAUAAAGCAAAAUUUCUUAAAAUUAAUUUAAUAUACAAAUAUGAUGACUUUUUGCAAAAAUUAGUUUUGGAAAAUUAGUGACAGAAAAUAGUAAUGAUUAUUGUUUAGAUGUGUAAAUAGCCUAAACAUGAUCCCUAAUACCAAUAUCCACGUGCAUCUUAACACCUUUCGUCAUAUUCUUUCAUUCAUGGUCACUGGUUCAAGAUUUGAAUUUGAUCAUUAAAUAUGUUCAAUAAUAUUAGAGAUCCCAACAAUUGAGUACCAACUUAAAUCCCAAUGCUAUGUGUCAUUAACAAAUGUUGUGUCAUUUAUAAUUAUUGAAUGAAUAAUUCGUUAAUUUAUUGAUAAAUGAAAAUUUAUUAAUUUAAAGAGAGAUAUUUUUUUUUUUGGGUUUUAAGAAGAGUUUUGUUGGUACAUGUACAUACUUAUAAAGAAAUAAACUUGUAAUUAUACUAUAUCUUUCUUUCUUUAUUCAGUUUGGUGGGAUAUUGUGAUAAAUCAUUGGAUUAAAAUGCAUUUCUAAAUUAAAACUUGUUAAAAUCUAAUUUAUUUGGGAAGCGCAUAUUAUUUGUCAGUCGUACUUCUCAAGUCUCAACUUAGCAAGUUAUUUCUAACUUGUCAGUCUCUAUUGGUUCUCUAAAGCUAAUAGUCUCGAAUCUCCCGCAUUUGAUAUCUUGCCAUUAUUGUUGGCAUUAACAUGUUACCUGAGAUUGGGAUUCAUUAAAAUCCUCAAUGUAAUCGGUGGAACGAAUGGAUUUCUUCUGUUCACCAAUCCACCAAAAUUUCUGUAAUUAAAUUCAAGAGUCAAGAUCUAUGCUUAUAAUCUAUUCUAACAGCUAAUAUUCUAUUUUAUAUUUACUUAAAUAUGAAGAGCUAUGCUUGUCAUUAACUUCAAAUGUGAUCGAAGCAGCCUUACAUCUGUAUAUUACUUAUUCCCAACCUUUUUUUUUUGACUUCAUAUACUUUAUUUUCAUGUUAUUUACUCUUUUUUUCCCCUUUCUGACAAUUGAGGUAGGGGGUCAAACUUGAAAGUAUCUUAAAAUCAGACAAAUUUUUUUUUUUUUAAGAUAGCUGCUAAUAUGCUCUAUUAGACAAUGACAAGUAAUAACCUAGUUGUUUGCAUUAGAAAUGAUAUUUUUUGUGGUGCUGAUAAAGAGGUUGAUUAUGAUUCAACAAUUUAAAAUAUGAAAACAUGUGGAAGACGGCCGCAAUUAAAUUGAUUGUAUGAAAAUAUUUCAAUGAAAUUUUAAAAAUUUAGUACUUGUUAUCUUAUCGAGAGUUUUUUUAAAUUAUAUUACUACUUGAACUUGGCUGCUUUUGUAUUGAAUUCCCAGCGUUGCCAUUGCUUCUACUCAAAAGCCAUUUAAGUUUGUGUAAGCUACCUAUAGUUUGAACAACAAUUUACUCAUGAAUUGUUGUUCAUAAUAGCAAUUUGAUUGAAAGUGCGGCUGCACUAAUUUUCUAGAUGAAUUUUUUCCUACAUGCUUGUUCUCGUAUGACCCAAAAUCCUGCUACAUCAGUUGUAUUAGAAAUUAAUACUGGGUUACAAUUAUGCAUCCCCACCAAUAUUUCUUGAGGAAAGAAACUCAUAUCGCCCCUAGGCUUUUAAUGAGGCUCAUUUUUAUGAAUCUGGAUGGCAUUAGAUAUCUCUCCGAAUAUUGGUGGGAGUAUAUCGCAGAUCAAUGGGCUAUACUACAAAGUGUAUGUACGUUGACUCUCAAUAAAUACAAACGAUUCUCUGAUAUGAUUCAAAACAUCAGUGCACGCAUCAUUUUAACGAGAGAGAAUAUUCUAAGAACGAAAUUGAAGGUGCAAUCAGCAACUAAAAUGAAGCCAGAAAUGUACACGCAUGAGGAAGUUUUCCUAGAAGAUUGAUAUUUCUUUAACUAGCAAACAAUACAAGUCCAAAGCUAACCAAACCAUACCUGCAAGUCCGGGGCUUAAAUGGAGUACUUGUAAGCAUAAAACAUUAAUCAAAACACAGUAUAGACACACACACACACCCCUACAUACAUACCAGCAAAUUCGAAAUAGAAAAAGGAGUGCAACUAUUCAAGUUUGUUGACAAUAUUGCAACCAUGGCAUAUUAAAGCAAAUCCUUAAAAUCAGCUAAACGAAACAAUGCCCUGUCUCAUGAAUCGAUGCUCAACUAAAAAUUGAAAUUGAAAGUCCGGCUGGUGUUGUUAUUAGAUAGAUAUAACAAGAUCUUUCUUUGACAGUUCUUAUUAGAUAGAUAUAAAAAGAUCUGCUUUGACAGUUCUUAUUAGAUAGAUAUAAAAAGAUCUUUCUUUGUUUCUCUGCUGUAAUUUGUGGCUAUCCCACUCUGUUUUGCCAGUCAAGCUGAGUCUACGUUGAGACAUAAUUUUGACAUCAGAAGCGGCCUCAAUUAGUUUGGCAUUUUUAUAACCUCCUUGAAGGUUUUACGAUAAACAUAAAUCUACUGACAAAGUGGGCAAAAAGAAAAUGCAUGUAAAAGUAUGAGUUAUCAAAUAAGAUUAAAACUCACCCAAUUCAAUCCAUCAGAUUCCGUAAGGAUACAACUGGAUGUCAUACCGCCACUCCAUAUUCUCGAAAGUCCGUAGUCCUUGUCUCAACUGUGUCUGGGGCCAGUGUAAGUCCAUUUUUGCGCAAGCUCUUUAUGCACCACAGCUCUUCUGGAAGCUUUCUCAAGUAAGCACACGGGUUGACAAUUAAGCAUUCAAGUUUCGGCAUUGCUCCAGCCCCCAUCGUCCACUCAUCUAGCCAAUACAUUGACUUCAGGUGCAAAACCUUAAGUUCGGGAAAGCUACUCAAGCCAACACAAGCAAGCUUUCUUCCUAAAUACGAGUUCUGCUUCAGUUUCAGCACUCGAAGGCGUGGAAGAUUUUCCAGAAUUGGCAUGGGAUCCUCCAUUAGCUCAGUAUUUGAUAAGCUCAGUUGGAUCAGACUUGGGGGAAAUUGGUAUUCAGACAGGACCAUCCGUGAGGGCUUGCUCUCAUUCACCAGCUUCAAGCAUUCAAGUUUGUGGAGUUCGCAUAGGCUUUUGGAAACCCCUGAAUGAUAGCAACUCAAAUCUCCAGAUAUCCGAAGAGUUUGAACAUUAGGUAGUCUGCCCAAUAUAUCAGGAGUACAACUACUGGGGUUUAAAGUUGAUAUGAAAAUGAGAUUUUUCAGGGAGCUAGAAUAAUUUUUUGGAGGUGCGGGCAGAGUGAUAGAACCAAAGUUUAGAUGCAUGAGUUUUUGCAUCUUCCAAAUAUCCUCUGGUGACUGAUCUAUGUAGCUAGAUGGCAUUUCUAGUGUUUGAAGGUUUAAAAGGGUGCAUAGCAGUGAAGGAAGGCAUUUGAGCGAAGGGAUAUUCAAUUUCAAAUACUUCAAAAGGAAUAAAUUUUCUAAUCCGGGUGGAUAUUGGUCCAGGACUGCAGAACCCAAGUUCAGUACCCGAAGGUAUUUGAACCUUUUAAAAAAAUUCUCGCAAUCUUUCGGAUUAAGAUGAUAUCUUUUUGGACUGUGAUUGAGAAAAGAUUGGAGAUACAUGUCAGAAUGUUCUAAAGAAAGGAACUCAAUCAAAUCAUCGACAAUGAAGCACCGUUUAACAUUUGCGGGUGGUUCCUCUUCCACGUCAUGCAUCCAGACAAAUCCCGUCUUCUUUGCCACCACAAACAAUGAAGUGUAGUAUACAAUACUUGGAAAAUAACACGAUUUAAUUGUGCCUCCGGCCCUUCUUUUACUCACUUGAAUGAAGCCGCGAUGGAUUAGUUCUUUCAAGUAAUGUUCGGCAGUUUCUUCACUGUUGUAUGGUAUGAAACCUUCAGCUACCCACAAAUGAUAUAAUUGCCUCGUGGAUAUCUCAAUGCCUGGAGGGAAGACACACAAAUAGAUGCAGCAGAUUUUCAAGUGAAAAGGUAACUCCAACACAGAACAAAUUCCAAUGAAAAUUGUCGGAAUCGUUUCGCCUUGAACAUAAUUUUCUAAUGGCAUACUUCCAUAGUGUAGGAUGAAAAAUUGCCAGGCUUCAUGCUUUAAUCUGAUCAAUGGUCCUCCAAUGAGCACCGAAUCAAGCCGAAUCUUCUCUCCAUUUUCCAUUUCAAGCGACGCAAGGAGGUCUGGAUCAGUGACUGUUAUCAAUACUCUGCUUCCAUUCUGAUUAUCAGGAAGAACUUCUUCAAGAUCAUCCCAUAUGUCAAUGUUAUCGCAGACAUCAUCAAGCACAAUAAAGUACUUCUUGUUUGUUAGGUAAUCUCAAAGAAUAGAUUCCUUGAAUUGAUAAUCUUCACCGAUAAUUACACUAACCCGAGAUGGAGGCAUCACAGACUUGAUUAUGUCAUCCAAUAUCUUGCCCAAAUCGUAGAAUACAGAAACCCUGACCCAAGCAAGACAGUCAAAAUAGAACCUGACAUGAUUAUUGUUGUAAGUAUCUGCAGCAAAAGCAGUCCUAUCGAAGCCACUGCUGUCGAGAAUUGCAACCACUGCAAGCCCAGAUGGUCCCUCAAUCAAUAGAUCAAACAACUUCUCUCUGCCCCUUUCAAAUUCACUGAUAUCGAGCCGAGGUUGUCCCUCAUUCAAUAGGCGAAUGAUUUCGUUACUUUUUUCACUGAUAUCAAAACCAUUGUCGCCGGGCGGAAGUUGUUGCAUCCGAUUUCUAAUAUCAAUGAUUUCACUGUGGACAUGAAGAGCCAUAUUAGUGCUGCUUUCACUUUCGUUUUCACUGUUUUGCUGCUGCAUUAUGUUGAUGAAGAAUCUGUCAAUGGCUUCCUCAGAUUCAUGGACAAAGUCAUUGAUGUGCACCAGAAUUUCCAAAAUAUCUGGUCUUUUAACGUCUUCUUCAUCGCUUUCUUCUAAGUCCAACAGUUGCAAAAAAGGAAAAGAUAUUUCGAAGUCAUCGAAUUCUUCUAGAAUGAGUUGAAACAAAUGCCGAGCCAUGUCAGCUUCAUAGUUUCCCAGAAGAGUAGCAGCAAUAAUUUCGGACUCCGUAAGAAGGUUUUGAAAAAGUGGGGUUAAAUUUGUUGAAUCUGGCAGCGGCAACGUGCCUUCUUCACCUGCUAACACCCUUUUCAACCUCUCACAAAUCAGUCGGAGGUGGAAUUCCAGCAUUUCUCCUUCUCUCCGUAGCACUCAAUUAGAAUUAUCUUCGAAUUCUAAUUUAAUUGACUAAGUAGUUAUAGCUAUUCUAUUGAUUAGGUCUAGCUAUUAUAUUCUAAAUGAUUAAUUGAGAGGUAUAGUUGAAAGAUUAAACACCAUGGAAGAAUUUGAAAGGAAAAUGCCAAGAAACUGUGUAAGUGGCUAAAUUCCACAAAUAUGACAUUAUUGCUCAUUUUUUAACUCAAAAAAAGGGUACGCAUUCAUUUAGAGAAAAGUCCAAGACGCGUGCUUUUUAAAAAGAACAGGUAUCCAACCUCUAUCUUAUUAAAUUACAACCAUGACAUAAUUGAUGGUGCUUAAAUCAAUUGUUUCUUUUUUAAUUUAAAGAAUUUUUCAUUAAAAAAAUAUUUUAAUAUCAAAUUGCCUUCAGUGGCGUAACUGCCUCAGGCCCAGUAACAGGACUAAUUAAAAAUUUUACAAUUUUUGGGCAUGGAAAUAGUAGUAUUAAACAUUAGAAAGGUAAGGUUGUUCUGUUAAAGAAUUGAUAUUGACAUAAUUUUAUUUUGGUUUUCGUGGAAAAAAAAUUUGUUGACAAGUAAGAAAAUAUUUUUAUUUUUUAAAAUUUAUUAUGCAUAUUUUAUCAUAUUAAAGUAAUUUUAAUAAUAAAUAGAAACAUAAUAUUACAAUAAAUAAAUUAUAGUUUAAAUUAUUUUGAAUAUUAUAAAAAAUAAUGUUAAUAUUAUUAAUAGGAAGACAUUUUGUUAAUUUUAAAAUCUUUUUAAUCCAAAGGUUUAUUUAAAAUCUCUAUAAUAAAUACAAAUAUAAGAUUAAAAUAAAAAUCAUAAUUUCAAAAUUUUAAUAUUAUUUUAAAUGUUAAAUAUACUUUAAUGUUAUUAGCCUACUACGUAGAUUUUAUUAUUUAUAUUAUAUUCGUAUUGAUUAAAAUUUUUUAAAGUCAAUUUUUUAGUUAGUACAUUCAAGAGGUAUCAUAGUUAAAGAAAAGAUUUUGGUGCAACUGUUUUAAAAUUUCAGGGUAUAAAUGAUAAUUUUUUUUAAAAUUUUAAGGAAGUAGGUAUUAUUUUUCCGACAAUUUAUUUUAUUUUGAGGGAAAUCCGAUGAGAAAUAUCAUCAGAGAACAUUAAUUUAACAUUCUUUACCUUUAUGAAAAAAGUGGAAACCAAGAACUAUUCAAAUUUUUUUUUUUUGUGUAAUUCAAAAAAUGCAUCCACCAAACAAGCUUAUCAUAAUUUUCCCACUUUAUUCAUUUUCGAUGCUUUUCAAAAGAGGUUCCUUUAAUCCAUCUAGCAUCUGCAGCCCCCACUAUUUUACAAAUCUCCAUCCCACAUCUACACUAUCAAAAAAGUUGAUGGAAAUUGAACCCAUUAAGUUAUGUUCAUUACUGGUCAUUAUCUUUCUAUGAGCCACUUAUUUUGAGCAUUAGCGAUCUUCUAAGGAAUCAUGCCUUUUCAGGAUCGUUUUCUUUCAUUUCCUUAUUGUAGUAGUUAAUUAAAUAAAGAACGAACAAGUGAACUUUGUCUAUUUCGAGGAAGAACUAGGUUUCCAACACUAGAGGAACUUUGAAGAAAAUUAAUUGGAAGCCUUUAUUCAUCUUUGAAGAAAAUUACGUGCCAAUGUAACCAAGGCUUUUAUUCAUCUUCGGACUAUGAAUUUAUACAAAAACAUUAACAGAAAAUAACAAAGACACAGCUAAAUGAUAGCAACAAGUGUUGAUUUAGUGGACCACUUCUACAAGUAAAUAAAAACUAAAUAUUUAUUUAAGGAGGGCUUUUGUUAGUAGAGUUUUUAUAAAUAGAAAUUUAACAAAAAAAAAUUAUAGUUAUUUAGUUGUCAAUGUCCAAAUUGAUGAAUUAUUGUUCUUUUUGUUAACAUGUGUUUGUUUUACUUAAUAAUAAAAGUUUAGUUUACAAUUACACCGGUGUCAAAUCAGCAGAGCAUUUUUGCAGCCAGUCACAUUAUACAUUAUAUACUAAUAGCAUCGGCAAGAGUUUUCGAUUGUUGCAACUUGCAAUGCACGCGAUGCGAGAAAAUGAGAAUCUUGUUUAAUUGCAAUAAUGACAAACCUAAUCCUUUCAUUAGGAGUAAAUUAAUAAUCGUUUGUUAUUAUUGAAUAUGUAUAAAGAAAGGACAAUUCUAUUCAUAGAUUCGACUUAUUUUUUGUUUAAAGUAAUUAAUCAUUCAACCAUCUUCAUUUGCCUCUGGCCAAUGCCCUUGUAGAUUAGUUGAAGCGUUUAUUACUUAAUUCAGAUAAUUACAACGUCCUUUUCGCUAAUUAAUUAUGAUUAUGAACAUUUUCAUAUAGCAAGUGGCAUUGUAGAUCUAAACUACGUUGCUAUUUCAAUACGUUAAUUAAGUGAUUCUCCUCAUUGUCAUCAACGUUAUAAACAGGAAUUGUGCAAACAGUACACAAUGCUGCAGCAAGGCGUGGGUGGCUAGAGUUUUGCAACCACCCUUGAGAUCCUGUGCUGCCAGUAGUAAAAGAAUUUUACGCCAAUUUGGUAAGCCCUGGUCAGCACAACAUUUGGGUAAGAAACUCACUUGUUCCAUUAGACUCUCGAGUUAUAAAUGUUUUUUAUAAUUUACCUGCUGAAAUUAAUUGUGAGUAUGCCAAGUUGCUUGACAAAUUGACCCCGCAACAAUGGAACACAAUUUUCACGACACUUACGGUAGAGGGUGCAUCGUGGGCUAAUGAGGAGGGGCAUGUAAUUAACAAGAUAGAUUUAAAACCCAUUGCUAAGGUGUGGGUGAAAUUUCUAAAAUCCAGGCUUAUGCCAACCACCCACACCACUACUGUUUCACAGGAAAGGUUGGUGCUGUUAUAUGCUAUUGUUAGAGGGCUUCCCAUAGAUGUGGGAAGCAUUAUCGAAAAAGAAAUUCGAGAUUGUGCCAUGAAAAACCACAAGGCUGCUGCCUUGUUAUUUCUUUCACUCAUAACCAGCAUAUGUGUAGUAUCAGGUGUUCGUCUUGAUGCAAAGGAUGAAAUUUGUAAUUAUAUUAUGGCUCCAUUUGGUAUAACUUUUUAAUUCGAACUUAUUUAAGGAGAAUUUUUAUUAGUAGAGUUUUUAUAAAUAGAGAUUUUACUAAAAAACAAAAAUUAUAGUUAUUUAGUUGUCAAUGUCCAAAUUGAUGAACUAUUGUUCUUUUUGUUAACAUGUGUUUGCCAGUCACAUUAUACAUUUUUGCAACUUGCAAUGCAAGCGAUGAGAGAAAAUGAGAAUCUUGUUUAAUUGUCAAUAAUGACAAACCUAAUCGUUUCAUUAGGAGUAAUUUCAUAAUCGUUUGUUAUAAUUGAAUAUGUAUAAAGAAAGGAAAAUUCUAUUCGUAGAUUCGACUUAUUUUUUGUUUAAGGUAAUUAAUCAUUCAACCAUCUUCAUUUGCCCCUGGCCACUGCCCUUGUAGAUUAGUUGAAGCGUUAAUUGCUUAAUUCAGAUAAUUACAACGUCCUUUUCGCUAAUUAAUUAUGAUUAUAUACGUUUUCAUAUAGCAAGUGGCAUUGUAGAUCUAAAUUAUGUUGCUAUUUCAAUACGUUAAUUAAGUGAUUCUCCUCAUUGUCAUCAAGUGGAAAAUAGCUCAAUUGUUUCCCUGCAUCGAUUUUCAUUGGUAAGUGAUUUCUUAUGAUAUUCGUUUGAGCUUUCCUUAUUAAAAAAGCUUGAGCCUUGAUCACCUAAUACUGAUAUCAAUUAACUUGUGAACGAUUUUGUAAUGAAAUUAGGAGUUAAAUAUAUAAGAUUUUUACGUGAUGAAUUUUGAUUUUUUUAAUUUUUUGAUGUAGUCAAUUUGCUAAUUUUAUAUAUUUCAUAUUCAACGGAAUUUGGGCACGGAAAGUUUGGAUUCUAAUAUUUAUAUAUUUAGCUUUAAUCAGCUUGACUUUAGCAAUCUUUUUCCCUCAUCAUUAAGGGAUUCAGAAUUAGAGAAACGCUAGGAAGAGGAAGAAAAUAACUUUGGAAGUAAGUAAGAGGGAAAAAAUUAUGAAAUUUGGAAUUAUUUUUUGUAAAGUAUGUUGCGUUUACUAAACUGGAAUUAGAAUGAGCUGAAAUCAGAAUGAAUAGGAAUGCGAAUGUGCUGAAAUCGGAAUAGGUAAUGAGAAUAAGAAUAAGUUGUUUACUUGAACUGUAAAAAUCAAAAUCGGAAUGAGCUGAAUUGCAAUUACUUUGUCUUGGAAUCGGAAUCGGAAUCGGAAUGAGUUAGAUUAUAACAAAUUACUGAAAAGUACUUAAUGAAUUAUUGUCAUAAUUAUUAUUUUAUAUUUUAAUUAUAGUGAUUAUUUAUUCAAAAAUUAUUAUUAUUAAUUAUUUCCAAUAAUAUAUUAAUAUGUUAAUUAAUUUUAAAAAUUAUUAAUUAAUUUAUUAUAAUAAUAUACUAAUUAAUUAUAAUUAUUAUUAUAAAAAUAUAUUAAUAAUAAAAUUACUAAUUUAAUUGUAAUAAUAUAUGAAUUAAUUAUAAUAAUUAUUAUAAUAGUAUAUGAAUUAAUUAUAAUAAUUAUUAUAAUAGUAUAUUAAUUAAUAAUAAUAAUAAAAAUAUAUUAAUUAUGUGAUUAUUUAUUCAAAAAAUAUUAUUAUUAAUAAUUAUUGUUAAUAAUGUAUCAAUAUACUAAUUAAUUAUAAUAAUUAUUAUAAAAAUAUAUUAAUUAUUAAUAAUAAAAUUACUAAUUUAAUAAUAAUAAUAAAAAUAUAUUAAUUAUGUGAUUAUUUAUUCAAAAAUUAUAAUUAUUAAUAAUUAUUGUUAAUAAUGUAUCAAUAUAUUACUUAAUUAUAAUAUAUUAAUUAAUUAUAAUAAUAUAUUAAUUAAGUAUAAAUGAGGACAAAGUGGGUAUUUUUAAUUUCACGAAGGGGCAAAAUGGUCAAUUCUAGUAAUGGGAGACUCACUCCCACCCUCUCCUUUGGGAAUGAGUCUCCCAUUCCUCAUUCCCAAAUUGUGGUGGGCCCCAUGAUUUUGACUCCGAUUUCUAACUCAAUUUUGCGAAGUAAACGCUACCAAUGAUUCCGAUUUCGGAUUCUGAUUCACUUAUCUGAGAAGUAAAAGCAACAUAAAUGUGUAUGAAUAAUUGAUACCUAUGAAUAGUUUUGGGAGUUUUAGCUAGGAGUCAUCUAUUGAAGAUGUUUAGCAAUUGAAGAUCUCUGUCUCAGUAGUUUUCCCAAUCAAAAUCAAGAAGCAAAAAAACUUGCCAUUUUUCUACUUGAUAAUUAAUUGAAAUUUAAGAAAAUACAAUGGCAUUUCAAUUAGAAUUGGUAAUUGUUUAUCUUUUUUCAUUGAUCAAAUUCUAAUCGUGAUCCAAUAGUUAUGGAUGAAGGAAAUAUUAUGAGAGGCGAUAGGCCAAGUGAAGACGUACCAGCAAAUUCAAAAUAGUCGGGAGGUGGACGUCCAGCAUAUCUCCUUCUCUCUGUAGCACCCAGAUGCAUUGUUAUUUGCUCCAAGAAAUGUUAAAAGGAUUGGCCCUAUCUCAAUGUGGUUAGUGGCAAGGGCGGAGACAGCAUAUUAAUUGACUGUGGGCUUACUCAACUGCGAUAAAAAAAAUUUAAAAAAUAAUAAAUAAUAAAUUUAAAAGAUUUAUCAUACUUCAAUAUAUGUUUAUAAUUAUCCUUUACGAGUUUUCAUACAUUGAUAACGUUGUAUUACAACUUCAUUAUCAAUAUUAUUGUGGGCUGUUUAAAAAUUUGAUUAAUAUUAAUAUUUAUAGGCUUGAUUUUAUUUUGUAAAGCCCAUCUCUUUUUAUUUGUUUUAAAAACUUAGAGUGUGAGAAUUUAAGUAUAAUUAUGUAUUAGGAACUUGAAUAUAAAUUAGUGGGGGCUUAGGAAAAAUUUAUUAGAAAUUUUUGGCAAAUCAAAUUAGUUAGUAAAAGAUUUUUUUUUUUUUUUUCAGUGGGGACUUAAGUCCCCACUGGUCCCAAGCUAGAUCCGCCACUGGUUAGUGGUGAAAAAUUAAACACCAUGGAAGGAUUUGCAAGGAAUAUGCCAAGAAACUGGCUAAGUUCCACAAAUAUGGCAUUAUUGCUCUUUUUUUUUUAAAGAAAAAUUAUACACGUUAAUUUAGCAAAAAGUCUAAGACACGUGCCUUUUGAAAAGAAUAGCUAUUACCAUGACACAAUCGAUGCGGCUGAAACCAAAAUUUUCUUUUCUUAAUGUAAAGUUUUUUUUUUAAAUAGAUUUUAAUAUCAAAAUGCCCUUCGAUGUUAUUACUCUCACAAGCCCUGUAACAGGAGUAAUAAAAAAGUUUAGAAUUUUUGGGCAUGAAAAAAGUAGUAUUAAACAUCAGCAAGCAAAGGUUGUUCUGUUAAAGAAUUGAUAUUGACGUGAUUUUAUUUUGGUUAUCGAGAAAAAAAUAUAUUUGUUGACAAGUAAGAAAAUAUUAUUAUAUUUUACAAUCUAUUAUACAUAUUUUAUUAUAUUAAAUAAUACUAAAUAGAAACAUAAAAUUAGAAUAAAAUAAAUUAAAAUUAAAAUUAAAAUUAUUUUGAAUAUUAUGUAAAAAAUAAUGUUAAUAUCAUUGUUACUUGUAAAAUAUAUUUAGCCUAAAGAUUUAUUUAAAAUUUUAUAAUGAAUAAAAAUAUAAAAAUAAAUUAAAUAUCAUAGUUUAAAAUCUUAAUAUUAUUUUAAAUAUUAAAAAUACUUUAAUGUAUCUUAAUAUUAUUUUAAAUAUUAAAAAUACGUUAAUGUUAUUAUUCUACUACACAUGUUAUAUUAUUUAUAUUAUAUUUGUAUUAAUUAAAAAUUUUAAAGUCAACUUUCUAGUAACUAUAUUCAAAGGUAUUAUGGUUAAAUAAAGGUCUUAGUGUUUCUUUUUCAAAAUUUGAGGGUCUACAUGAUAAUUUUUCCAAACCCUAAGGUAUAGGAGUCCUUUUUGUCAAUAAUUUAUUUCACUUUUGAGAGAAUACGAUGAGAAAUAAGAUCAGAGAAAUGUCAAUUUAAUGUUCUCUAGCUUAAUGAAAAAAAAAUGGAAACCAAGAACUAUUCAAUUUUGUAUUUUUUGUUUGUAAUUCAAAAAAUCCAUCCGCCAAACAAGAUUCACGCAUUUAUGUUGUCAUAAAAUGAAAAAACAGUUUGUGAAAAAAUGGCACCAAACAUACCCUUAAUGUCCCACAUGAUUUCUUAUGAAGCCCAUAUUAGAUAUAUUUAUACAUUUUACUGCAUUUAGGACAUGUUUGAUAGCCUGCAUUAUAUAGGAUAAAAACAUAAUUUUGUAUUAAAUUAAUGCACACUCACGUUUGGCGCUAAAAGUAACUCCAGCCGCAUUGCAUUAAUGGGCUGCUACUGCGGCAAUUGCCGCACUAGCUUGCCUCUUUUUCUUUUUAAUUUUAUUUAUAAUAAUAAUAAUAAUAAUAAUAAUAAUAACAUAAUAUAACUUUUAUUUUAAUAUAAUAUUAAGUAUAAUUUUUAUUUUUACAUUAUAAUUAUUGAUAUAAAUUAAUAAAUUUAUUAUUUAUUAUUCAAUAAUAUUAUAUUAUUAUUUUUUUAUUUUUACAUUAUAAUUUAUUAGUAAAUUUAUAAUUUAAUAUAAUUAAUGAUAAUAGAAAAUAUCAUUACAUGUACUACAAAACUCUUACUUGGAUUAUUUAACACAAUUUAUUUUAUUCGUGAAUAUGUUAUAACAAUUGUAUCACUUUAUUGUUUUGUUAUUAUUUUGUGGUAUGUAUAAAUUUUUAUUCUAUUAUUCAAAGAUGACUUUUGAACUAAUCUUAUAGGUUUUAACUAUUUAUUUAUGUUGUUAUAUUAUUAGAGAUUAUUUGAUUAAAUUAUUUGCUUCGAUCUUUAUUUUACAGGUCAUAUAUUUAGAAAUUACUGAAAAAUAAAUGUUCUACUUCCAAAAAAUUUAAGGCUAUAAGCUCGAUCUUUAUGAAUAAUUGUGAUAUUUUUUAACAUUUACACUAAAAAAAUUGUUAAAUUUCUAAAAUUUAAGACUUCUAUAUUUAGUAUUUUUCCAAUUACUAAUAAGUAUUAUUUUCUAAAUAUAUAAUUUAAAUUAAUCACAAAAAAUUAAUACAGUACAGUGCAAUAUCAAAUAUAAUAUAAUUAAAAAUUAUACAGUACAAUGUAGCACCAAAUAUUGUACAAUAUUAUUAUAAAAUAGUACUGAUGCAAUACAAUAUAAUACAAUAUAGUGUGCCAAACGCACCCUUAGAGUGUGUUUGGAACAUGGGAUUAUAGGGUAUUAAAACACUGUUCACAUUAGCUUAAUACCAAUAUCAUGUUUGGAAAGAAAUUUUAAGGGAUUAAAGGGGGGUGAGCUAAUGCCAUAACUGCGCCAUUAGUGUCUUGGUUUUUUUUUAAAUAAUAAUAAAAAAUAUAAAUUCCUAAUUUUAUGUAAUAUUAUAUAAUAUUAAUUUUUAUUUUCUUUGAUCUUUACAUUAUAGUAAUUAAUAUAAGUUAAUAAAUUUAUAAUUUAUUAUUCAUAUUUUAAUUUUUAUUAUAUUAAAAAUAUAACUAAAUAAUUUAAUUUUAAUUAUAUAAUAAUUAAUGUAUAAAAUUGAUUAAUAUUUAAUAAGUUAAUACAACUAGUAAUAAGUGCUUAAAUAAUAUAUAAAAAUAAAAAUAUAACAUAAUAUUACAUUAUUUAAUUAUAUUACAAUAACUAAUAUAUAAAAAUUGAUUAUUAUUUAACAAUUUAAUAUAGCUAAUAAUAGAUACUUAAAUAAUAAUUUAAUAUAACUAAUAAUGAAUAUUGAUAUAUGAAUAUAUUUAAAUAAUAUUAAUACCAAUAUAUAUAAUAAUAUAAAAUAUUAUUACAUGUACUGUAGUAUUCUUACUUGGAUUAUUUAGCGCAAUUUAUUUUAUUAGUGAAUAUGUUACAACUAUUGUAUCACUUUAUUAUUUAAAUUAAUCAAAAAAAUUAAUACAGUACAAGAUAGCACUAAACAUUGUAUAACAUUAUUAAAAUACAGUGUUAAUGCAAUACAAUAUAAGACAAUACAUCUAUAUUAAAAUAAAAUAAAAUAAUUUAAUUUAAUAUAAUACAGUAUGUCAAACGCACCUCGUAUAUUUUAAUUUCAAAAGAAGUUGGUCCUUCCGUUAUUUAUAAAAGAUAACUUUAUUUUCAGAUUACCACUAAACUCUGAAGUAGAAUUGGUGUAAUGUUAAGAGAGAGUAACACAGUUUUCCAUUACCAUCUUUGAAAAUAGAAAGAUAUGGAUCAGUGUAUUUAAGAGUUAUCGUGAAAAUCAUACAGUUCAAUUCCCUGACACAUAUAUUUAUGAGCAUAUGCCAAAAGAAUAAAUAGAUAGAAAGUAAAUUUACAAUCCUCACUUCCUCACAAUUGUUAAAAUGAAGAUGCAUUACAACUGUGAACUGUCACUAUUUUAGCCUUUUUUAUUUUUUACUUUUAGUUAUAGUGCGAUGGAGACAGUGAACAUCAAGGAUGAGAAUAAAAGUUAAAGAUGACCCACCCACUUUCUUUUUAAAGUGCUCUGCUCAAAGACAAACUUCCUCUGGCUAAUUAAUUUAGAUGUGAAGAGAGAAUAAAGUCCUAGAUGCCUUCUGAAAUUAGAAAUACAUUUUAUAUGCUUUAAUUAUGAUUAUUUGGUAGACUAUAGACCUAAAAGACAUGUUAGAUUAUAAAACAGUGCGAUUAAAAAAAAAAGAGUAUUUGUGACGUCAAAUAACAAUUGGUAACUAAAAUCCAAAAUAUUUGAGUUGUUAAAAGCAAAUAAAAAAAAAGAAGGUAAGAGUGAUGCAGAAACACAAUAUUAGCUUAUCUUGAUUUUCCCACUUUAUUCAUUCUCGAUGCUUUUCAAAACAAAUUCUUCUAAUCUUUCUGGUGUCUGCAGCCCCUUGUCACGGGACGAGAGGUUUCGAGCCCGUGCGGUACUCUCGCAUCCCAUACUGCGAGAGUAAACCUAGUGGAAGUGGCACAAUAUCGACUGGUUUCACCCUGUCUUGGGCUCAUCAGGAGAACGGCUCCAGUUCCCAACCAGUGUGUGAAGAGCUUCGCCUAAACCCCUCUUCAACGUUAAGUCCUUGACUAGCGACAAGCUCCCCAAACUCAACCAGGUUGGCCUGCCUGAACUCCAAGAAAUCUAGGAUCAUUGUAUUCCCCACACGACGCCCCUGAAGCACGUCUCCUACAAUCAGCACAACCCUUAUCGAUACCAGCGUACAAACGCAUAUCUUCGGCGUCACAAUUGCAGUCCGUGACACCCUGCUCUUGUUAUAAAACUCCACCCCAAAUCUACACUACAAACAAGUUGAUUGAAAUUAAACAAUUGCUUUUUGAAGUGGACCCAUUGAGUCGUGGUCAUUACUCGUCAUUGUCUAUUUUUUCUAUGAGCCAUUUAUUUUGAGCAAUAGUGAGCUUCUCUGAACUACUCCAAUUAUUGAUGUAACUCCAGUGGCUGCAUCCAUAGUUGAAUAUAUGACAGUAUUAGCUCUUAUUUGAGAAUAUAGGGGGAUCUUUCUUUGUUUCUUUGUUGCAGUGUUCUAGUUUAUAGUCUUGCUGUUAAUGAAUUCACUGAGGCAUUAUUAAUUUAAUUUCAGUGAAGUAAUUAUGGAUGAAAAAUAAAUAAAGGAUAACAGAAUAGAGCUGAAGUGCUGAAUCGGCUAUUAAAGAAAGUGUCACGUGAUCACAAUCACACUGAUGCACAACUCUCUCUAUGUACUCCAAAUUCAGCCAAACCAUACAUGCCUCAACAAAAUUAAACCGUAGUUCUCAUCACUACAGUAAAUGAAGCCCACAAAGACAGCUGAAAUGGAAAAUAUUGACUAUUGAAUGGAUCAAUGCUGAAUUACACUUGAAAUGGGAAGCUUGGCUGCGGUUACGAUGUUUCCCCCUCUGAUUUUUCUCCAAAACAAAUUCCGUUGUAAAUAAUAUUCAAUGUAGCAACACUUUAUUCAGCAAAGAAAAUACCUAAUUUUUCAACUAACAAAUUCUCUUGUCUAAACUAAAAAAACUCACAUCUCUCCAAUCUAUCUACAAAAUAUUGGAGAUGAGAGGUGAUUUGUCAACUCGAUAAAUAAAUUCAUGCAUAAUGUUACCAAUAAUGAUAAAUUACUUAAUAAUUCUUAUAAAGAAUCAUAAAUAAGGAACAUUAACCAUUUUACAGUCUAUUACAUAAGUAAGAUUAAUCUUAUAAUAAGUUAACUUAUAACGUAAUAAAUAUUUCAAUUCAUAAUUAUUUAAGAAGUCACUUAACAAUAAAAUAUUUUUUUAUUUAAUUGAUCAUGUCAUAUAACGUUAUCUAAACUCCUGACGAUAUUAUUAUUACUCACUUUUCUCAAAAAAACAUGACUAACGUUUAGAGAAAAGUCAUGCCUUUUAGAUAGAUAGAAUAUGAUUACAAGCUAUCCAUACUUUAUCUUACCAUGACAAAAUUGAUGGUGAUUAAAUCUAUUUUUAAAAUAGAUUUAAUGCACAAACAUGAUGACUUUUGCCAAAAAUUAGUUUCAGAAGAUAACUAAAUUAAGUUGCAAAGGAGCUUACUUCAAUUUCUAAGCUUUUCAAUCAUGAUUCCUCCAUGCCUUCCUCUGAUACCAUUUUGUUACGUGCCAACGUAAUUGACCUUGUAAUUGGUUUGUAUAAGGAAUGAAGCCCUUUCAAGAUCGUUUCUUUUGUGUCCAUAUUGUAGUAGACUAGUAGUCAAGUAAAUAAAGAGUGAAUAACUGAAUUUGGUCUAUUUCGAAGAAGACUAUGGCCUCCACACUACAAGAAAAUAGGCGAUAGAUAACGGGAAAUAACCGUCAUAAAAGGUGGUGUAUGACAGACAGUUUAUUCGUCAUCUAUGUCACUGUCAUUAAUUUAUGACAGAAUAUUUUCCGUCAUGAAUUCUUGAUGUUAUUUUACAAUCAUAUAUCCAUCACACAAUAUUUUAAUGAGAAAAAAUAAUUAAAUAAAAUUUGAAUUUAUUAAAAUUUUUGCUCUAUUUUUUAAUUUUUUGGCGGAAAAUUAAAUUGUCAUUUGUAAAUUUCUUAUUCAAUUUUGGUGGAAAAUUUUUUUAUGACAGACUUUAUGAUGUGUAUUUCCCAUCAUAAAGUUAAUUUUUUUAAAUUAUAUUGUGAUUAUAGUUUAUUUCUGAAUUCCUGUUUACAAAUUUAAUUAAUUAAUAAAAAAUGAAUAUUGUCAAAAAAUAAAAAAAUAAUAGUAACUAAAAUCCAUUCAAUCCAACAAAUUAAUUUCAAAAUAAAUACAUCUAAUAUUCAAUGUCAUUACCACUAAUACAUAAUAAAACAUCCCAAAUUAAAAAAAAGAAUGUCAAAAUAUAAAACAAUAGUUAAAUUCCAAUUAAAUUCCAAGAAAUGUAAUUCAAAUUCCGGACACCGAGCCAAGCUCCCCAGCAAAACUUCCAAAGAUUAAUGGAAAUAUUCCAAUAGCAAGACUUCCAGAAGCAAUACCCUCUUCCAGUGGCAAUACAUUGACUAAUCUUUGAAGCCAUGACUCCUCAAGCCAAUGCCAAAAAUGUGUGCAAAAUUAAUGCUCUAUCCACAAAAAUUUCAGUCUAUAUUGGUAAGAAGAAACAUGAAGAAACAAUUACCUCAGCAUCAUCGUCAUUGGAAGCCAAAUCAGCUGUAAAGACCACAAAAUGUUUGGUUAGAACUAGUGGAAGUCUUACUCUAAAACUUUUAAUUUUUGAAUUUCGAAAGAUCUAGUAAUGACAAAGAUUCUCAUAUCCAGUGACCAAGUUUUGAAAAUUAGAAUACGGAAUAACGUCAACUAAAUUCACUAAUAUAGGGUGCAUUUGAGAUUGAGGUUGGACAGCUGUAGCUUAAAAGCUACAGUAGUAAAGUGUUUGGUAAACACUAGUUGCUGUAAUUUAAAAACUAUGUUGAUAUGAUUUUUCACUUGUAUAAUGGAGAAUCUAUUUUUUUAAAUAAUUAUGUCAAAAUUAUUAUUUAAAAUUUAUAUUUACUACAUAUUAUUAAUUUUUGUUUCAUAGUCACAGUUUUUUUUCCACAGCAGUUGUAAAGCUACAUCACCUCAAUCCCAAACGCACCCUAAGCUAGAGGAAUCCCUAGUUGAUAUAGCACACAUGCACACAUGAUAUGCAUGCAUCAGAAUACACAAUAAUAAAUUAUCUCAAAGUCAAUAAGAAGCCAAAACUAGAGAUAAACCUUUAGCCACUAUAAGGAAGACUGAUAUUUGCAGUGUGAUUACAAUAAACAAACAGAAACUUCACUACCCAUAAGUAAAGCAAAAUAAAUAAAGGAUAAUAACUAACCAAGAAAUGGAAAAGCUCACAUUCUCUGAACACGCACCCCAAAAAGAAAGAAAGAAAUAAAUGUUCCCAUUGGAUCUGAAGCACAAGCAAUCCACUGACAUCCUUCUAUAAUUAGGUAAUUUAAAGGGGUUAAGCUCACAUCUUUUACGGAAGCAACAAGAGAAUUAACAACAUUCCAGAGGAUUUAGGGAAAAACCACGAGGCAAGAAAAAAGAAAGAUCCUUCUUCAAUCUAGAUAUCUUGACACUGCUCACCAUCUACAGCAGUCUGGGGCUUAAAAAGCAUGAUCUCUCCCCCCCUCUGGCACCAUUUUCUCUCAUGUGAAUCUGUCAUUGCCCGUAGAAACAAACCAGAACUGCAUAAAUUCUCUUAUCUUCCAGCAGCUUCUUUUCUCCAGAAAUAGGCACAACUAUUUGACAUGGAAACAAUUUAUCUAACAUGGCCACCUUUAAAGACAAAGACAUACUAAGGACAUGGUUUUAGAUACGGAUACAAGAAACAAUCACAAAAUGUAAAAUCUAUACAUAUGAUAUUAAUUUCCAAUGGAUACAGCACUUCAUUCUUUGACUUAACUUCAUUAGAUUACUAGGUUUGAUUAGGUUAUACACACAUUUAUUCAUUUAUGGUUUUCAACCUAUAAUCUACAUGCACUUAGAAUGAGAGGUACCUAUAAAAACAAGUUACCAGAAAACAAUACAGCUAGAAAACAUUAAAACAUUAAUCUAAGCAGUUCUAUAGGUUUAACUAACUGCAGGAAAAAACCGUUGAUUUUGUCCGUCGGAUUAUUGAGAUCCUAAUUCUGGUAAAAAGAAAAUGAGAUAAUAGAAAAUCAAAAAUUAAAUAGACACAAAAUGAGAAAUCAAGAUCAUACGGCAACUAAUAUAUAGCAUGGGCUGCAGCUAACAAGCAAUAUAAGCCAUGAUAUUAUGCCAGAUACAAAAUUUUGAGAUCCAAGAGAGAUCAAGAAGCAUGAAUAUUGAAAGAAGUGAGUGCAGAAGGAUAAGAAAUCAGGUUGAUAUUCUUCAUACUUUGGGUCAACACGUAGUGAUGCAAUAAACUUGUAAUUAGCUUCAAGUGUAUAGGCUACCAUGUCAACAUUUCCGAAAACACACAAGAUUGUGCUGGAUUCAUAUAUAGUACAUAUAUAAAAAAACAAUCUGCUUCUAAACUUCAUGAGAACAUCGAAUAAUGAACUUACAAUUUGAUCCCUCAUCAUCUUCAUCGCACCAUUUGUUCCAAUCAACCUUAAUGUAAGGUGCUGGUUUCUCUUCUGACUUGAGUAGCCUUUUCCACCAACCUUUCUCUUCUUUUUGCACCGAGCAUAUUAUGUUCCUUAAGCCAACUUUAGUCUUACAUUUCUGCACCACCAGCAACAAAAUUCAAAGCAUUACAAAAGAGGUAUAUUUAGCCGCUCUUGACUCGAGUGAGAGAACAGGAUAAACAGCCUAGGUAUAUCCACAUCCAUGUUAUGAGAUUAAUUAUGCAACAACUAACUUUAAUAUAAAGUUUGUGCUCCAACAAAGACUAAAAUGUUUGUAAUUGUUAUGCUUCCGGAGCUAAAAUGUUUCGCAAACACUCACUUUUACUCUGCAGCUAAUAUCUAGCACCCAGCCACACAAAGUCCGUAGUCUUUGUCUCAACUUUGUCUGAGGCCAAUGUAAAUCCAAUUUGCACAAGCUCUCUAUGCACCACAGCUCUUCUGGAAGCUUUCUCAAGUACGCACAAGGGUUGACAAUUAAGCUUUCAAGUUUUGGUAUUGCUCCAGCCCCCAUCGUCCACUCAUCUAGCCAAUACAUUGAUUUCAGGCGCAAAACCUUAAGUUCCGGAAAGCCACCCGAGCAAGCACAGGCCAGCUUUCUUCCUAAAUACAAGCUCUGCUUCAGUUUCAGCACUUGAAGGCGUGGAAGCUUUUUGAUAAGGAAAGGGAGCCACGGAGGUCAACAAAGGUUCAUAAGCCUAACUACAGAUACGAGGGCUUUGUUUGAACAUUCGUAAGUCUCAUGCAGCCAUGCAUGCGGUCAUGCAUGUUGCAUGCAAUACCAUGCAAGACUUAUUUACGCAUGGAUUAAAGAGUAGUCUGUUUCUAGUUUUUUAUUUAAGAUUGCUCAGUUAUUUAAAUUGAUUUUAGCCGUGAAUUGUGGCUACAAAUCCUUAGUAGUGUUUGUAUUAACUACUAUAAAUAAGCUCCAGCAAUUAAUAAAAGGAUUAUGCAAAAAAUUAUCUCAAAGUACUAUUCUUGGUCGUUUUCACCGUAAGUAGAACAACGUAAACUUAGCUAUUGUUGAACGUUUUUGAUUGGGACCUAUCACUUUUCCAGCCUUGGCAUGGGAUCCUCCAUUAGCUCAGUAUUUGAUAAGCUCAGUUGGGUCAGACUUGGAGGAAAUUGGUAUUCAGACAGGACCGUCCGUGAGAGCUUGCUUUCAUUCACCAGCUUCAAGCAUUCAAGUUUCUCUAGUUCGCAUAGGCUUUUGGAAAUCCCAGAUUGAUAGUAACUCAAAUCUCCAGACACUCUAAGAGUUUGAAGAUUAGGUAGUCUGCCCAAUAUAGCUGGAGUGCAACUACUAGGGUGUAAGGCUGAUAUGAAAAUGAGAUUUUUCAGAGAGCUGGAAUAAUUUUUUGGAGGCGCAGGCAGAGUGAUGCAACCGAAGUUUAAAUGCACGAGUUUUCGCAUCAUCCAAAUAUCCUCUGGUGAAUGAUCUAUGUAGCUUGAUGGCAUUUCUAGUGUUUGAAGGUUUAAAAGAGUGCAUAGCAGUGAAGGAAGGCAUUUGAGCGAGGGGAUAUUCAAUUUCAAAUACUUCAAAUGGAAAAAGUUUCUAAUCCGGGCGGAUAUUGGUCGAGAAUUGCAGAACCCAAGUUCAAUACCCCAAGGUGUUUGAACGUUUGACGAAAAUUCUCGCAAUCUAUCAGAGCGAGAUGAUCGCUUUCUGAACUGUGAUUCAGAAAAGAUUGGAGAUAGAUGUCAGGAUGUUCUAAAGAUAAAAACUGAAUCAGAUGUUCCAAAAUGAAGCACCGUUUAACAUUUGCCAGUGGUUCCUUUUCCCUUUCAUGCAUGCAGACAAAUUCCGUCUGCGCUGCCACCAAAAACAAUGGAGUACAUAAAAAACUUGGAACAUAACACGCUUUAAUUGUGCCUCCGGCUCUUCUCUUACUCACUUGAAUGAAGCCGCAAUAGAUUAGUUCUUUCAAAUAAUGCUCGGCAGUUUCUUCACUGUUGUAUGGUAUGAAACCUUCAGCUACCCACAAAUGAUAUAAUUGCCUCGUAGAUAUUUCAAUACUUGGACGAAAGACACACAAAUAGAUGCAGCAGACUUUCAAGUGAAAAGGUAACUCCAUCAAAGAAUAACUGUGUCUCUAAAUUGUCGGAAUCGCUACGCCUUGAACAUAAUUUUCUAAUGGCAUACUUCCAUAGUGUAGGAUGAAAAAUUGCCAGGCUUUAUGCUUUAAUCUGAUCAAUGGUCCUCCACUGAGCACUGAAUCAAACCGAAUCAUCUCUCCGUUUUCCAUGUCCAACAGCGUAAGGGGGCAUGGAUCAGUGACCAAUAUCAAUACUCUGCUUCCAUUCUGAUUGUCAGGAAGAACUUGUUCAAGAUCAUCCAAUACAUCGUCACUCUCUUCACAGUAAUCAUCAAGCACAAUAAAGUACUUCUUGUUUGUUAGGAAAUCUCGAAGAAUAGAUUUCUUCAAUUGAUAAUGUUCACCGAUAAUUACACUAACCCGAGAUGGAGGCAUCACAGACUUGAUUAUGUCAUCCAAUAUCUUGCCAAAAUCGUAGAGUACAGAAAUCCUGACCCAAGCAAGGCAGUCAGAGAAUUGCAACCACUGCAAGCCGAGGAUGUCCUUCAAUCAAUAAAUCAAACAACUCCUCUCUACCACUUUCAAAUUCGUUGAUAUCAAGCCGAGGUUUUCCCUCAAUCAAUAAGUGAAUGAGUUUGUCCCUUUGUUCAGUGAUUACGAAACCAUUGUCGCCGGGUGGAAGUUGUUGCAUCCGAUUUCUAAUAUCAAUAAUUUUACUGUGGAGUCCAACAAGAAGAGCCAUAUUAGUACUGCUUUCACUUUCUUCUUCACUGUUUUGCUGCUGCAUGAUGUUGAUGAAGAAUGUGUCAAUGGCUUCCUCAGAUUCAUGGACAAAGUCAUUGAUGUCCUUCACAAUUUCCAGAAUGUCUGAUCUUUUAACGUCUUCAUCGCUUUCUUGUAAAAAAGCCAAAUAUAUUUCGGAUUCAUCGAAUUCUCCUCUAAUGAGUUGAAACAAAAGCCGAGCCAUGUCAGCUUCAUAGUUUCCCACCAGAGUAGUAGCAAUGAUUUCUGACUCCGUAAGAAGGUUCUGAAAAAGUGGAGUCAAAUUUGUUCAAUCAGGCAACGUUAACGCGCCUUCUUCACCUGCUAGCACCCUUUUCAACCUCUCACAAAAUAGUCGGAGGUUCACGUCCACCAUAUCUCCUUCCCUCCGUAGCACUCAGAGAAGAUUGGUCCUAUCUCAAAGUGGUUAGUGCUGUAAAAUUAAACACCAUGGAAGAAUUUGAAAGGAAUAUGCCAAGAAACUGGCCAAGUGGCUAAAUUCCACAAAUAUGACAUUAUUGCUCAUUUUCUCUCAGACACGUGAUACACGUUGAUUUAGAGGAAAGUUCAAGAAUUUUGCUUUAAAAAAAAAAAUUGAUGGUGCUUAAAUUAUUAUUUUUUUAAUUUAAAGAGUUUUGCUUUUAAAAAAAAAUUAAUAUCAAAAUGCCUUCAAUGUUAUUACUGCCACAAGCCCAGUAACAAAACUCAUUAAAAAUUUUAGAAUUUCUGGCCAUGGAAAGAGUAGUAUUAAACAUCAGAAAGCAAAGGUUGUUCCGUUAAAGAAUUGAUGUUGACAUAAUUUUAUUUUGGUUUUCGGGAAAAAAAAAAUAUUUGUUGGCAAGCAAAGAAAAUAAUUUUAUACUUUACAAUCUGCUAUACAUAUUUUAUCAUAUUAAAGUAAUUUUAAUAUCUAUCAAAAAAAUAAAUUUAAUAAUAAUUGGAACAUAAUAUUACAAUAAAUAAAUUAAAAUUAUUUUAAAUAUUAGGAAAAAAAUAUUAUUAAUAGGAAGAUAUUUUGUUAAUUGUAAAAUCCUUUUAUUCCAAAUAUUUUAUUUAAAUUUUUUAUAAUAAAUAAAAAUAUAAAAUUAAAAUAAAUAUCAUAAUUUAAAUUUUUUAUAUUAAAAAUAUUUUAAUGUUAUUAGUCUACUACAUAAAUUAUAUUAUUUAUAUUAUAUUCGUAUUGAUUAAAAUCUUUUAAAGUUAAUUUUAUAGUUACUAUAUCCACAGGGUAUUAUAUUAUAUUUAAGAGUAAUUUUUUCAAAUUUUAGGAUUGCAGAUGUCCUUCUUCCGAUAAUUUAUUUCACUUUUGAGAGAAUCCAAUGAGAAAUAUGAUAAGAGAUGGUCAGUUUAAUGUUCUCUGCCUUUAUGGAAAAAAAGUAAAAAGUAAAAACUAUUCAAUUUUGUACUUUUUGUGUCCACCAAAUAAAUUUUACACAUUUAUGUUGUCAUAAAACGAAAAAAAAGGGUUUGCCAAAAAAUGGUACCAAGCAUACCUUUAAUGUCCCACGUGAUUUCUUAUUAAGCCCAUAUUAUAUAUAUUUAUACAUUUUAUUGCAUUAAACAUUUUUAUUAUAAAAGAAGUUGGUCCUUCCCCUAGUGAUAAAAGAUAAAUAUGAUAAUGUUUGAGAUGGGUUUAGUCUUUUAUAUUUGCUGAGUCCAGUGGGUUAAAGAAUUAGAGUAAAGCAUCUGGGCAUUCUUUCAUGCAAAACUAAAAAUCCUGAAAAUAGUUGGCUUUAACUGAUUAAGACAAGCUUGGUCGAAUUGAGUUGAACUUCAUAUAUAAAAGCCAAAUAUAUUGCGGAUUCAUCGAAUUCUUCUCUAAUGAGUUGAAACAAAAGCCGAGCCAUGUCAGCUUCAUAGUUUCCCACCAGAGUAGUAGCAAUGAUUUCUGACUCCGUAAGAAGGUUUUGAAAAAGUGGAGUCAAAUUUGUUAAAUCAGGCAACGUUAACGCGCCUUCUUCACCUGCUAACACCCUUUUCAACCUCUCACAAAAUAGUCGGAGGUUCACGUCCAGCAUAUCUCCUUCUCUCCGAGAAACUGUGUAAGUGGCUAAAUUCCAGAAAUAUGACAUUAUUGCUAUUUUUUUAACUCAAAAAAAUGGUACGCGUUCAUUUAGAGAAAAGUUCAAGACGCGCGCCUUUUGAAAAAUGGUACCCGUUCAUGUAGAGAAAAGAACAGGUAUCCCAAUCGGUAUCCAACCUUUAUCUUCUUUAAUUACCACCACGACAUGAUUUUUUUUUUUUUUUUUUGAUGACAUGAGACUAUUGCUUAAAUUACAACUCAAAUUACAACUCAUAUUACAUGAGAGUAUAAUUGAUAUGUACAAUCAUAUAUACAUACUGAGAUCUAUUGACAUUAAUGCUGAUAUGACACUGCUCAGAUUUUUGUAACCCUCUCAAAUAUUCGAGGGACGUCAAACUCCUAUCCUGGGAGAAAGACUGCCUUCACUCGAGCUCUGUGGCUCCAAGGAAGGAAAUAUAAAUUAAACCUCUACAAUGCGACUGCGGAGGCUCGAACCCCUUCCCUCACAUAUGUGAGGGAGUGGCUCUAGCCACUUGGGCUAGCCCAAGUGGUUCCACGACAUGAUUGAUGGUGCUUAAAUCAAUUGUUUCUUUUUUAAUUUAAAGAAAUUUUCAUUAAAAAAAUAUUUUAAUAUCAAAUACCCUUCAAUGGCAUAACUGCCGCAAUCCCAGAAACAGGAUUAAAUAUUUUUUUUUUUUUGAAUUUUUGGGCAUGGAAAGAGCAGUAUUAAAAAUCAGAAAGCUAAGGUCGUUCUGUUAAAGAAUUGAUAUUGACAUAAUUUUUUUUUGGUUUUCGGGGGAAAAAAAAAAUUGUUGACAAGCAAGAAAAUAUUUUUAUAUUUUACAAUUUAUUAUACAUAUUUUUUUUUUUUGGAUCAAUAAUGGGCUCUAAAAGAGCUAAAGCACCAGUAAACGGGAGUGGGCAACCCCAGACACAUCGUUAUGAAGAAUACUCUGUAAAUUAGGAGGAGCAACAGUAAGUAACUGCAAUCCUAAAGGACAAGACAAAUUAAAUGAGGCCAGAAAAUCUGCUGCUAUGUUUGCUUCUCGAUAGAUGUGGUUCACUUUCACGACCCAGUCCCUGCUGAUCAGCUCACGAAUGGCAAGGAUAAGAGAAUGAUGCUCAUUAACAGGAGUGGUCGGAUUCUCCAAGAUUUGAGAUUUAUUAUACAUAUUUUAUCUUAUUAAAGUAAUUUUAAUAAUAAAUAGAAACAUAAUAUUACCAUAAAUAAAUUAAAGUUUAACUUAUUUUGAAUAUUAUAAAAAAUAAUUUUAAUAUUAUUAAUAGGAGGACAUUGUAUUAAUUUUAAAAUUUUUUAACCCAAAGGUUUAUUUAAAAUCUUUAUUAUAAAUACAAAUAUAAAAUUAAAUAUAAUAAUUUAAAAUUUUUAAUAUUAUUUUAAAUAUUAAAAAUAUUUUAAUGUUAUUAGUCUACUACAUAGAUCAUAUUACUUAUAUAAUAUUUGUAUUAUUAAAAAUUCUUAAAAUCAAAUUUUUAGUUAGUAUAUUUAUGAGGUAUUAUGGUUAAAAAAAAAACCUUAUUAUUACUUUUUAAAACAUUGAGGGCCUGCGUGAUAAUUUUUUCAAAAAGAAAAUGCUUGGUAUCUAGGAGGGUUAGAGAAACAGGACUACCAAAAUCUCUCACCCUUUUUUAAUUAAAAAAAAUUAAAAUAUCAAUAAAAAAAAUAAAGAAAAUAGAAUUUUAUCUGCUCCUUACUCCAUUUUUGUAACUCUCUCACCAUCUCUGUCGAGCAGCCCUCUCUUUCACUGUCUCUCACUAUUUCACAAUCUCUCUCUCACUCACACAGUCCUUUAGAAAAGCCCAAAAUAGGCCCAAUAAGCCCAUAAUUAAAAUAAUCGAAUCGAAUUAUUUCAAUUAAUCGAGUAUUUGAUUAUUUCGGUAAUUUGAUUAAUCGCGAUUAUGAUUUUAAAAUAAUCGUAAUCGAACGAUUAUGAAAAAUUUAGUAAAAAACCGAAUUGAACCGAACCGCACCCACCCCUACAUAAAAGAACAACAAUUACUUGUCAUUUUCAAUUUUUUCUAUAAGCUAUUUAUUUUGAGCAUUAGUGAUCUUGUCUGGACUACUCCAAUUAUUGACGUAACUCCAGUGGCUGCAUCCACUGGAAAAAGUGGAUGAGAACAUUUUUUUUUUUCAUAAAGGUAACUACUCCAAUUAUUGACAUAAUUGAUGGUGCUUAAAUCAAUUUUUUUUUUUAAUUUAAAGAAUUUUGCUUUAAAAAAUAAUUAAUAUCAAAAUGCCUUCAAUGUUGUUACCGCCACAAGCCCAGUUAGAGGACUCAUUAAAAAUUUUAGAAUUUUUAGGCCUGGAAAGCGUAGUAUUAAACAUCAGAAAGCAAAGGUUGUUAUGUCGAAGAAUUGAUGUCGACAAAAUUUUAUUUUAGUUUUCGGAAAAAAAAAAAAAUUUGUUGACAAGCAAGAAAAUAUUUUUUAUACUUUACAAUCUGCUAUACAUAUUUUAUCAUAUUAAAGUAAUUUUAAUAAUAUAUGGAAACAUAAUAUUAUAAUAAAUAAAUUAAAAUUACUUUGAAUUAUUGAAUAUUACAAAAAGAUAAUUUUAAUAUUAUUAAUAGGAAAACAUUUUUAAUUGUAAAAUCUUUUUAAUACAAAAAUUCAUUUAAAAUCUUUAUAAUAAAUACAAAUAUAAAAUUAAAAAAAUAUCAUAAUUUAAAUUUUUUAAAAUUAUUUAAAUAUUAAAAAUACUUUAAUAUUAUUAGUCUACUACAUAAAAUAUAUUAUUUAUAUUAUAUUCGUAUUGAUUAAAACGUUUUAAAGUCAAAUUUUUAAUUAGUGUAUUCAAAGAUACAAAAGAUUUUAGUAUUAUUUUUAAAAAAUUUCAGGAUAUGAAUGAUAAUUUUUUCAAAUUUUAAAGAUGUAAGAAUCUUUUUUUCUGAUAAUUUAUUUCACUUUUGAGAGAAUCCGAAAACGUUAAUUUAACAUUCUUUACCUUUGUGAAAAAAGUGAAAAUCAAGAACUAUUCAAUUUUGUUUUUAUUUGUAAUUCAAAAACUUUAUUCAUUUUCGAUGCUUUUCAAAAGAGACUCCUCUAAAUCCUUUUGGUGUCUGCAGCUCCUGCAAUUCUCAUAAAUCUCCAUCCCACAUCUACACUAUCAAACAAGUUGAUGGAAAUUCUUAUCAAAAAAAAAAAAAAAAACAAGUCGAUGGAAAUUGAUCAAUUACUUUUUGAAGUGGACCCAUUGAGUCAUGUUCAUUUCUGGUCAUUGUCUACUCUUUCCAUCAGCCAUUUAUUUUGACCAUUUGCGAUCUUAAAGGAUAUGAGAACGUAGCUGAAGUGCUGAAGGGGCUAUUAAAGAAGAGUGUCACUUGAUCACAAUCACAUUGAUGCACAACUCACUCGUGGCAAAUUUCGACUAUACGUUCUGCAAAUUCAGCCAAACCAUACAUGCAUGAACAAAACUAAAAUGUAGUUCUAAUCACAACUGCAGUUAUAAUGUUUACCCCUCUGAUUUUUCUCCAAAACAAAUUCAGUUCAAAACAAUAAUUAAAUAGCCACAUUUUGUUCGUCAAAAUAAAUGCCCAAAUUUUCAAUUAACAAAUCAUCUUCUCUAAACUAAAAAUCCCACAUCUCUAAAAUCAAUCUACAUAAUGUUGGAGAUGAGGGGUGAAUUGUUAACUCAGUAAAAAAAACUCAUGCAUAAUAUUACUAAUAAUAUAAAAUAUAUAUUAAUCAUUAUAAAGAAUCAUAAUUAGAAAAAUUAAUCAUUUUAUAAUUUAUUACACAAGUAAGAUAAAUCUCAUAAUAAGUUAUAACAUAAAAAAAACGUUAUCAAUAUAUAAUCAUUUAAGAAGUCAUUUAACAAUAAAAUCGUUCUUUAAUCAGUUGGUCAUGUCACAUAGUGUCAUCUAUAUUUACGGUGAUAAUAUUAUUACUCAGUAUUAUCAAAAAACAUGAUUUAACAUUUAGAGGAAAUUCUUGCCUUUUAAAAAAAACAUGUAUGCAACAACUACCCAUGCUUUAUCUUACCAUGACAAAUAUUUUCUCAAUGAAAGAAAAUUUUUUAAAAAUUGAUUUAAUGCACAAAUAUGAUGAUUUUUCCAAAAAUUAGUUUUGGAAAACAUAGUGAGAGAAAAUAGUGACGAUUAUUGUUUAGAUGUAUAAAUAGCCUAAACAUAAUCCUUAAUACCAAUAUCCUAAUGCAUCUUAUCAUCUUUCAUGAUAUUCUUUCAUUUAUGUCCAUUGGUUCAAGAUUUGAAUUUGAUCAUUAAAUCAUGUUCAAUAAUAUUAGAGAUUCUAACAAAUGAGUACCAACUUAAAUCCCAAUGUUAUGUGUCAUUGACCAAUUUUGUGUCAUUUUGUUAUUAACUAGGUGAUGAAUUUGUAGUUGAUAAAAUCACUUAAAAAUAUCUUAAAAAUCAAACAAUAGUUUGCUUAAUUUUUCCAAGUUAACUGCUCAAGAUGCUCUAUUAUAAAUAAUAACCUAAUUAUAUUCAUAAAAAAUGAUAUUUUUUUUGUGGUGUUGAUAAUGAGAUUAUCAUUCAACAUUUUAAAAUGUGAAAACAUAUGGAAGAUGGUUGUAAAUUGAUUGAAUGAAAACAUUUCAGUGAAGUCUCAAAAAUUUGGUACUUGUUGUCUUAUCGAAAGUUUUCUAAAUUAUAUUCGUGGCACAGCCACUAUCCAAACCAUACAAGUCCAAAGCUAUCCAAACCAUACCUGCAAGUCCGGGGCUUAAAUGGAGUACUUCUAAGCAAAAAAACAUUGACUAAAAUAGAAUAUAUACAUACAGACACACAUACAUACCAGCAUAUUCAAAAUAGCAAAAGGAGUGCAAAAGUUCAAGUUUGUAGACAACAUUGCAACCAUAGCAUGUUUAUAGCAAAUCCUCAAAAUCUGCUAAAUAAAACAAUGCCCUGUCUCAUGAAUCAAUGCUGAAUUAAAAUUGAAACUGAAAGUCUGGAUGGUUUUGUUUGUUGAGAAUGUCAAAUAAAACGGCAUUGAAGGAAGUUUUCAAAGGCAGAAUCCGCACUUGUCAAAGGGAUGAUCUGCACUUGUCAAAGACACUAUCCGCGCCGAACGGAUCGACACAUUUCCUUCCGUAUUCACAUAUGUAAUCUUUGAAAAAAUAUAGCUUCUGCAUCUAUAAAUAACGCUCAGUGUAUAAUGUUUUAUUCAAGAAAUAAAAACAAGUUUCUACAUGGUAUCAGAGCCAUGAAUGCGCUCAAGUUUCUUCAAGUUUCGCUGCUCUGUUUGUCACAAAAACAGAGGAAACCAAUUAAAUUCGUCCCACAACCAUUUUUUCCACCAUUUUCUUCCUUAAAAUCAUUCCUAACAUUACAGAAAUCCAUGCCGAUCAAAAAACAUGAAAGACAAAUUACACAUGUGCAGUAACCAAUGAUCAUAUUUCGUUACUGUCAAACACAAUGCAUCUGAGCAAAACAUUGGAAGCCAACACCAGAAUACAUAUGAAUAAACAAUUAAAGAUAGAGAAAAAAGGCUUAAACCUUGGGGGGAAAAAGUGAAAAAACAUGAAAGACAAAUUACACAUGUGCAGUAGCCAUCGAACUUAUCAGUGACAGCUGCAUCCAUUACAUUGCUCCAACAACACAAUGGCAAACCACCAGUUUCAAAUUGAGGAUAGCUAUCGAGAAUGAGAAAGUGUCCAAAACGUCAUAAAUAGACAUGUUCCGAUUGUGCAUAAUUUACAUUAUAGGCAAAUAUUCUUAUACCAUCAAAGGCAAAACAUGACACUAACAAUUGAUCACCCCCCCCCCCCCCCCCCCAACAACAAAAAAAAGGAAAAAAACAAUACAGAAAAGAUUGAAACAGAUAAGGCUACACUGAGCACAGGAUGCCAUGAAACAUAAUCCAGGAACCAAAUUAAUAAAAAAGGAAGCCAAACCAUUAUUUAACAAUCUGUUUUGUAUUUGGGAAAGUCUGAUAAAAUCUACUUGGGGAUAAUUAGAGAACCUCAACUAUUAAUCACACCUCAUAAAUGAACUAACAUUAAACAUCUACCAUCCCAACGUCACACAAACAUUCUCUACACUUCUGAACCUAAUACUUCCAUCUUCAAUUGGGGUUUUUUUUUCUUUUUCUUUGGGGGGGGGGGGGGGGGGGAUUGAAAUGCUGAUUUCGAAUCACUAACAGUAAAAUUGGAAGCUCAUGAAAAAAUAGUUUUAUCUCAAAAUUACAUCUCGAUAUAAAUUCUCUUUUCAUUUCCUUCAACUUUCUAAUUAAGCUUAAAAAAUGUACCUUCAACCACAAAGGGGUUUAAAAUUUAAAAUAUAAAAAAUAAAUUCAGAUAACAAUAAUUAAUUUAAUUAAAAAUAUAAAUAGAGUUACAGAGAAAGAGAAAAUAGAGAAAGACGUAAUGUUGAGUCCUUUGGCGCAAGUCUCUUCAUAGGUCCGAACCAUUUCUUCGGGCGUGGGUUUCGGGUCUUUAGGAUACUCCAUAGUGAUAAGCCAGUGAUUGUAAUCGCAACCCUCGAACAGAAUCGUGUCGGGUGUGAUCUCGUCGCCGUCCUUAUACAAGUGGUACGUCUUGUUAACCGACGGCGUAGACGAGAGGGAGAUCGUCGGGGACGAUCUGAACGGCCGAGAUUGGAUAAUGAUGGAGGAGGAGAAGAUUAGCGAUGACGACGCCGAUGAAAUGGAAGGGUUUACCAGAGGAGUGGAUGCGAAGAAUGCAGGGACGGCCGCAAAGAGAGAGCGGCGGAGAGCGGCGACGGACGGUAGUGACCAGCGGAGGCGGAAAAUGGCGGUAUGGGCCAUUGCUUGCGCGUCGGUGAGUGUCUCGAGUGAGAGAGUGAAGGGUUUUGGGAAAUGAAAAAUGCAAAUGUUUGAUUUUGUUGCUAGAAACUUCUUCUGCCGCUGCCUUUUAUUUUCGCUAUAAUAAUAAUAAUUUGUUAAUCAAAUAUUUUCUUAAAAAAGAUAAAUUUCUACAACAAAAUUUAUAUUAAAUCAAAUUGUAAAAAUGUCUAUUAGGGUUAAUUUCUCCUUAAUAUUAUUAUUAGUAGAUGUAGAUUUUCGAAUUAGUCUUGAUAUAUUUCAGAGUUGUAUUAUAAAUGUAUAUGUAUCUGGAUUGCAAUUAUAUUUUUAAAAAAUAUAAUUUUUUUAAUUAUUGCACAAUAAAUGUAAAUAGUAUCUAUAAAAUAAUAUUAUUAGGACUACGAAAAAAAUAUUAUUUUAGAGAAGUUAUUUAUUUAUUAUUGAAUGAAUAAAAAAAUUAGUUUGGCAUUUUUAUAACCUCCUUGAAGGUUUUACGAUAAACAUAAAUCUACUGAGAAAGUGGGAAAAAAAAAAGAAAAUGCAUAUAAAAGUAUGAGUUAUCAGAUAAGAUUAAAACUCACCCAAUUCAAUCCAUCAGAUUCCGUAAGGAUAUAACUGGAUGUCAUACCGCCACUCCAUAUCCUCGAAAGUCCGUAGUCCUUGUCUCAACUGUGUCUGAGGCCAGUGUAAGUCCAAUUUGCGCAAGCUCUUUAUGCACCACAGCUCUUCUGGAAGCUUUCUCAAGUAAGCACAUGGGUUGACAAUUAAGCUUUCAAGUUUCGGCAUUGCUCCAGCCCCCAUCGUCCACUCAUCUAGCCAAUACAUUGAUUUCAGGUGCAAAACCUUAAGUUCGGGAAAGCUACUCAAGCCAACACAAGCAAGCUUUCUUCCUAAAUACGAGUUCUGCUUCAGUUUCAGCACUCGAAGGCGUGGAAGAUUUUCCAGAAUUGGCAUGGGAUCCUCCAUUAGCUCAGUAUUUGAUAAGCUCAGUUGGAUCAGACUUGGGGGAAAUUGGUAUUCAGACAGGACCAUCCGUGAGGGCUUGCUCUCAUUCACCAGCUUCAAGCAUUCAAGUUUGUGGAGUUCGCAAAGGCUUUUGGAAACCCCAGAUUGAUAGUAACUCAAAUCUCCAGAUAUCCGAAGAGUCUGAACACUAGGUAGUCUGCCCAAUAUAUCAGGAGUACAACUGCUACGGUUUAAAGCUGAUAUGAAAAUGAGAUUUUUCAGAGAGCUAGAAUAAUUUUUUGGAGGUGCGGGCAGAGUGAUAGAACCAAAGUUUAGAUGCAUGAGUUUUUGCAUCAUCCAAAUAUCCUCUGGUGACUGAUCUAUGUAGCUAAAUGGCAUUUCUAGUGUUUCAAGGUUUAAAAGGGUGCAUAGCAGUGAAGGAAGACAUUUGAGCGAAGGGAUAUUCAAUUUCAAAUACUUCAAAAGAUAUAAAUUUUCUAAUCCGGGCGGAUAUUGGUCCAGGACUGCAGAACCCAUGUUCAAUACCCGAAGGUGUUUGAACUUUUUACAAAAAUUCUCGCAAUCUAUCAGAGCGAGACGAUCGCUUUCUGAACUGUGAUUCAGAAAAGAUUGGAGACGCAUGUCAGAAUAUUCUAAAGGAAAGAAGUCAAUCAGACGUUCCACAAUGAAGCACCGUUUAACAUUUGCCACUGAUUCCUCUUCCAUGUCAGGCGUCCAGACAAAUCCCGCCUUCUUUGCCAGAAAAUACAAUGAAGUGUAUACAAAACUUGGAACAUAACACGCUUUAAUUGUGCCGCCGGCGCUUCUCUUACUCACUUGAAUGAAGCCGCGAUGGAUUAGUUCUUUCAAGAAAUGGUCGGCAGUUUCUUCACCGUUGUAUGGUACGAAACCUUCAGCUACCCACAACUGAUGUAAUUGCCUCCUGGAUAUCUCAAUACUUGGAGGGAAGACACACAAAUAGAUGAAGCAGACUUUCAAAUGAAAAGGUAACUCCAUCACAGAAAAAAUUUGUCUCCAAACUGUCGGAAUCGCUUCGCCUUGAAGAUAAUUUUCUAAUGGCAUACUUCCAUAGUGUAGGAUGAAAAAUUGCCAGGCUUCAUGCUUUAAUCUGAUCAAUGGUCCUCCAAAGAGCACUGAAUCACGCCGAAUCUUCUCUCCGUUUUCCAUUUCCAACGACGCAAGGAGGUCUGGAUUAGUGACUGUUAUCAAUACUCUGCUUCCAUUCUGCUUAUCAGGAAGAACUUCUUCAAGAUCAUCCCAUAUGUCACUGUCAUUGAAGACAUCAUCAAGCACAAUAAAGUACUUCUUGUUUGUCAGGUAAUCUCGAAGAAUAGAUUUCUUCAAGCGAUAAUCUUCACUGAUAAUUACCCUAGCCCGAGAUGGAGGCAUCAAAGAAUUGAUUAUGUCAUCCAAUAUCUUGCCAAAAUCGUAGGCUAUAGAAACCCUGACCCAAGAAAGACAGUCAAAAUAGAACUUGACAUGGUUAUUAUUGUAAGUAUCUGCAGCAAAAGCAGUCUUAUCGAAGCCACUGCUGUCGAGAAUUGCAACCACUGAAAGCCCAGAUGGUCCCUCAAUCAAUAGAUCAAAAAACUUCUCUCUGCCCCUUUCAAAUUCACUGAUAUCGAGCCGAGGUUGUCCCUCAUUCAAUAGGCGAAUGAUUUCGUUACUUUUUUCACUGAUAUCAAAACCAUUGUCGCCGGGUGGAAGUUGUUGCAUCCGAUUUCUAAUAUCAAUGAUUUUAGUGUGGAGUCCAACAAGAAGAGCCAUAUCAGUACUGCUUUCACUUUCGUUUUCACUGUUUUGCUGCUGCAUUAUGUUGAUGAAGAAUCUGUCAAUGGCUUCCUCAGAUUCAUGGACAACGGGAUUGAUGUCCUCCAGAAUUUCCAAAAUAUCUGCUGUUUCAACGUCUUCUUUAUCGCUUUCUUCUAAGUCCAACAGUUGCAAAAAAGGCAAUGAUAUUUUGGAGUCAUCGAAUUCUUCUCUAAUGAGUUGAAACAAAUGCCGAGCCAUGUCAGCUUCAUAUUUUCCCAGCAGAGUAGUAGCAAUAAUUUCGGACUCCGUAAGAAGGUUUUGAAAAAGUGGAGUUAAAUUUGUUGAAUCAGGCAAAGUUAACGUGCCUUCUUCACCUGCUAACACCCUUUUCAACCUCACACAAAACAGUCGGAGGUGGAGUUCCAGCAUAUCUCCUUCUCUCCGCAGCACUCAGAGGUAUAGUUGAAAGAUUAAACACCAUGGAAGAAUUUGAAAGGAAUAUGCCAAGAAACUGUGUAAGUGGCUAAAUUCCACAAAUGCGGCAUUAUUGCUCAUUUUUAACUCAAAAAAUUGAUACGCGUUCAUUUAGAGAAAAGUCCAAGACGCGUGCCUUUUGAAAAGAACAGGUAUCCCAAUCGGUAUCCAACCUCUAUCUUAUUUAAUUACUAUCAUGACAUAAUUGAUGGUGCUUAAAUCAAUUGUUUCUUUUUUAAUUUAAAGAAUUUUUCAUUAAAAAAAUAUUUUAAUAUCAAAUUGCCUUCAGUGGCGUAACUGCCUCAAGCCCAGUAACAGGACUAAUUAAAGAUUUUACAAUUUUUGGGCAUGGAAAUAGUAGUAUUAAAUAUUAGAAAGGUGAGGUUGUUCUGUUAAAGAAUUGAUCUUGACAUAAUUUUAUUUUGGUUUUCGUGGAAAAAUAAAAUUUGUUGACAAGCAAGAAAAUAUUUUUAUAUUUUAAAAUUUAUUAUGCAUAUUUUAUCAUAUUAAAGUAGUUUUAAUAAUAAAUAGAAACAUAAUAUUACGAUAAAUAAAUUAAAAUUUAACUUAUUUUGAAUAUUAUAAAAAAAAUUUUAAUAUUAUUAAUAGGAAGACAUUGUAUUAAUUUUAAAAUUUUUUAACCCAAAGGUUUAUUUAAAAUCUUUAUUAUAAAUACAAAUAUAAAAUUAAAUAUCAUAAUUUAAAAAUUUUAAUAUUAUUUUAAGUAUUAAAAAUAUUUUAAUGUUAUUAGUCUACUACAUAGAUCAUAUUACUUAUAUAAUAUUUGUAUUAUUAAAAAUUCUUAAAAUCAAAUUUUUAGUUAGUAUAUUCAUGAGGUAUUAUGGUUAAAAAAAAAAAAGACCUUAUUAUUACUUUUUAAAAAAUUGAGGGUCUGCGUGAUAAUUUUUUCAAAAAGAAAAUGCUUGGUAUGUAGGAGGGGUAGAGAAACAGGACUCCCAAAAUCUCUCACCCUUCUUUAAUUAAAAAUAAAUAAAAUAUUAAUAAAAAAUAAUAAAGAAAAUAGAAUUUUAUCUGCUCCUUACUCCAUUUUUGUAACUCUCUCACCAUCUCUGUCGAGCAGCCCUCUCUUUCGUUGUCUCUCACUAUUUCACGAUCUCUCUCUCACUCACACAGUCCUUUAAAAAAGCCCAAAAUAGGCCCAAUAAGCCCAUAAUUAAAAUAAUCGAAUCGAAUUAUUUUAAUUAAUCGAGUAUUUGAUUAUUUCGGUAAUUUAAUUAAUCGCAAUUAUGAUUUUAAAAUAAUCGUAAUCGAACGAUUAUGAAAAAUUUAGUAAAAAAACCGAACUGAACCGAACCGCACCCACCCCUACAUAAAAGAACAUCAAUUACUUGUCAUUUUCAAUUUUUUCUAUAAGCUAUUUAUUUUGAGCAUUAGUGAUCUUGUCUGGACUACUCCAAUUAUUGACGUAACUCCAGUGGCUGCAUCCACUGGAAAAAGUGGAUGAUAACAUUUUUUUUUUUUUCAUAAAGGUAACUACUCCAAUUAUUGACAUAAUUGAUGGUGCUUAAAUCAAUUUUUUUUUUAAUUUAAAGAAUUUUGCUUUAAAAAAUAAUUAAUAUCAAAAUGCCUUCAAUGUUGUUACCGCCACAAGCCCAGUUAGAGGACUCAUUAAAACUUUUAGAAUUUUUAGGCCUGGAAAGCAUAGUAUUAAACAUCAGAAAGCAAAGGUUGUUAUGUCGAAGAAUUGAUGUCGACAAAAUUUUAUUUUAGUUUUCGGAAAAAAAAAAUUUGUUGACAAGCAAGAAAAUAUUUUUUAUACUUUACAAUCUGCUAUACAUAUUUUAUCAUAUUAAAGUAAUUUUAAUAAUAUAUGGAAACAUAAUAUUAUAAUAAAUAAAUUAAAAUUAAAAUUACUUUGAAUUAUUAAAUAUUACAAAAAGAUAAUUUUAAUAUUAUUAAUAGGAAAACAUUUUUAAUUGUAAAAUCUUUUUAAUACAAAAAUUCAUUUAAAAUCUUUAUAAUAAAUACAAAUAUAAAAUUAAAAAUAUCAUAAUUUAAAAUUUUUAAUAUUAUUUUAAUAUUAAAAAUACUUUAAUAUUAUUAGUCUACUACAUAAAAUAUAUUAUUUAUAUUAUAUUCGUAUUGAUUAAAACGUUUUAAAGUCAAAUUUUUAAUUAUUGUAUUCAAAGGUACAAAAGAUUUUAGUAUUAUUUUUUAAAAAUUUUAGGAUAUGAAUGAUAAUUUUUUCGAAUUUUAAAGAUGUAAGAAUCUUUUUUUCUAAUAAUUUAUUUCACUUUUGAGAGAAUCCGAAAACGUUAAUUUAACAUUCUUUACCUUUGUGAAAAAAGUGAAAAUCAAGAACUAUUCAAUUUUGUUUUUAUUUGUAAUUCAAAAACUUUAUUCAUUUUCGAUGCUUUUCGAAAGAGAUUCCGUUAAAUCCUUUUGGUGUCGGCAGCUCCUGCUAUUCUCAUAAAUCUCCAUUCCACAUCUACACUAUCAAACAAGUUGAUGGAAAUUCUUAUAAAAAAAAAACAAGUCGAUGGAAAUUGAUCAAUUACUUUUUGAAGUGGACCCAUUGAGUCAUGUUCAUUUCUGGUCAUUGUCUACUCUUUCCAUCAGCCAUUUAUUUUGACCAUUUGCGAUCUUAAAGGAUAUGAGAACGUAGCUGAAGUGCUGAAGGGGCUAUUAAAGAAGAGUGUCACUUGAUCACAAUCACAUUGAUGCACAACUCACUCGUGGCAAAUUUCGACUAUACGUUCUGCAAAUUCAGCCAAACCAUACGUGCAUGAACAAAACUAAAAUGUAGUUCUAAUCACAACUCCAGUUAUGAUGUUUACCCCUCUGAUUUUUCUCCAAAACAAAUUCAGUUCAAAACAAUAAUCAAAAUAGCCACAUUUUGUUCGUCAAAAUAAAUGCCCAAAUUUUCAAUUAACAAAUCAUCUUCUCUAAACUAAAAAUCCCACAUCUCUAAAAUCAAUCUACAUAAUGUUGGAGAUGAGGGGUGAAUUGUUAACUCAGUAAAAAAAACUCAUGCAUAAUAUUACUAAUAAUAUAAAAUAUAUAUUAAUCAUUAUAAAGAAUCAUAAUUAGAAAAAUUAAUCAUUUUAUAAUUUAUUACACAAGUAAGAUAAAUCUCAUAAUAAGUUAUAACAUAAAAAAAACGUUAUCAAUAUAUAAUCAUUUAAGAAGUCAUUUAACAAUAAAAUCGUUCUUUAAUCAGUUGGUCAUGUCACAUAGUGUCAUCUAUAUUUACGGUGAUAAUAUUAUUACUCAGUAUUAUCAAAAAACAUGAUUUAACAUUUAGAGGAAAUUCUUGCCUUUUAAAAAAAAACAUGUAUGCAACAGCUACCCAUGCUUUAUCUUACCAUGACAAAUAUUUUCUCAAUGAAAGAAAAUUUUUUAAAAAUUGAUUUAAUGCACAAAUAUGAUGAUUUUUCCAAAAAUUAGUUUUGGAAAACAUAGUGAGAGAAAAUAGUGACGAUUAUUGUUUAGAUGUAUAAAUAGCCUAAACAUAAUCCUUAAUACCAAUAUCCUAAUGCAUCUUAUCAUCUUUCAUGAUAUUCUUUCAUUUAUGUCCAUUGGUUCAAGAUUUGAAUUUGAUCAUUAAAUCAUGUUCAAUAAUAUUAGAGAUUCUAACAAAUGAGUACCAACUUAAAUCCCAAUGUUAUGUGUCAUUGACCAAUUUUGUGUCAUUUUGUUAUUAACUAGGUGAUGAAUUUGUAGUUGAUAAAAUCACUUAAAAAUAUCUUAAAAAUCAAACAAUAGUUUGCUUAAUUUUUCCAAGUUAACUGCUCAAGAUGCUCUAUUAUAAAUAAUAACCUAAUUAUAUUCAUAAAAAAUGAUAUUUUUUUUGUGGUGUUGAUAAUGAGAUUAUCAUUCAACAUUUUAAAAUGUGAAAACAUAUGGAAGAUGGUUGUAAAUUGAUUGAAUGAAAACAUUUCAGUGAAGUCUCAAAAAUUUGGUACUUGUUGUCUUAUCGAAAGUUUUCUAAAUUAUAUUCGUGGCACAGCCACUAUCCAAACCAUACAAGUCCAAAGCUAUCCAAACCAUACCUGCAAGUCCGGGGCUUAAAUGGAGUACUUCUAAGCAAAAAAACAUUGACUAAAAUAGAAUAUAUACAUACAGACACACAUACAUACCAGCAUAUUCAAAAUAGCAAAAGGAGUGCAAAAGUUCAAGUUUGUAGACAACAUUGCAACCAUAGCAUGUUUAUAGCAAAUCCUCAAAAUCUGCUAAAUAAAACAAUGCCCUGUCUCAUGAAUCAAUGCUGAAUUAAAAUUGAAACUGAAAGUCUGGAUGGUUUUGUUUGUUGAGAAUGUCAAAUAAAACGGCAUUGAAGGAAGUUUUCAAAGGCAGAAUCCGCACUUGUCAAAGGGAUGACCUGCACUUGUCAAAGACACGAUCCGCGCCGAACGGAUCGACACAUUUCCUUCCGUAUUCACAUAUGUAAACUUUGAAAAAAUAUAGCUUCUGCAUCUAUAAAUAACGCUCAGUGUAUAAUGUUUUAUUCAAGAAAUAAAAACAAGUUUCUACAUGGUAUCAGAGCCAUGAAUGCGCUCAAGUUUCUUCAAGUUUCGCUGCUCUGUUUGUCACAAAAACAGAGGAAACCAAUUAAAUUCGUCCCACAACCAUUUUUUCCACCAUUUUCUUCCUUAAAAUCAUUCCUAACAUUACAGAAAUCCAUGCCGAUCAAAAACAUGAAAGACAAAUUACACAUGUGCAGUAACCAAUGAUCAUAUUUUGUUACUGUCAAACACAAUGCAUCUGAGCAAAACAUUGGAAGCCAACACCAGAAUACAUAUGAAUAAACAAUUAAAGAUAGAGAAAAAAGGCUUAAACCUUGGGGGAAAAAGUGAAAAAACAUGAAAGACAAAUUACACAUGUGCAGUAACCAUCGAACUUAUCAGUGACAGCUGCAUCUAUUACAUUGCUCCAACAACACAAGGGCAAACCACCAGUUUCAAAUUGAGGAUAGCUAUCGAGAAUGAGAAAGUGUCCAAAACGUCAUAAAUAGACAUGUUCCUAUUGUGCAUAAUUUACAUUAUAGGCAAAUAUUUUUAUACCAUCAAAGGCAAAACAUGACACUAACAAUUGAUCACCCCCCCCCCCCCCCCCCCCAACAACAAAAAAAAGGAAAAAACAAUACAGAAAAGAUUGAAACAGAUAAGGCUACACUGAGCACAGGAUGCCAUGAAACAUAAUCCAGGAACCAAAUUAAUAAAAAAGGAAGCCAAACCAUUAUUUAACAAUCUGUUUUGUAUUUGGGAAAGUCUGAUAAAAUCUACUUGGGGAUAAUUAGAGAACCUCAACUAUUAAUCACACCUCAUAAAUGAACUAACAUUAAACAUCUACCAUCCCAACGUCACACAAACAUUCUCUACACUUCUGAACCUAAUACUUCCAUCUUCAAUUGGGGGUUUUUUUUUUCUUUUUCUUUGGGGGGGGGGGGGGAUUGAAAUGCUGAUUUCGAAUCACUAACAGUAAAAUUGGAAGCUCAUGAAAAAAUAGUUUUAUCUCAAAAUUACAUCUCGAUAUAAAUUCUCUUUUCAUUUCCUUCAACUUUCUAAUUAAGCUUAAAAAAUGUACCUUCAACCACAAAGGGGUUUAAAAUUUAAAAUAUAAAAAAUAAAUUCAGAUAACAAUAAUUAAUUUAAUUAAAAAUAUAAAUAGAGUUACAGAGAAAGAGAAAAUAGAGAAAGACGUAAUGUUGAGUCCUUUGGCGCAAGUCUCUUCAUAGGUCCGAACCAUUUCUUCGGGCGUGGGUUUCGGGUCUUUAGGAUACUCCAUAGUGAUAAGCCAGUGAUUGUAAUCGCAACCCUCGAACAGAAUCGUGUCGGGUGUGAUCUCGUCGCCGUCCUUAUACAAGUGGUACGUCUUGUUAACCGACGGCGUAGACGAGAGGGAGAUCGUCGGGGACGAUCUGAACGGCCGAGAUUGGAUAAUGAUGGAGGAGGAGAAGAUUAGCGAUGACGACGCCGAUGAAAUGGAAGGGUUUACCAGAGGAGUGGAUGCGAAGAAUGCAGGGACGGCCGCAAAGAGAGAGCGGCGGAGAGCGGCGACGGACGGUAGUGACCGGCGGAGAGCGGAAGAUGGCGGUAUGGGCCAUUGCUUGCGCGUCAGUGAGUGUCUCGAGUGAGGAGUGAAGGGUUUUGUACUUUUGUUUAGGGUUUUGGGAAAUGAAAAAUGCAAAUGUUUGAUUUUGUUGCUAGAAACUUCUUCUGCCGCCGCUUUUUAUUUUCGCUAAAUAAUAAUAAUAAUUUGUUAAUAAAAUACUUUCUUAGAAAAGAUAAAUUUAUAGAACAAAAUUUAUAUUAAAUCAAAUUGUAAAAAUGUGGAAUAGGGCUAAUUUCUCCUGAAUAUUAUUAUUAGUAGAAGUAGAUUUUCGAAAUAGUCUUGAUAUAUUUCAAAGUUGUAUUAUAGAUGUACAUGUAUCUGGAUUGUAAUUAUAUUUUAAAAAAUAUACAUUUUUUUUCAUUAUUGCACAAUAAAUGUAGAAAGUGUCUAUAAAAUAAUAUUAUUAGAACUAUGAAAAUAUAUUAUUUUAGAGUAGUUAUUUAUUUAUUUUUGAAUAAAUAAUUUAUUAAUUUAUUAAUUUAUUGAUAAAUUAAUAAAUAUUAAUUUAAAGAGAGAUUUUUUUUUUUGGGGGUUUUUAAGAAGAGUUUUGUUGGUAUAUGUACAAACUUAUAAAGAAAUACAAAAAAUGCUUCCUCAAGUCAAUAGUAUUUACUUUAAUUCAUAAUAGUAUAGUUUAAUCAAGAAACUUAUAAUUAUACUAUAUCUUUCUUUCUUUGUUCUAUUUGGUGGGACAUUGUGAUAAAUCAUUGGAUUAAAAUGCAUUUCUAAAUGAAAACUUGUUAAAACCUAAUUUAUUUGGGAACGACAUUUUAUUUGUCAGUCGUAUUUCUCAACUUCGUAAGUUAUUUCUAAUUUAUCGGUCUCUAUUGGUUCUCUUAAGUACCUAUUUGGCAUGACUUAUUUAAUAGUAAUAAGUGCUUAUUUAAUCUCAUAAGUUUUUUCCCUCUCUGACAAUUGAGUUAGGGGGUCAAACUUGAAAGUAUCUUAAAAUUAGACAACAAUUUAACUAUUUUUUUUUUUUUAGAUAACUGCUAAUAUGCUCUAUUAGACAAUGAUGAGUGAUAACCUAGGUGUUUGCAUUUAAAGGGAUACUUUUUGUGGUGUUGAUAAAGAGGUUAAGUAUGAUUCAACAAUUUAAAAUAUGAAAACAUAUGGAAGACGGCCGCAAUUAAAUUAAUUGUAUGAAAAUAUUUCAAUGAAAUUUUAAAAAUUUAGUAUUUGUUAUCUUAUCGAGAGUUUUUUAAAAUUAUAUUACUACUUGAACUUGACUGCUUUUGUAUUUAAUUCCUACCGUUGCCAUUGCUUCUACUCAAAAGCCAUUUAAGUUUGUGUAAGCUACGUAUAGUUUGAACAACAAUUUACUCAUGAAUUGUUGUUCAUAAUAGCAUCAGUGCAUGCAUCAUUUUAAUGAGAAAGAAUAUUCUAAGAACGAAAUUGAACGUGGGAGGUAUCGGGAAGGAAUUGGAAUGGAAUAAUAUCGAUUCAUAUAGAUACAGAAGAAAAAGUUCUCUAUUGAUUCAAAUGCUGUGCCUAUGGGAUAAGGAUAGAGAAAGAGGAAAAAACCGAAGCCAGAAAUGUACACGCAUGAGGAACUUUUCCUAGAAGAUUGAUAUUUCUUUGACUAGCAAACCAUACAAGUCCAAAGCUAGCCAAACCAUACCUGCAAGUCGGGGGUUUAAAUGGAAUACUUCUAAGCAUAAAACAUUGAUUAAAACAGAAUACACACAUACAUACCAGCAAAUUCAAAAUAGCAAAAGGAGUGCAAAAGUUCAAGUUUGUAGACAACAUUGCAACCAUGGCAUGUUUAUAGCAAAUCCUCGAAAUCUGCUAAAUAAAACAAUGCCCUGUCUCAUGAAUCAAUGCUGAAUUAAAAUUGAAACUGAAAGUCCGGCUGGCGUUGUUUCCCUCUCCAAUUUUGCCUACAUAAGUGAAAAUAAGAAUAAUAAAUGAAAAUCUGCUUUUACGGUUCUUAUUAGAUAGAUAAAAGGGGGAUCUUUCUUUGUUUCUCUGCUGCAAUGUGUGGCUAUCCCACUCUGUUUUGCCACCCAAGCUGAGUCUAUGCUGAGACAUAAUUUUGACAUCAGAAGCAAUCUCAAUUAGUUUGGCACUUUUAAGCAAUCUCAUAUUUUGCUCACUUGAAGGUUUUACGAUAAACAUAAAUCUACAGAGAAAGUGGGAAAAAAAAAAGAAAAUGCAUAUAAAUAUAUGAGUUAUCAGAUAAGAUUAAAACUCACCCAAUUCAAUCCAUCAGAUUCCGUAAGGAUAUAACUGGAUGUCAUACCGCCACUCCAUAUCCUUGAAAGUCCGUAGUGUUUGUCUCAACUCUGUCUGAGGCCAAUGUAAAUUCAAUUUGCGCAAGCUCUUUAUGCACCACAGCUCUUCUGGAAGCUUUCUCAAGUAAGCACAUGGGUUGACAAUUAAGCUUUCAAGUUUCGGCAUUGCUCCAGCCCCCAUCGUCCACUCAUCUAGCCAAUACAUUGAUUUCAGGUGCAAAACCUUAAGUUCCGGAAAGCUACUCAAGCCAACACAAGCAAGCUUUCUUCCUAAAUACGAGUUCUGCUUCAGUUUCAGCACUCGAAGGCGUGGAAGAUUUUCCAGAAUUGGCAUGGGAUCCUCCAUUAGCUCAGUAUUUGAUAAGCUCAGUUGGAUCAGACUUGGGGGAAAUUGGUAUUCAGACAGGACCAUCCGUGAGGGCUUGCUCUCAUUCACCAGCUUCAAGCAUUCAAGUUUGUGGAGUUCGCAAAGGCUUUUGGAAACCGCAGAUUGAUAGUAACUCAAAUCUCCAGAUAUCCGAAGAGUCUGAACACUAGGUAGUCUGCCCAAUAUAUCAGGAGUACAACUACUAGGGUUUAAAGCUGAUAUGAAAAUGAGAUUUUUCAGAGAGCUGGAAUAAUUUUUUGGAGGUGCGGGCAGAGUGAUAGAACCAAAGUUUAGAUGCAUGAGUUUUUGCAUCAUCCAAAUAUCCUCUGGUGACUGAUCUAUGUAGCUAGAUGGCAUUUCUAGUGUUUCAAGGUUUAAAAGGGUGCAUAGCAGCGAAGGAAGGCGUUUGAGCAAAGGGAUAUUCAAUUUCAAAUACUUCAAAAGGAAUAAAUUUUCUAAUCCGGGUGGAAAUUGGUCGAGAACUGCAGAACCGAAGUUCAGUACCCGAAGGUGUUUGAACUUUUUACAAAAAUUCUCGCAAUCUAUCACAGCGAGAUGAUCGCCUUCUAAACUUUGAUUGAUAAAAGAUUGGAGAUAGAUCUCACCAUGUUCUAAAGAAAUGAAGUCAGUCAGAUGUUCCAAAAUGAUGUAGCGUUUAACAUUUGCAAAUGGUUCCGCUUCCAUUCCAGGCAUCCAGAGAAAUUUCGUCUUGUCUGCCACCAAACCCAAUGAAGUAUAUACAAAACUUGGAACAUAGCAAGCUUUAAUUGUGCCGCCGGCUCUUCUCUUACUCACUUGAAUGAAGCCGCGAUGGAUUAGUUCUUUCAAGUAAUGUUCGGCAGUUUCUUCACCGUUGUAUGGUAUGAAACCUUCAGCUACCCACAACUGAUAUAAUUGCUCCGUAGAUAUCUCCAUACUUGGAGGGAAGACCAACAAAUAGAUGCAGCAGACCUUCAAGUGAAAAGGUAACUCCAUCACAGAAAAAAUUUGUCUCCAAACUGUCGGAAUCGCUUCGCCUUGAAGAUAAUUUUCUAAUGGCAUACUUCCAUAGUGUAGGAUGAAAAAUUGCCAGGCUUCAUGCUUUAAUCUUAUCAAUGGUCCUCCAAUGAGCACUGAAUCACGCCGAAUUUCCUCUCCAUUUUCCAUUUCCAACGACACAAGGAGGUCUGGUUCAGUGACUGUUAUCAAUACUCUGCUUCCAUUCUCAUCAUCAGGGAGAACUUCUUCCAGAUCAUCCCAUAUCUCACAGUCAUCGAAGACGUCAUCAAGCACAAUAAAAUACUUCUUGUUUGUUAGGUAAUCUCGAAGAAUAGAUUCCUUGAAUUGAUAAUCUUCACCGAUAAUUACACUAACCCGAGAUGGAGGCAUCACAGACUUGAUUAUGUCAUCCAAUAUCUUGCGAAAAUCGUAGAGUAGAGAAACCCUGACCCAAGCAAGACAGUCAAAAUAGAACUUGACAUAGUUAUUAUUGUAAGUAUCUGCAGCAAAAGCAGUCUUAUCGAAGCCACUGCUGUCGAGAAUUGCAACCACUGAAAGCCCAGAUGGUCCCUCAAUCAAUAGAUCAAACAACUCCUCUCUGCCCCUUUCAAAUUCACUGAUAUCAAGCCGAGGAUGUCCCUCAUUCAAUAGGCGAAUCAUUUCGUUACUUUUUUCACUGAUAUCAAAACCAUUGUCGCCGGGUGGAAGUUGUUGCAUCCGAUUUCUAAUAUCAAUGAUUUCACUGUGGAGUCCAUCAGGAAGAGCCAUAUUAGUGCUGCUUUCACUUUCGUUUUCACUGUUUUGCUGCUGCAUGAUGUUGAUGAAGAAUGUGUCAAUGACUUCCUCAGAGUCACGGACAAAGUUAUUGAUGUCCUUCAGAAUUUCAAAAAUAUCUGCUGUUUCAACGUCUUCUUCAUCGCUUUCUUCUAAGUCCAACAGUUGCAAAAAAGGCAAAGAUAUUUUGGAGUCAUCGAUAUCUUCUCUAAGGAGUUGAAUCAAAUGCCGAGCCAUGUCGGCUUCAUAGUUUCCCAGAAGAGUAGUAGCAAUAAUUUCGGACUCCGUAAGAAGGUUUUGAAAAAGUGGAGUUAAAUUUGUUGAAUCUGGCAGAGGCAACGUGCCUUCUUCACCUGCUAACACCCUUUUCAACCUCUCACAAAACAGUCGGAGGUGGACGUCCAGCAUAUCUCCUUCUCUCUGUAGCACCCAGAGGUAUUGUUUUUUGCUCCAAGAAAUAUUAAAAGGAUUGGUUCUAUCUAAAAGUGGUUACUGGUGUAAAAUUAAACGCCAUGGGAGAAUUUGAAAGGAAGAUGCCAAGGAACUGGCGAAGUGGCUAAAUUCCACAAAUACGGCAUUAUUGCUCAUUUUUAACUCAAAAAAUUGAUACGCCUUCAUUUAGCGAAAAGUCCAAGACGCUUGCCUUUUGAAAAGAAGAGGUAUCCAUAGAUAUCCAACAUUUAUCUUAUUUUAAUUACUACCACGACAUGAUUGAUGGUUGUUAAAUCAAUUGUUUCUUUUUUAAUUUAAAGAAAUUUUCAUUAAAAAAUAGUUUAAUAGACACAUAAUAUUACAAUAAAUAAAGUAAAGUUUAAAUUAUUUUGAAUAUUAUAAAAAAUAAUUUUAAUAUUAUUAAUAGGAAGACAUUUUGUUAAUUUUAAAAUCUUUUUAACCCAAAGGUUUAUUUAAAAUCUUUAUUAUAAAUACAAAUAUAAAAUUAAAUAUCAUAAUUUAAAAUUUUUAAUAUUAUUUUAAGUAUUAAAAAUAUUUUAAUGUUAUUAGUCUACUACAUAGAUUUUAUUAUUUAUAUUAUAUCUGUAUUGAUUAAAAUUUUUUAAAGUCAAUUUUUUAGUCAAUAUAUUCAAGAGGUAUUAUAGUUAAAGAAAAGAUUUUGGUGUUAUUUUUUGAAAAUUUUAAGGUUUAAAUGAUUUUUUUUUUAAUUUUAAGGAUGUGGGUAUUAUUUUUCCGACAAUUUAUUUUAUUUUUGGGGAAUCCGAUGAGAAAUAUCAUGAGAGAAGGUUAAUUUUACAUUCUUUACCUUUAUGAAAAAAGUGGAAACCAAGAACUAUUCAAUUUUGUAUUUUUUGUUUGUAAUUCAAAAAAUGCAUCCACCAAACAAGCUUAUCUUGAUUUUCCCACUUUAUUCAUUUUCGAUCCUUUAAUCCAUCUAGCAUCUGCAGCCCCCGCUAUUUUCACAAAGAGUAAUGAUACAGCCACAAAUUCUUGUACAAAUUUAUUUUGUAUAAACUGACGUGGCAUGAUAAGAUUGGUUGAAUUAAAUAUCACUUGGCCCACAUGAUUUGUUUUUAUUAUUUUAUAUUUUUAUUCAACCAAUGAAUUAAUGCCACGUCAGUUUGUACAAAAUAAAUUUGUACAAGAGUUUGUGGCUGUAUCAUUACUCUGUCAAGAAUCUCCAUCCCACAGCUACACUAUCAAACAAGUUGAUGGAAAUUGAACAAUUGCUUUUUGAAGUGGACCCAUUAGGUUAUGUUCAUUACUGGUCAUUGUCUAUUCUUUCUAAGAGCCACUUAUUUUGAGCAUUAGCGAUCCUAUCUGGACUACUCCAAUUAUUGAUGUAACUCCAAUGGUUGCAUCAACAGUUGAAUGUAAGAUAGUGUCAGUUCUUUUUUGAGAAUAUAGAGGGAUCUUUAUUUGUUUCUCCGUUGCAGCGUAUUAGUAUAAAUUUCUUGACCUUACAGUUCCUACAGUCUUCCUGUUAAUGAAUUCGCUGAGGCAUUAUUGAUCCAAUCUCAGUGAAGUAAUUGUGGGUGAAAAAAAAAUAAAGGAUAAGAGAACGUAGCUCAAGUGCUGAAUUGACUAUUAAAGAAGAGCGUCACCUGAUCACAAUCACAUUGAUGCACAACUCACUCGAGGCAAAUUUCAUCUAUAUAUACUGCAAAUUCAGCCAAGCCAUGCAUGCAUGAACAAAACUAAAAUGAAGUUCAUAAUCACAACUGUAAUUAGAGCUACAAAAGGUGGCAAACCAUACAUGCAUGAACAAAAUUAGACAUAAAUUGAAGCCACAACAUUAAUUGAAGCCACAAAAGCCAGCAAAUCCAAAUGAAAACUUAAAAGGAAGAUCUUAUCGAAGUUUGUCCCCAAAAGACAGCGGAAAUGAAAAAUAUUGACUAUCGAGUGGAUCAAUGCUGAAUUACAUUUGACCUGGAAAGCUUGGCUGCAGUUGCGAUGUUCCCCCUCUGAUUUUCCCUAAAACAAAUUCAGUUGUAAACAAUAACUGGAGUAGCAACAAUUUAUUCAUUAUAGAAAAUACCUAAAUUUUCAACUAUCAAAUCCUCUUGUCUAAACUAAAAAACUCAUAUCUCUAAAAUCUAUAUACAAAAUGUCAUAAAUGAGGGUGAUCUCUCAAUUCGGUAAACAAAUUCAUGCAUAAUAUUACCAAUAAUGAUAAAUUACAUAAUAAUUAUUAUAAAGAAUCAUAAAUUGGAAACAUUAAUCAUUUUAAAAUCUAUUACAUAAUAAAAAUAAAUCUUAUAAUAAGUUACGUUAGAACAUAACAAAUAUUUAAAAUGAUAUAUAUAAUUAUUUAAGAAGUCUUUUAACAAUAAUUUUUUUUUUCUUUUUCAGUUGAUCAUGUCAUAGCGUUAUCUAAAAUGCUAGCGAUAUCAUUAUUCCCCACUUUUCUCAAAAAAAAGAAAAAGAUAAAGAAAAAAGAAAUAUGAUUAACGUUUGGAGAAAAGUCAUGCCUUUUAAAAAGAAUAUGUAUACAAUACCAAUUCAUACUUUAUCUUACCAUAAAAAAAUUGUUUAAAAUAGAUUUAAUGCACAAAUAUGAUGACUUUUGGCAGAAAUGAGUUUCGGAAAUAUUGGGAUGAAAACCAUAUUGGUUCAGACUUAAAAUUACUUAAUAAAAUUACUUAACUACCAUUUAAUAAAUAAAAAUCAUAUUAGUUGAAAGUUAAAUUAAGAUUUAAAUGUUGAGAUAUCUAACGUUACUCAAUCAGAAUAAACAAUAAUCAAUUCAAAUUAUGACUAUCAUGUAGAAGCAAAUGUUUAUGCUUGGGUCUUUUACUUCUUGAAUUUGAUUGGAAAAAUUUCUGAGACAGGGAAGUGAGUGUUUUGGAUAAUAUUUUUCGGGAUUGAAACCACAAGUUGGUCGAGGAAAAUAAUUUUGGACAAAUUUUUAUUAUAUUGUAGAACCUUUUUGGUUCCUUUUGUGUCGGCAGCCCCUCACUAUUCUCUUAACCCUGAGUUUUGAGAUAGAAAUUUCCCGAACUCCAACCCCACAUCCACAGACAAGUUGAUUGAAACAAUUGCUCUUGUAAUUAAGAGGAUGAGUUAGGGUUCAGUUCUUAUCAUUGUCUGUUAUUUCUUUGAAUCAUUAUCUUAGUUAAUUACAUCAAUUGUUUCUUUUCUUAAUUUAAAGAAUUUUUCUUUUAAAAAAAUAUUUUAAUAUCAAAAUGCGUUAAAUGGUAUUACUGCCGCAAUCCCAGUAACAGGAUUAAUUAAAAAAAUAUUCUUAGGAAGAUAUUUUGUUUAUUGUAAAAUCUUUUUAACCCAAAGGUUUAUUUAAAAUCGUUAUAAUAAAUAAAAAUAUAAAAAAAAAUAAAUAUCAUAAUUUAAAAUUUUAAUAUUAUUUUAAAUAUUAAAAAUACUUUAAUGCUAUUAGUCUACUACACAGGUUAUAUUACUUAUAUUAUAUUUGUAUAAAUUAAAACUUUUAAAGUUAAAUUUUUAAUUACUAUAUUGAAAAGGUAUUAUGGUUAAAAAAAGUUUUGGCAUUUGUUUUUUGAAAAUUUGAGGGUCUGCAUGACAAUUUGUCCAAAUCCUAGAGGUAUAGGUGUCUUUUUUUUUCGAUAAUUCAUUUUACUUUUGAGGGAAUCCGAUGAGAAAUAAGAUAAGAGAAACGUCAAUUUAACGUUCUCUAGGGAAAACCAAGAACUAUUCAAUUUUGUAUUUUUUGUUUGUAAAACAAAAAACAGUUUGCCAAAAAAGGUACCAAACAUAUCCUUAAUGUCUCACAUGAUUUCUUAUUAAGUCCAUACUCGAUAUAUUUAUACAUUUUAGGUAUUUUAGUUAUAAAAGAAGUUGGUCCUCCCUCUGUUUAUAAAAGGUAACUUUAUUUCGAGAUUACCACUAAAGUCUUACAAAGAAUUAGUGUAAUGUUAAGAGAGACUAACACAGUUUUCCAUUACCAUUUUGAAAAUAGAAAGAUAUGGAUGUGUGCAUUUAAUGGUGCGUUUACUUGCCGGAUUGGGGAAUCAGAAUCUGGAAUCAGAAUGAUUGAUGGUGUUUACUUCACAAAUAUGGAGCAGGAAUCGGAAUUGGAAUGGUGGGGCCCACCACUAUUUGGGAAUGGGAGAUUGAUUCCCAUGGGGGAAGGUGGGAAUGAGUCUCUCAUUCCCUGGAUUGACCAUUUUGCCCUCCCUCAAAAUUAAAAAUGCCUACUUUGUCCUCUUUUAUAAUUAAUUAAUAUAAUAUUAUAAUUAAUUAAUUAAUAUAUAAAUAUUUUAUUAACUAUAAUUAUUAAAAAUUAUAGUUCUUGAAUAAAUAAUCACAAUAAUUAAUUUAUUAUUAUUAUUGUUAAUGAAUUAAUAUAAUUAUUACUAUUAAUUAAUAUAUUAAUAUAUUAUUAACAAUAAUAUAUUAAUAAUUAUUGUUCGUGAAUAAAUAAUCACAAUAAUUAAUAUAUUAUUAUUGAAAUUAAUUAAUUAAUAUACUAUUAUAAUAAUUAUUAUAAUUAAUUCAUAUAUUAUUAUUAAUUAAUUAAUAAAAUUAAAAUUAUUAAUUAAAUAAAUAAUAUAAUUAUUACUACUAAUUAAUAUAUUAAUAUAUUAUUAAAAAUAAUUAUUAAUAAUUAUAAUUUUUGAAUAAAUAAUCACAAUAAUUAAUAUAUUAUUUUAAUUAAGUAAUUAAUAUUAAUAUUAUUAGUUAAUAUAUUUUUAUAAUAAUUUUUGAUAUAGUUAUUAUAAUUAAUUAAAAUUUUUUACAAUUAAUUAAUAUAUUAGUUAAUAAUAAUUAUGACAAUAAUUCAUUAAGUACUUUUUAGUAAUUUGUUACAAUCUAAUUCAUUCCGAUUCCGAUUUCAAGACAAAGUAAACACAUUAAUGGCAAUCUAGCUCAUUCCGAUUUCGAUUCUUACAGUUCAAGUAAACAACUUAUUUUGAUUCCCAUUACCUAUUCCCAUUCCAGCCCAUUCUCAUUUCUGCCCAUUUCAAUUCCAGCUCAUUCCGAUUCCAGUUUAGUAAACGCAGCAUAAGAGUUAUCAUGAAAAUCAUACAAUUUAAUUUCCUGAAAUAUAUAUUUUAUUCACAUGUGCCAAAAGAAUAAAUAGAUAGAAAGUAAAUUUACAAUCCUCACUCCCUCAUAAUUGUUAAAGUGAAUAUGCAUUACAACUGUGAACUGUCACUACUUUAGCCCUUUAUUUGUUUUUUCAAUUAUAGUGUGAUGGAGACAGUGAACAUUAAGGAUAAAGUGCUCUGCUGAAAGCCAAACUUCCUUUGGCUAAUUAAUUUAGAAGUAAAGCAGAGAAUAAAGUCCUUGAUGCCUUCUGAAAUUAGAAAUACAUUUUAUAUGCUUUAAUUAUGAUUAUUUGGUAGACUAUUGACCAAAAGACAUGUUAAAGUAUAAAACAGAGCGAUUAAAGAAAAAAAAAAGGAGCGUUUGUGACGUAGAAUAACAAUUUGUAAGCAAAGUCCUAAUUUGAGUUGUCAAAAAGCAAACAUAACAGAGAAGGUAAGAGAGAUGCAAAAACAGAAAACUAUUAGCUUAUCUUGAUUUUCCCACUAUAUUCAUUUUCGAUGCUUUUCAAACGAGAUUCUUUUAAUCCUUCUGGCGUCUGCAGCCCCUGCUCUUCUUAUAAAUCUCCUUCCCACAUCUGCACUACGAACAAGUUGACUAAAAUUAAAUAAUGUUGGAGACGAGGGGUGAGCCGUCAACUUAUUAAAAAAAACUCAUGUAUAAUAUUAUCAAUAAUAUAAAAUAUAUAAUAAUUAUUAUAAAGAAUCAUAAAUUAGAAAAAUUAAUUAUUUUACAAUUUAUUUCUUAAGUAAGAUAAAUCUCGUAAUAAGUUAAGUUUAAUGUAAAAAAUAUUUUCAAUUUAUAAUCAUUUAAGAAGUCAUUUAACAAUAAAAUCUUUUUUUUGAUCAGGUGGCCAUGCCAUAGAGUAUCAUCUAUAUUCGUGGUGAUAUUAUUAUUACUCAAUAUCCUCAAAAGACACUAUUUAACAUUUAGAGAAAAUUUCUGCCUUUUAAAAAGAACAUGUAUGCAAUAGCUAGCCACACUUUAUUUUACCACGACAAAAUUGAUAGUGAUUAAAUCAAUUUUCUCAAUUAAAGAAAUUUUUUUUAAAUUGAUUUAAUGCACAAAUAUGAUGAGUUUUUGCAAAAAUUAGUUUUGGAAAAUAUAGUGAGAGAGAAUGGUGACGAUUAUUUUUCAGAUGUGCAAAUAGCCUAAACAUAAUCUCUAAUACCAAUAUCCUUGUGCAUCUUAACACCUUUCAUGAUAUUCUUUCAUUCAUAACCAUUUGUUCAAUAUUUGAAUUUGAUUAUUAAAUUAUGUUCAAUAAUGUUAGAGACCCCAACAAUUGGGUACCAACUUAAAUCCCAAUGCUAUGUGUCAAUGUAACAUAGCAAAAUCCCAUUAACAAAUGUUGUGUCAUUUAUCAUUAUUGAAUGAAUAAUUCGUUAAUUUAUUGAUAAAUGAAAAUUUAUUAAUUUAAAGAGAGAUUUUUUUUUUUGGUUUUAAGAAGAGUUUUGUUGGUACAUGUACAUACUUAUAAAGGAAAAACUUGUAAUUAUACUAUAUCUUUCUUUCUUUGUUCAGUUUGGUGGGAUAUUGUGAUAAAUCAUUGGAUUAAAAUGCAUUUCUAAAUUGAAACUUGUUAAAAUCUAAUUUAUUUGGGAAACGCAUAUUAUUUGUCAGUCGUACUUCUCAACUUAGCAAGUUAUUUCUAACUUGUCGGUCUCUAUUGGUUCUCUUAAAACUAAUAGUCUCGUAUCUCCCGCAUUUGAUAUCUUGCCAUUACUGUUGGCAUUAACAUGUUACCUGAGAUUGGGAUUCAUUAAAAUCCUCAAUGUAAUCGGUGGAACGAAUGGAUUUCUUCUGUUCACCAAUCCACCAAAAUUUCUGUAAUUAAAUUCAAAAGUCAAGAUCUAUGCUUAUAAUCUAUUCAACAGCUAAUAUUCUAUUUUAUAUUUACUUAAAUAUGAAGAGCUAUGCUUGUAGUUAACUUCAAAUGUGAUCGAAGCAGCCUUACAUCUAUAUAUUACUUAUGCCCAACCUUUUUUUUUGACUUCAUAUACAUUCUUUUCAUGUUAUUUACUCUUUUUUCCCCCUCUCUGACAAUUGAGGUAGGGGGUCAAACUUGAAAGUAUCUUAAAAUCAGACAAUAAUUUUUUUUUUUUAAAGAUAGCUACUAAUAUGCUCUAUUAGACAAUGAUAAGUAAUAACCUAGUUGUUUGCAUUAGAAAUGAUAUUUUUUGUGGUGCUGAUAAAGAGGUUGAUUAUGAUUCAACAAUUUAAAAUAUGAAAACAUGUGGAAGACGGCCGCAAUUAAAUUGAUUGUAUGAAAAUAUUUCAAUGAAAUUUUAAAAGUUUAGUACUUGUUAUCUUAUCGAGAGUUUUUUUAAAUUAUAUUACUACUUGAACUUGACUGCUUUUGUAUUGAAUUCCUACCGUUGCCAUUGCUUCUACUCAAAAGCCAUUUAAGUUUGUGUAAGCUACCUAUAGUUUGAACAACAAUUUACUCAUGAAUUGUUGUUCAUAUUAGCAAUUUGAUUGAAAGUGCGGCUGCACUAAUUUUCUAGAUGAAUUUUUUCCUACAUGCUUGUUCUCGUAUGACCCAAAAUCCUACUACAUCAGUUGUAUUAGAAAUUAAUCAACUGGGUUACAAUUAUGCAUCCCCACCAAUAUUUAAGCAAUUUAAUUACAGAAAUAUUUCUUGAGGAAAGAAACUCAUAUCGCCACUAGGCUUGUAAUGAGGCUCAUUUUUAUGAAUCUGGAUGGCAUUAGAUAUCUCUACGAAUAUUGGUGGGAGUAGAUCGCAGAUCUCUGGGCUAUACUACAAAGUUUAUGUACGUUGACUCUCAAUAAAUACAAACGAUUCUCUGAUAUGAUUCAAACAUCAGUGCAUGCAUCAUUUUAAUGAGAAAGAAUAUUCUAAGAACGAAAUUGAAGGUGCAAUCAGCAGCUAAAAUGAAGCCAGAAAUGUACAUGCAUGAGGAAUUUUUCCUAGAAGAUUGAUAUUUCUUUGACUAGCAAACCAUACAAGUCCAAAGCUAGCCAAACCAUACCUGCAAGGUGGGGGUUUAAAUGGAAUACUUCUAAGCAUAAAACAUUGAUUAAAACAGAAUACACACAUACAUACCAGCAAAUUCAAAAUAGCAAGAGGAGUGCAAAAGUUCAAGUUUGUAGACAACAUUGCAACCAUGGCAAGUUUAUAGCAAAUCCUCGAAAUCUGCUAAAUAAAACAAUGCCCUGUCUCAUGAAUCAAUGCUUAAUUAAAAUUGAAACUGAAAGUCUGGCUGACGUUGUUUCCCUCUCCAAUUUUGCCUACAUAAGUGAAAAUAAGAAUAAUAAAUGAAAAUCUGCUUUUACAGUUCUUAUUAGAUAGAUAUAAAUGGAUCUUUCUUUGUUUCUCUGCUGUAUUUUGUGGCUAUCCCACUCUGUUUUGCCAGUCAAGCUGAGUCUAUGUUGAGACAUAAUUUUGACAUCAGAAGCAAUCUCAAUUAGUUUGGCACUUUUAUGACCUCCUUAAAGGUUUUACAAUAAACAUAAAUCUACUGAGAAAGUGGGAAAAAAAAGAAAAUGCAUAUAAAAAUAUGAGUUAUCAGAUAAGAUUAAAACUCACCCAAUUCAAUCCAUCAGAUUCCGUAAGGAUAUAACUGGAUGUCAUACCGCCACUCCAUAUCCUUGAAAGUCCGUAGUGUUUGUCUCAACUCUGUCUGAGGCCAAUGUAAAUUCAAUUUGCGCAAGCUCUUUAUGCACCACAGCUCUUCUGGAAGCUUUCUCAAGUAAGCACAUGGGUUGACGAUUAAGCUUUCAAGUUUCGGCAUUGCUCCAGCCCCCAUCGUCCACUCAUCUAGCCAAUACAUUGAUUUCAGGUGCAAAACCUUAAGUUCGGGAAAGCUACUCAAGCCAACACAAGCAAGCUUUCUUCCUAAAUACGAGUUCUGCUUCAGUUUCAGCACUCGAAGGCGUGGAAGAUUUUCCAGAAUUGGCAUGGGAUCCUCCAUUAGCUCAGUAUUUGAUAAGCUCAGUUGGAUCAGACUUGGGGGAAAUUGGUAUUCAGACAGGACCAUCCGUGAGGGCUUGCUCUCAUUCACCAGCUUCAAGCAUUCAAGUUUGUGGACUUCGCAAAGGCUUUUGGAAACCCCAGAUUGAUAGUAACUCAAAUCUCCAGAUAUCCGAAGAGUCUGAACACUAGGUAGUCUGCCCAAUAUUUCAGGAGUACAACUACUAGGGUUUAAAGCUGAUAUAAAAAUGAGUUUUUUCAGAGAGCUAGAAUAAUUUUUUGGAGGUGCGGGUAGAGUGAUAGAACCAAAGUUUAGAUGUAUGAGUUUUUGCAUCAUCCAAAUAUCCUCUGGUGACUGAUCUAUGUAGCUAGAUGGCAUUUCUAGUGUUUCAAGGUUUAAAAGGGUGCAUAGCAGUGGAGGAAGGCAUUUGAGCGAAGGGAUAUUCAUUUUCAAAUACUUCAAAAGAUAUAAAUUUUCUAAUCCAGGUGGAAAUUGGUCGAGAACUGCAGAACCGAAGUUCAGUACCCGAAGGUGUUUGAACUUUUUACAAAAAUUCUCGCAAUCUAUCACAGCGAGAUGAUCGCCUUCUGAACUUUGAUUGAUAAAAGAUUGGAGAUAGAUCUCACCAUGUUCUAAAGAAAUGAACUCAGUCAGAUGCUCCAAAAUGAUGUACCGUUUAACAUUUGCAAAUGGUUCCGCUUCCCUGUCAGGCAUCCAGAGAAAUUUCGUCUUGUCUGCCAUCAAACCCAAUGAAGUAUAUACAAAACUUGGAACAUAGCAAGCUGUAAUUGUGCCGCCGGCUCUUCUCUUACUCACAUGAAUGAAGCCGCGAUGGAUUAGCUCUUUUAAGUAAUGUUCGGCAGUUUCCUCACCGUUGUAUGGAAUAAAGCCUUCAGCUAUCCACAACUGACAUAAUUGCCUGGUAGAUAUCUCAAUGCCUGGACGGAAGACACACAAAUAAAGGCAGCAGACUUUCAAGUGAAAAGGUAACUCCAACACAGAACAAAUUCGACUCAAGAGUGUCAAAACCACUUUUUCAUCCAUAUAAUUUACUAAUGGGGCACUUCCAUAGUGUAGGAUGAAAAAUUUCCAGGCUUCAUGCUUUAAUCUGAUCAAUGGUCCUCCAACAGGCACUGAAUAAAGCGGAAUGAUCCCUCCAUGCUCCAAUUCAAAAAAGGUAAGGAGGAAUGGAUCAGUGACCAAUAUCAAUACUCUGCUUCCAUUCUGCUUAUCAGGAAGAACUUCUUCAAGAUCAUCCCAUAUGUCACUGUCAUUGAAGACAUCAUCAAGCACAAUAAAGUACUUCUUGUUUGUCAGGUAAUCUCGAAGAAUAGAUUUCUUCAAGUGAUAAUCUUCACCGAUAAUUACCCUAGCCCGAGAUGGAGGCAUUAAAGAAUUGAUUAUGUCAUCCAAUAUCUUGCCAAAAUAGUAGCCUAUAGAAACCCUUACCCAAGCAAGACAGUCAAAAUAGAACUUGACAUGAUUAUUAUUGUAAAUAUCUGCAGCAAAAACAGUCUUAUGGAAGCCAUUGCUGUCGAGAAUUGCAAUCACUGAAAGCCCAGAUGGUCCCUCAAUCAAUAGAUCAAACAACUCCUCUCUGCCCCUUUCAAAUUCACUGACAUCAAGCCAGUGUUGUCCCUUACUCAAUAGGCGAAUGAUUUUGUUACUUUGUUCAGUGAUAUCAAAACCAUUGUCGCUGGGUGGAAGUUGUUGCAUUCGAUCUCUAAUAUCAAUGAUUUUACUGUGGAGUCCAACAAGAAGAGCCAUAUUAGUACUGCUUUCACUUUCGUUUUCACUGUUUUGCUGCUGCAUGAUGUUGAUGAAGAAUGUGUCAAUCGCUUCAUCAGAUUCAUGGACAAAGUGAUUGAUGUCGUCCAGAAUUUCCAAAAUGUCCCGUCUUUUUACGUCUUCAUCAGUGUCUUCUAAGUCUAACAGUUGCAGACAAAGCCAAGCCAUUUCAGCUCCAUUGAGUUGUUCUCUAAUGAUGCGUCGAAUCACACGACGAGUCAUGUCACCUUCAUAGUUCCCGAGCAGAGUAGUAAUAAUUUCAGUCUCCGUAAAAAGGUUUUGAAAAAGCGGGGCUAAGUUUGUUGAAUCAGGCAACGUUAACGUGCCUUCUUCACCUGCUACCACCCUUUUCAACCUCUCACAAAAUAGUCGGAGGUGGACGUCCAGCAUAUCUCCUUCUCUCUGUGGCACCCAGAGGUAUUGUUAUUUGCUCCAAGAAAUGUUAAAAGGAUUGGUCCUAUCUCAAAGAGGUUAGUGGUGUAAAGUUAAACACAAUGGAAGAAUUUGAAAGGAAUAUACCAAGAAACUGUGUAAGUGGCUAAAUUCCACAAAUAUGGCAUUGUUGCUCAUUUUUAACUCAAAAAAAUACACGUUAAUUUAGCGAAAAGUCCAAGACACGUGCUUUUUGAAAAGAACAGGUAUCCCAAUAGGUAUCCAACCUUUAUCUUAAUCAAUUACUACCAUGACAUACUUGAUGGUGCUUAAAUCAAUUUUUCUUUUCUUAAUGUAAAGAUUUUAUUUUUUUAAAACAGAUUUUAAUAUCAAGAAAAAAUAUCACUCGUAUAUCCUUAAAUGACACUUGUAUCAAACGUACUACAACACUUUUAACAUGUAUCACUUGUAUACCUUAAGUUGACAAAUUGUGUCUACCAUCCACCAAACCGUUAGUUGCCGUUUGCAAGCGCUGACAUCAUAAAGGUAAUCUAGUCUUUUCAAAUGGAAGAAACUUUGAUUAAAAAAACGACAUGUCAUCCCAUUUACCUCGUAAAAAAUGACAUAUCAUAUGAUAUAUAUUGACAAAAAAUGACAUGUCAUCCCAUUUAUCGGAAGAUGAUGUCAUCUAUGUGAAACAACGUUGUUUCAACGGGACUAAAAAAAAAAUGAUACUCCACAACCGAAUCGACUCCUCCAAACUUUAACUUGAAUAUUUGAAGAUCUACUCAUCCAAGCUCCAACUGGAAUUUUUUAUGGUAUAAUAUGUUGUUAAUAAUUUUUUAUGGUAUAAUAUGGAUUAUUUUUUAUGGAUAAUUGUUAAUAAUACGUACCAUUAAUAAUUCAUUUUUUAAUAAAAAAUGUAUUGUUAAUAAAAAAUAAAAAAUAUAUUGAAAAUUUACGUUAAUUUUUUGGGCAAAUAUGUAUUUUUACCUUAUUUUGAGUUUCAAGGGCGAAAUAGUCAAUUUGUCAUAAUUCUGUUAACUUUCUAAUGGUAGCUAACAGUUUGGUGGACAGCAGACACAUUUUGUCAACUUAGGGUGUACGAGUAAUACAUGUUAAAAGUGCUGCAAUACGUUUGAUACAAGUGUCAUUUAAAGGUAUAUGAGUGAUACAUGUUAAAAGAGUUGUAGUACAUUUGAUACAAGUGUCAUUUAAGGGGAUAUAAGUGAUAUUUUCCCUAAUAUCAAAUUGCCUUCGAUGUUUUUACAGCUACAAGCUCAGUAACAGGAUUAAUUAAAAAGUUUAGAAUUGUUGGGCGUGCAAAGAGUAGUUUUAAACACCAGAAAGCAAAGGUUGUUAUUGACAUAAUUUUAUUUUUGUUUUCGAGGGAAUUUGUUUUUUUUGUUGACAAGAAAAUAGUAUUAUAUUUUACAAUCUAUUAUACAUAUUUUAUCAUAUUAAAGUAAUUUUAAUAUUAAAUGGAAACAUUAAAUUUAAAUUAAUUAAUUAAAAAUUGAAUUAUUUUGAAUAUUAUGUAAAAAAUUAUUUUAAUAUCAUUAAUAAGGAGAUAUUUUGUUAAUUGUAAAAUAUUUUUAACCCAAAUAUAUAUUAAAUUUUUUAUAAUAAAUACAAAUACAAAUAUAAAAAUAAAAUAAAUAUCAUAGUUUAAAAUUUUAAUGUUAUUUUAAAUAUUAAAAAUAAUUUAAUGCUAUUAGUCUAUUACACAGGUUAUAUUAUAUUUGCAUUAAUUAAAAGUUUUAAAGUCAAUUUUCCAGUUUCUAUAUUCAAAGGUAUAAUGGUUAAAAGAAAGUUCUUGGUGUUUCUUUUUAAAAAUUUGAGGGUCUUAAUGAUAAUUUUUCUAAAUCGUAAGGGUAUAGGUGUCUUUUUUUCCGAUAAUUUAUUUCACGGGUAUCCAAUAAGAAACAUGGUAAGAGAACGUCAAUUACUUAUCAUUUUCUAUUUUUUCUAUGAGUCAUUUAUUUUGAGCAUUAGUGAUCUUAUCUGGACUACUCCAACUAUUGAUGCAACUCCAGUGGCUGCAUCCACAGUUAAAUAUAUGAUAGUGUUAGCUCUUAUUUGAGAAUUUAGAGGGAUCUUUCUUUGUUUCUCUGUUGCAAUGUGCUAGUAUAAAUUUCUUUACCUUAAAAUUUAUAUAGUCUUGCAGUUAAAGAAUUCACUGAGGCAUUGUUGAUUCAAUUUCAGUGAAGCAAUUGUGGGUGAAAGAUAAAUGAAGGAAAAGAGAACAGAGCUGAAGUGCUAAAUUGGCUAUUGAAGAAGGAUGUCACAUGAUCACAAUCACAUUGAUGCACAACUCUCUGGAGGCAAAGUUUGUCUAUAUGUACUCUGAAUUCAGCCAAGCCAUACAUGCAUGAACAAAAAUUAAACCGUAGUUCUAAUCACAACAGUAAUUGAAGCUACAAAAGCCAGCAAAUCUGAACGAAGACUUAAAAGAAAGAUCUUAUUCAAGUUUGUCCCCAAAAGACAGCUGAAAUGAAAAAUAUUGACUGUUGAAUGGGCCAAUGCUGAAUUACAUUUCAAAUGGAAAGCUUGGCAGCAGUUACAAUGUUUCCCCCUCUGAUUUUCCUCCAAAACAAAUUCAGUUGUAAACAAUAACCGAAGUAGUAAUAAUUUAUUCAUCAAAGAAAAUGCCCCCAAGUUUUCAAUUAAAAAAUCCUCUUGUCCAAACUAAAAGAACUCAUAUCUCUAAAAUUUAUUUGCAAAAUGUUGGAAAUGAGGAGUGAUCCGUUAACUCUGUAAAUAAACUCAUGCAUAAUGUUAACAAUAAUGAUAAAUUACAUAAUAAUUAUUAUAGAGAAUCAUAAAUUGGAAACGCUAAUCAUUCUACUAUUAUAUAAGUAAGAUAAAUAUCAUAAUAAGUUAAGUUAUAAUGUAAUAAAUAUUUGCAAUAUAUAAUUAUUUAAGAAGUCAUUUAACAAUAAAAUAUUUUUUUAUCCAGUUGAUCAUAUAGCGUUAUCUAAACUCUUGACAAUAUUAUUAUUACUCACUUUUCUCAAAAAAACAUGAUUAACUUUUAGAGAAAGUCAUGUCUUUGAGAAAGAAUAUGUAUACAAGCUAUCCAUACUUUAUCUUACUGUGACAAAAUUGAUGGUGAUUAAUUGUAUUUUUUAAAAUAGAUUUAACGCACAAAUAAGAUGACUUUUGGCAAAAAUUAUUUUCGGAAGAUAUAGUGAUAGAAAAUAGUGAUGAUAAUUAUUGUUUAAAUGUGUAAAUAGCCUAAGCAUAGCCCGUAAUACCAAUAUUCAUUUGCACCUUGAAAGAAACUUAGUUCUAUAUUGUUUGGCAAGCAAGAAAGUAAAGGAAAAUGAAAGAGAACUCUAAAGAACCUUUUUUAUUAUACUCAGAUAUCUCAACUUAAUGAAUACUGAUUGACAUUUAUACUAAGCUACAAUCUUCACUACACACACGAGUUUGUAACAUCACAUAACCAUUUGCUGCAUAACUAACUUUACACAUCAGCUCAACCAGCUAACUAACUUUGACAGGUCAGCUCAGUGAGUUGAUCUGCUACAACCAGCUACACAGCAACAGCAUGCUCUGCUCCAGCUAUACAGCAACAUCAUGCUCUGUUCCAGCUUUAUCCGCUCUGCUUUGCUCUGCUCCAGCUUUGACAGGUCAGCUCAGUGAGUUGAUCUGCUACAACCAGCUACACAGCAACAACAUGCUCUGCUCCAGCUAUACAGCAACAUCAUGCUCUGCUCCAGCUUUAUCCAAUUCACUAACAUCCCCCCUCAAGCUAAAAUGUUUAGGAUGAACAUUCAGCUUGCUUCUGAAGUAACUGAAUUGUUUGAAAGUAAGAGCCUUAGUUAACACAUCUGCUGUUUGAUCUGGACUAGGCACAUAGCAUACUGCAACCUCUUUAGCAGUGACCUUAUCUCGGAUAAAAUGUAUAUCCAAUUCAACAUGCUUAGUCUUAGCAUGAUAAACUGGAUUAUAAGCUAAAGCAAUUGCUCCUUGAUUAUCACACCACAUUAUAGGAGUGGAGCUUAAUGUGAUACUAAGUUCACCAAGUAAGGAUUUAAUCCAGGUAACCUCUGAAGCAGCAUGGGCAAGAGAUCUAUACUCAGCUUCUGUGCUGGAUCUGGAAACAACAACUUGUUUCUUUGACGACCAGGAAACAAGAUUAGGACCUAGAUAAACAGCAAAGCCAGCCACUGACUUCCUAUCAUCAUGAUCACAAGCCCAAUCAGAAUCUGAAAAACAAUGUAAUUGCAGAGCUCCUUGAUUGUAGAAAUGCAGCCCCAGAUGGAUAGUGCCUUUUAAGUACCUCAAUAACCUUUUACAUGCUUCCCAAUGUUGAGUUCUAGGACUGGAAAGGAACUGACUUAACUUGUUUACAGAGAAGGCAAUGUCAGGUCUGGUAAGAGUAACAUAUUGAAGAGCUCCUAUAACACUUCGAUAUUGAGAAACAUUUUCAAGUGGCUCUCCUGAGUCUUUGGUGAGAUAAAAGCCUGUAGACAUUGGAGUUGGCACAGGACUGCAGUCUGUCAUGCCAUGUUUAUCCAGAAUAUUAGCAAUGUACUUUGCUUGUGUCAAGGAAACCCCUUGUGAAGAUUUGCUGACUUCAAUCCCCAGAAAAUAGUGAAGUUCCCCCAGGUCUUUUAAAGCAAAAGCUUGAUGCAUAUGCUGGAUAACUUGUUGAAUUAUGGAUGGACUGGAACCAGUGAUGAUAAUAUCAUCAACAUAGACCAAAACAACAGUUAGAUGACCACUGUUCCAGGCAUAAAAGAGAGAGUUAUCAGACCUGGAAUGCUGAAAAUGCCACUUGGAGAUCAUUGCAUCCUUAAACCUAUCAAACCAGGCUCUAGGAGCUUGUUUUAAGCCAUACAAAGCCUUAUUUAGCUUGCAGAUAUGAUUAGGUUUAGUUGAAUCAACAAAACCUUGAGGUUGAGCCAUGUACACAUCUUCAAUUAAAAUGCCAUUUAGAAAGGCAUUGUUAACAUCCACCUGCCUUACAACCCAGUGACUCAAUACUGCUAAGCUAAGAAUAACUCUAACAGUGGAGGACUUAACCACUGGACUGAAGGUUUCUGUGUAGUCAAUCCCAUGUGUCUGAUGAAACCCUUUAGCCACAAGCCUGGCUUUAUACCUUGAAACUGAACCAUCUGAGUUAUACUUUACUCGAAAUACCCACUUGUUGCCAACUAUCUUCACUGGAGUAGCAGGUAAGACUAAAUCCCAGGUGUGAUUGGUUUUAAGAGCUAGAUACUCUUCUUGCAUAGCUUUAUACCACAUAGGAUCAGAAAGUGCUUUGGAAACAGAGGUUGGUUCUGACUUCUGAGCUAGUAAAGCUGACAAGUAGAUCUUGGGCUUGAAGAUACCUGCUUUUGACCUGGUUAUCAUUGGAUGACCAGAUGAUGCAGGUUGUGACAAGGUAUGUGGAGGUGAAUGAUGGGAUGGUGAAGAAGGAGAAGAAGAAGUGGAAUUGAAAUUAUCAGAAAAGUAAACUGGAGUAGAAUUUGGGAAGGAAAUAGAAGCAUGUGACUGAGAAUCAUUAAGAAGAUAUUCUGAUGAUGCUGCUAAAGGUGCUUGUAACUGAGUAACAAAAGGAGUAGAAGAAUUAAAAGAAGACUCAGAAUGAGUUGAUGACUGACAGUUUGAAGAAACUGAAGAAAAAUCUGUUCCUGACUCAUAAGGAAAAGAACGUUCAUAAAAGGUUACAUGAUUUGAAAUAUAGACCCUCCCAGAAGAGUGAAGACACUGAUAUCCCUUGUGUUGUGAACUGUAGCCAAUGAAUAUACAUCUAGCUGUUCUGAAAUCAAACUUAUGUCUAUUGUAUGGUCUGAGUGUUGGAUAACAAGCACAGCCGAAAAUUUUAAGUGUUGAAUAAUCUGGUUGGGAAUGAAACAACUUUUGAAAAGGAGAAAUGCUGUUUAGAACUGGAGUUGGAAGUCUGUUUAUCAAGUAGACAGCUGUAUGGAAUGCAUUCCACCAAAAUUUGAGUGGUAAAUGUGCUUGAGCUAAUAAAGUCAGUCCUACAUCAACUAUGUGUCUAUGUUUCCUCUCAAUUUUUCCAUUUUGAUGAUGAAUGUGGGGGCAAGGAUGUCGAAAAUGGAUGCCAGAAGUGGUGAGUAAUGAUGAAAAUGUUCUGAACUCCCCUCCCCAGUCAGUUUGGACAGUUUUGAUGGAAAGUUGAAGAUGCUUCUCAAUGAAUAUUUUGAAAUUGGUAAAAACUUCAAGAGCAUCAGAUUUUGCUGAUAAGGGAAAAAUCCAGGUAAACCUACUGUAAUCAUCUAGGAUUGACAAGUAGUAAUUAUAUCCUUGGGUAGAACAAACAUGAGAAGGGCCCCAAAGAUCUGCAUAUAUCAGUUGUAAAGGUGCUGAAGUUUUUGUUUCUACUGAAUCAAAAUGCAGCAUGUGAUUUUUACCAUAUUGGCAUGCUGAACAAAAUUUCAAACUGUCAACUUUAUUAAAAGCAGUAGAGUUGUUACAAGCUUUGAGAAUGGUUUUGAGAGUAUAAGAUGCUGGGUGUCAUAAUCUUCUAUGAAGAAGAUUUACAUCAAUAGAACCCUUUACAACAACUGACAGACAUGACUUUUUAUUCAACUCAUAAGAGCUAACAGUAGAGAGCUGAGCAGAAUUAAAAACAGGAGAACAAGCAAAAAGAGACUGAAUUUUGUUUUGACCAACUGAACUGAGAAAGACUGAAUGAACAGCAGCAUGAGAAGAGACUUUAUACAAGCUGUUGUGCAAAUUUUAAUGUACUCGCAAGCGCACGAAUCUAUUAUAGUAUAGAUCAAUGGUGACGAGUGUCGAUCCCACGAGGAGGUAGAUUUUAAUUGUGUAUAGAAUUAAUUUUGCAAAUGGUUGAUUGGAUUUGUAGUGGAAAUGAUUAGGAAUAUGCUAAAACUUAAAUUAAAAUGGCGAGAAUAAAUUCUAAAAUUGGAAUUGCAAUGGCGAGAAUAAAUUGAAGAGAAAUGUAUUGAAAUGACGUACUUGGGUAUCUGGAUCCGUAUCAACAUGCAUCAUGGGCUAAAUAAUCCGUAUUAAUGCCAAUUAAAUCAUGAGGGGGGAAUCCACACCUCAUGAACCACGCUCUAAUCAAUAUGGUGCUAAGGGCUUAUCGUGCCAAAUAAUAAUAACCUUAUACUAGAGAGCCGGUGUAACCAAGGCGGUAUCUAGACAAGAUCAGUAUUAUUUGUCGACGAUAAGUCAAAUCAUCCACAAAAACUAGAGGGGAAAAGAAAAUAAAUUUACCAAAUAAAGCCCAUGACACAUGUUGAGACUUCACCUUCAACCCAAGCUUGAAAGGAAAUUAGCUACUCAUAAUUGAACUAGGGGCAAAAUGGGAAUUUAUUAAAAUACAAAGAAAAUACAAGAUGGAGAGGGAAUUACAGAAAAUGGAUCCCAAAAAUGGAUUCAGAGAUAUCAAAUUAGGGGGGGAGGCCCAUUUUUUAUAGAUACAUGGAGUAAAUCAUGGCCAUCGGAUUAAAAACAGUUUGGACGCUCAGGAUUGCGCCACGUCAUCAGUCAACAGUCAACGGUUUGACCACGCGGAUGAACAGUAACAUGGUUUGGUUGAAAAUAAUCCUGUGUGAUGCAUACACCGUACGCGAGAUUUUUCGUCCACUGAUAUGCUGCCACGUCACCAUCAACAGUACAUAAGAAUUUUAGUCCAACAGGAUCGUGACACCUCAUCAGUCAAUGCCACAUCAUCGGUCAAUGCCACGUCAUCGAUCCGUCUAUGUGAACAGUGUCGUGAACAGUAACGUAGACAGUACCGUAUACGUGAAUAGUACCGUACAUGUGAAUAGUGCCAUUUUUCCUUUUAUGCUCCUCCUAAGGUUUUCGACCGUCCUGAGUUCAAAAGUGAUGUCCGUUUUGCCGUCUGAUCUCUCCUUUAUUGUGAAAUGACUAUAAUGCCCCUAAAAUACAUAAAAUACUUAAUUAAAAUAACACACACGUAAUUACAUCACAAGAGGGUUAAAUACAUAAAAGUAAGGGUUGUUAGUAAGACUUGAAACGUAAAAUGACGGUUUUCUCCUUUAUAAAUAUGCAUUUUCUAACACUCAACACAAGCCACCUUUAGCAACACCUUCAAGUAAAAUUUUCCCUGUGUUCCUGGCCUUUAUAAAACACAAAUUACCAAGAAAUUCAACAGUAACUGGAUUGUCAGCCAACAAUUUUGAGAUGCUAAGCAAAUUCUUAGUAAUAAAAGGGACAUGAAGAACAUGGUUAAGAAAUAAGGAUUGAGAAGCUGAAGUAUUUAGCACAACUGACCCUACAUGUGUAAUAGCUAAUGCAUUUCCAUCUCCAACAAAUAACCUUUCAGUACCAGUGUAAACUUUUGAAUCCAGAAGCUUACCUAGAUCAUUGGUAAUAUGAUUUGUUGCUCCACUAUCAAUAUACCAGGAAGGAUCUUCAAUGUGUUCAGGUGGGAGUGAAGAAGACAUAGCAGAGGAGGAGGAAGCACUUGACUGUUCCAGAUUAUUAUGUCCUAGACAGAAACAAAAUUAGAUGAUCCAGGGUUGAAUGAGAAAUAAGCAGAUGGGUUGCUUUCUGGAUAUACUAUAUUUCCUUGAUAGCCAAAACCCCUGGGGGCAUUACCAAAACCAACAUUUUGUCCAAAACCAGCAUUUGAACCAAAACCUCCAAAACCUCUUCCACUAUUACCAUUAAAGGCUCUUCCUCGACCAUAUUGCCCUUGAUUAAAACCUCUGCCACCAUUCAUAUUACCUCUACCAUGGUUCCUCUGUGGAACAAAAGAUGAGUUGUACCUAUUUCUGCAUUUAUAGGCUGCAUGACCAGGUAUGAAGCAAAUUUGGCAAACAACUUCAGAGAAAUUACUAUUAUUAUUAAACUGACCAUAUCCAUAUCCAGAAUUAUUACCACCUCCAGAGUUAUUUCCAUACUGUUUCUGAAAAUUUCCAUUAUUCUUUCCAGCAUAUGAGUUCUUCUGAACAAUAUUUGCUGUCAUGUUAUGCAUCACAUCACCAGCAAUUUUUCCUUUCUUUUGCUCAACUCUAUUUUCAUGAUUCAACAGCAAAGAAUAUAGUUCAUCUAAUGUUAUCUUUUCACCUCGAGCUAACACAGCAGUGACUAAAGAUUCAUAAUCUGAUGAAUCAAGACCAGUUAAUACAUGCAUCACAAGAUCAUUUAACUCAACAGGUUUUCCAGCUAGAGCUAAAGUAUCAGCUAUACGUUUUACUUUUACAAAGUAAUCAGACAUAUGCAUUGCACCUUUCUUAAUAGUUUGAAUCUGCAUUCUAAGUGUUUGAAUUCUAGCUUGUGAUUGAGAGAUAAACAUACUAGCAAGAGUCUCCCAAAGCUGUUUUGAGGUUGUUGAGUCAAUCACAGUAGCAAGCAGAUUUUGUUGUAUCAAUGACAUCAUCCAACUCAGCAGAAGUUGAUCAGCCUUCAUCCAAGCUACGAACUCUGGAUUAACAGAUCUGGAUCCAGAUUCAGUAACAGAUCUGGAUCCAGAUUCAAUUAAGAUUUCAGCUCCAUUGUUGUUGCCAGAAGAAAGAAACUGCUCAGGACAUUCUCGAUCACCAUUGAUAAAACCUUCCAAACCAUUUCCUUUGAUCGAAGCUAGAAUUUGUGUGCGCCACAAAAUAUAGUUGUUUUGAUCUAGCUUUACAGGCGUAACAAAACUAAAAGAGUUGUUGUUUUGAACUGUAUUUGCCAUUUAUGGCUCUGAUACCAUGAAAGAAACUUAGUUCUAUAUUGUUUGGCAAGCAAGAAAGUAAAGGAAAAUGAAAGAGAACUCUAAAGAACCUUUUUUAUUAUACUCAGAUAUCUCAACUUAAUGAAUAUUGAUUGACAUUUAUACUAAGCUACAAUCUUCACUACACACACGAGUUUGUUACAUCACAUAACCAUUUGCUGCAUAACUAACUUUACACAUCAGCUCAACCAGCUAACUAACUUUGAUAGGUCAGCUCAGUGAGUUGAUCUGCUACAACCAGCUACACAGCAACAGCAUGCUCUGCUCCAGCUAUACAGCAACAUCAUGCUCUGCUCCAGCUUUAUCCGCUCUGCUCUGCUCUGCUCCAGCUUUGACAGGUCAGCUCAGUGAGUUGAUCUGCUACAACCAGCUACACAGCAACAGCAUGCUCUGCUCCAGCUAUACAGCAACAUCAUGCUCUGCUCCGGCUUUAUCCAAUUCACUAACACACCUUCAUUUGUGUUAUCACAUUUCAUGAUAUUCUUUCAUUUAUGACCAUUGUUCAAGAUUUUAAUUUGAUUAUAAACUAAGUUGCAAGGGAGCUUACUUCAGUUUCUAAGCUUUUCAAUCGUGAUUCCUGCAUGCCAAACGUAACUGACCUUAUAAUUGGUCUGUAUAAGAAAUCAAGCCCUUUCAGGAUCGUUUUCUUUUUCUCCCUAUUGUAGUAGUCAACUAAAUAAAGAAUGAACAACUAAACUUGGUCUAUUUCGAGGAAGACUAAGGCUUCCAAUACUAGAUGAACUUUGAAGAAAAUUAAUCCGUUGUUUUUAUUCAUCUUUGGACUAUGAAUUUAUACAAAGACUUUAACAGAAAAUAACAAAGACACAGCUAAAUGAUAGCAAUAAGUGCUGACUUGGUGGACCACUUCUGCAAGUAAAUAAAAACUAAAUAUUUAUUUUGACUAUAACAACAACUACGCUGAUGAAUAGGAUUUCACAGCAGCCACGUGACAACUAAUUUCUCCUUAAUAUUAUUAUUAGUAGAAGUAGAUUUUAAAACUAGUCUUGAUAUAUUUCAAAGUUGUAUUAUCAAUGUAUAUGUGUCUAGAUUGUAACUAUAUUUUAAAAAAUAUAAAAUUUUUAAUUAUUGCACAGUAUAUGUAGCAAAAUAUCUAUAGAAUGAUAUUAUUAGGACUAAGAUUUUUUUUUAUUUUAGAUAAGUUAUUUAUUUAUUAUCGAAUGAAUAAUUUAUUAAUUUACUGAUAAAUGAAUAUUUAUUAAUUUAAAGAGAGAUUUUUUUGGUUUUAACAAGAGUUUGUUUGGUAAAUGUACACACUUAUAAAGAAACAUAAAAAGUGGUUCCUCAAGUCAAUAGUAUUUGCUUCAAUCGCAAUGGUUCAUAAUAAUAUAGCAUAGUUAGGAAAUUUGUAAUUAUAUUAUGGCUCUGUUUGGUAGUAAAACUCAUUUAAGUAGAGUUGUUGUUAAUAGAGCUUUUAUAAAUAAAGCUUUUACUAAAAAAAAUUUAGUUGUUUGCUUGUCAAUGUCCAAAUUGAUAAACUUUUGUUCUUUUGUUAAGAUAUGUUUGUUUUACUUAAUAAUAGCAUCGGCAAGAGUUUUCGAUUGUUGCAACUUGCAAUGCACGCGGUGAGAGAAAAUGAGAAUCUUGUUUAAUUGUCAAUAUAUAAUGACAAACCUAAUCCUUUCAUUAGGAGUAAUUUAAUAAUCGUUUGUUAUAACUGAAUAUGUAUAAAGAAAGGAAAAUUCUAUUCAUAAAUUUCGACUUAUUUUUUGUUUAAAGUAAUUAAUCAUUCAACCAUCUUCAUUUGCCUCUGGCCAAUGCCCUUGUAGAUUAGUUUACUUAAUUAUGAUUAUAUACAUUUUCAUAUAGCAAGUGGCAUUGUAGAUCUAAACUAAGUUGCUAUUUCAAUACCAGCAAAUUCAAAAUAGAAAAGGAGUGCAACUAUUCAACUUUGUAGACAAUAUUGCAACCAUGGCAUAUUUAUAGCAAAUCAUUGAAAUCUGCUAAAGAAAACAAUGCCCUGUCUCAUGAAUCGAUGCUCAAUUAAAAUUUAAAUUGAAAGUCCGGCUGGUGUUGUUUUCCUCUCCAGCGAAAUAAGAAUCAUAAGUGAAAAUAGGCUUUGACAGGUCUUAUUUCUUUGUUUCUCUGCUGCAAUGUGUGGUUAUCCCACUCUGUUUUGCCACUCAAGCUGAGUCUACGUUGAGACAUUAUUUCAGUAUUGAGGUAACAAUAAUUUCGGACUCCGUAAGAAGGUUUUGAAAAAGUGGAGUCACAUUUGUUGAAUCAGGCAACGUCAACGUGCCUUCUUCACCUGCUAACACCCUUUUCAACCUCUCACAAAAUAGUCGGAGGUGGACGUCCAGCAUAUCUCAUUCACAUUUGUUGAAUUUGCAUGGAAUUUGCAAGGAGUAUGCCAAAGAAUUUGCAAGGAAUAUGCCAAGAAUUUGCAAGGAAUAUGCCAAGAAACUGGCCAACCCGCUUAGCUUAAUUCCACAAAUAUGACGUUAUUGCUCAUUUUUCUCUCAAGCACAUAAUACACGUUCUUCGAGACGCGUGCCUUCUGAAAAGGACAGGUAUCCAACCUCAUCUUAAUUACUACCAUGACAUAAUUGAUGGUUGCUUAAAUCAAUUUUUUCUUCUUUUUUUUUUUUAAUUUAAAGAAUUUUCCCUUAAAAAAAAUUUAAUAUCAAAAUGCCUUCAAUGUUAUUACUGCCGAAAGCCAAACUUCCUUUGGGUAAUUAAUUUAGAAGUGAAGCAGAGAAUAAAGUCCUAGAUGCCUUUUGAAAUUAGAAAUACAUUUUAUAUGCUUUAAUUAAUCAAUUCACUGAGGCAUUAUUGAUCCAAUCCCAGUGAAGUAAUUGUGGGUGAAAAAAAAAUAAAGUGCUGAAUUGGCUACUAAGAAAGAGUGUCACUUGAUCACAAUCACAUUGAUCCACAACUCACUCGAGGCAAAUUUCAUCUAUGUGUACUGCAAAUUUAGCCAAACCAUACAUGCAUGAACAAAAUUAGGCCGUAGUCCUCAUCACAACAUUAAUUGAAGCCACAAAAGCCAGCAAAUCCAAACAAAAACUUAAAAGAAAAUGCUUGGUAUAGAGAAGCACGAGAGAAAGACGAGAAAAACAAUGAAGAAAGUGGUAGAGAGAGAGUGAGUGGGUAGAGAGAGAGCAAAAUUCUCUCGUCUUUCUCUCGUGCUUCUCUCUCUCUAUCACUACUCAAACUUAAAAGGAAGAUCUUAUUCAAGUUUGUCCCCAAAAGACAGCUGAAAUGAAAAAUAUUGACUAUUGAGUGGGUCGAUGCUGAAUUACAUUUGACAUGGAAAGCUUGGCUGCAGUUGCGAUGUUCCCCCUUCUGAUUUUCCUCCAAAACAAAUUCAUUUGUAAACAAUAACGGAAGUAGCAACAAUUUAUUCAUUAUAGAAAAUACCUAAAUUUUCAACUAUCAAAUCCUCUUGUCUAAACUAAAAAACUCAUAUCUCUAAAAUCUAUAUACAAAAUGUCAAAAACGGGUGAUCUCUCAAUUCGAUAAAUAAAUUCAUGCAUAAUGUUACUAGUAAUGAUAAAUUACAUAAUAAUUAUUAUAAAGAAUCAUAAAUUGGAAACAUUAAUCAUUUUACAAUAUAUUACAUAAUAAAGAUAAAUUUUAUAACAAGUUAAGUUAGAACAUAUCAAAUAUUUUCAAUAUAUAUAAUUAUUUAAGAAGUCUUUUAACAAUAAUUUUUUUCUUUUUCAGUUAAUCAUGUCAUAUACCGUUAUCUAAAAUGCUGGCGAUAUUAUUAUUCCUCACUUUUCUCAAACAAAAAAGAAAAGAAAAAAGAAACAUGAUUAACGUUUAGAGAAAAGUCACGCCUUUUAAAAACAAUAUGUAUACAAUAGCAAUCCAUACUUUAUAAAAUUGAUGGUGAUUACAAAGAAAAAUUGUUUAAAAUAGAUUUAAUGCACAAAUAUGAUGACUUUUGGCAAAAAUUAGUUUCGGAAAUGUUGGGAUGAAAACCAUAUUAAUUGAGAAUUAAAAUUACUUAAUAAAAUUACUUAACUACCAUCUAAUAGAUGAAAACCAUAUCAAUUGGGACUUAAAUUAAGAUUUAAAUGUUGAAAUAUCUAGCAUUACUCACAAUAACCAAUUCAAAUUAUGACUAUCAUGUAGAAGCAAAUGUUUAUGCUUGGGUUUUUUACUUCUUGAAUUUGAUUGGAAAAAUUUCUGAGAUAGAGAAGUGUUUUGGAUAAUUUUUUCGGGAUUGAAACCACAAAUUGGUAGAGGAAAUUAAUUUUGGACAAAUUUUUCUUAUAUUGUAGGACCUUCUAGUUGGAGUAGUGAUGGCUUUGUCUUCAUUUUUGGUUCCUUUUGUGUCAGCAACCCCUUACUAUUCUCUUGACCCUGAGUUUGAGAUAGAAAUUUAUCAACCUCCAACCCCACAUCCACAAACAAGUUGAUUGAAACAAUUACUCUUUUAAUUAAGAGGACCCAAAUGAUUUAGGUUUCAGUUCUUAUCAUUUGUCUAUUAUUUCUUUGAAACAUUUAUUUUGAGCGUUACUGAUCUUAAUUAUCUGUAUUUCUCCAAUUAUUGAAGAAUUUCAAGUGGCCACUUUUUCUCCUUUUUAUAUAUGUUUAUUUUUUGGAGUGAUCAAACGGGUGAAAAAUCAAGUAUUCGCUGGUCUGUAGUUUAGCCAACGAUGGCUGAUCCACACAGUUGAUUAUAUGAUACUAUUAGCUCUCAAAAUCUUUCUUAUUUGAGAACAUAAAUUGCCCAUUGAAGUUAAACUAUGUUACCCAGCUCCAUGCACAUACAUUAAAUGUUUAGGUAGUUUUACAAAAUGAUAACAGCAUGCCAAAACUUGAUGUUGUCAUAUUCGACAUUUCAAAUUGAAAAAUAUGCAAGCAAUCUUCAGUGACCAUUACGUUUUUAUUGAAUAAUUUAAAUGGCCAGUAAAUCAACAGUCCGUGAGUUUUAAAUCUGUUAUGACUUAAUGUAUCUUUCUGUAUUCGUACACAGGUUAUAUUAUCAUAGUUUAAAAUUUUAAUAUUAUUUUAAAUGUUAUAAAUACUUUAAUGCUAUUAGUCUACUACACAGGUUAUAUUAUUUAUAUUAUAUUUGUAUUAAUUAAAACUUUUAAUGUCAACUUUCUAAUUACUAUAUUGAAAAGGUAUUAUGGUUAAGAAAAAGUUUUGGCAUUUCUUCUAAAAAAUUUGAGGGUAUGCAUGACAACACUACAAGAAAAAUGACCUACCAUGACAGUCCUCUGUGUGACAGUUUUUGGUCUGCAGAGCUACUACGAUAGAUGGAUGAUAAAUUUUUUUUCUAUCAUUCAUUUAUGACAUACUUGUGAUAGAAAUUUCAUCUAUCAAGCACUUAUGAUAGACUGAUGAUAAAUUAUUUGGUUAUCAAGAAGUAAUGACAAGUUUGUGAUAUAAUUUAGAUCAUCAAGUAGCUUUUUUAUUUUGACUUUAUUUCACAAGGUUGACUGAAAAUUUUAAAAUGAAUGAAAAAAAUAAAUAAAGAAUAAACGGUACCGUUUGGAUUAAAAGUUUCUCUUUGGACAAGAAACGACACCGUUUAGAUUGAAGCUAAAUAAAAACAAAACCCUCUUCAGUUUUCACUAAUCGAAUUUUUUUUCCCUAAGUGUCGGCACUCUCACUCACUCUCGUCUCUCGCUCAGUCAUUCUCGUCAAUCUCACACUCACAAAGCCCUUUUCACCCGAAAUCCUUGCAUGGGCACUGAACCACUGCCGCCAUUCUCUUGUAUUUGACUAUCAAUUUUGGCUCUCACCGAGAACUAUAUGGAAUACCCACCAAACGCAUGUGCUUCUACUAUUGAAUUUCAAUACCCUAACUGAGAGCCCACGCUCACCCACUAUUGUAACCGUUCGAUCAAUACAGGUAAAUAAUAUUUCUAGUGUUGUGUUCCAUUUCAAUUUUAAUGUUCUUGUCAAACUCGAACCCUAUAUAUGUAAACUUAAAAACCCUAGAUGUGUUCUUGUCAAAUUCGAACCCUACACACCUAAAUCUUGUAAAACCUAGAUGUUUUCUUGUCAAAUUUGAACCCUGUACGUGUAAAACUUGAAAAUCCUAGGUGUGCUCUUGUUAAAUUUGGAUCUAUUUGAUUGGUCUUCUAUGUUUCUUUAUUUAUGGAAUUUUAAACAUUUAUUUGAUUUUUUUGGAAUUUAAUUAUUAUAGUUUUAUUGUUAAAUUAAUUUGAUUUAGGCUGUAAAGAUCCUUGCCAAUUUAAUCGUGAUGGGUGUUGGGAUAUUGUCUAGGCUGCUUUAUCUUUGGGGUUUUCUAAUAACUAAUUUUUUUUUUUCACUUUUUUGUGGAUGCAUGGAACUAUAUAUAUAGAUAAUUCUCAAAUUCGUUCACUGUGAUGCAAAGUCUUUUUUUUUUCAAUUUCAUUGGUUAAAUUCACUAAUUCGUUGAAAUUAGUGGUGAUUGUGGGCCGAGUCGCAUGUGCAGGAAGUGGUGUCAGGUCUGGGCGCACAUUGAGUCAUGCACUUGGUGGGCAAUUGGUAUUGUUUCUAUUGUGUGUGUUGGAAAUAAUGUCAAUAUCAUCCAACCAAUGUGUGUUUCUAGUGGCUGUUUUUGCACCGAGCAGAUAAUUUAUUAUUACAUCAGAGUUCCCCAUCCCUUGUUUCUCUUUUGGGUAAUGCAGGUAUUGACUAGUUCAUUUCCAUUUUCAUUUGUCUUGAGGGAAUGUUAUCAAUUUUUCGAUCUUACAAGAUAUUGAUUGAUACAUAUGUGUACAAUACAUUAAAAAUCAUUAAACAUUUUGCUCUUAGUUACAAUUUUGAAUGAAUGUCACAUGGAAAGAUCCUCUAAGAAUAUCAAUAGUAUUGUGGUUUCUACUCAAUUUCCACUCUCCGCACUCAUAUGAGCAUGGUUUGAAUCUCAAGCCUUUUGUACCAUUCAAAAAUUUAUACCAAUUAACAACAUAGCUUGCUAGCACCACAAAUUGUUUCAACUCCAAGGCAGAGAAUUCCUAGAAGAUAUAUACAUAUUGAUAUAUACUUGCAUGUAGCCGUAUGCUCACUACCUUCGAAUUGGGGAUAUAGUCACUAUUUUUGUAUUCCCUCCAAGUGUUUGAUAAAAAGCAUGAAUGAAUCUUGGCUCUUUAAUUGUUGCAGGCCAUUUCUACCUAUGAGGAGCAAAGGAAUAUGAAGCUUAUUAUAUUCAUUCACAAAGCAAAGCUGAUAUAAUUCAUGGCAAAGCUUGAUGAGGUGUUGUAUUUAAUCUUGCUCAUGAGAUCAAUUACCUAUCUUGUUGGACUUUAUUCUUGUAAUUAAGGUCCAUCCAAAGUUGAUGGCUUGUUUGUCAGAAAGAUAAUCUGAAGGCUAUGAUUGAUUACUUGCGGGCCGAUGGAAAUGUCUCCAUGAUUGGUUUAUGAGGUUGUUAAAUUACUAAAUAGGUAUAUUUACUUUUCAUGAGCUUUAUCUUCGUUUUUCCAUUAUGGAAAUGUCUCUAUGAUUGUAACUUUUAACACGUGGAACUCUUGAACCCUAUGUUUAGUUAUAUACUUAUAUUGGGACUUGUAUAAAUUAAUAUGAUGGUUUUAUUAUUAUUAUUAUUAGUAGUAGUAGUAGUAGUAGUAGCAGCUACAAAAGAUCAAAAGAACUUAAAGGUGUGGCUUGUGGCUUUCUUGCUGUUUGGGCUUUAACUGCUGCCUCACUUGUCAUUGUUGCUAAUCUGGUGUGCCACGUCCAUUUCAGUGUAAUUACAUAAGUUAGUUUGCUUGAUUAAUUAAUUAAUUAGUUAGCGGAUUGAAUAGCCAGAGUACUACAUUUUGCAUAGGUCUGAUGCUGGAUGAAUUUUCAUGUCUUGGCUUUGGGGCUGCUGGAUUUUGCUGCUGGAAGACUAGAUUUUGCAAUUUUGUUGCUGGAAGACUACAUUUUGUGUAGGUUUGUUGCUGGAUGUUGCUGAAUGCGGAGUACUUUGCUUGGUUUUGGAUUGGCCUUUGUUGUCUAUUGGCUCGACUUUGGAAUAUGGAUUAACUAAUGUAAUGUACUUUGGAUAUUUUUAUGGUUAAUAAAGUUCACUAAUUUAGUUCAUUAGUUUUGGAUUUAAUUGCAUUUAGUAAUUUAUUUUCUUUCAUAUAAUUUUAAUAAUUUUAAUAAUUUUAAUUUUUAAAUUUCAUAAUUUUUAUUUUAAAUUAAUAAAUAAAAUAAAUAAUCAAUUUUUUCAAAAAAAAUGUGAUAGAAAAUACUAGUCAUACACACAAUUGAUAUCCCAAAAAAAAAUACAAUCCAAAAAUUUCUAAAAAAAUGAAAAUAUAAAAUAAAAAAAUAAUUUCCCUCUUCUAAGUAGUAUGACAUAAUUAUGAUAGGUAAAAUCUAUCACAACUUGUGACGCGAUUUUAUCUGUCAUCUUUUCUUGACGCUGACUAUAAUGACAGUAAGGAUAACCGUCAUCUACCCCCUAAGAUGACAGUUUUUACCUAUCAUAAUAGGUCAUUUUUCUUGUAGUGCAAUUUUUCCAAUUCUAAGGGUAUAGGUUUGAAAAUUUAACGUUAUUUAACUUAAUGAAACAAAAGGGGAAACCAAGAACUAUUCAAUUUUGUAUUUUUUGUUUGUAAUUCAAAAAAUACAUCCACCAAACAAGUUUUACACAUUAAUGCUGUCAUAAAACGAAAAACAGUUUGCCAAAAAAUGGUACCGUCACAUGAUUUCUUAGUAAGUCCAUAUUAGAUAUAUUUAUACAUUUUAGGUAUUUUAGUUAUAAAAGAAGUUGGUCCUCCCCCUAUUUAUAAAAGAUAACUUUGUUUCGAUAUUACCACUAAACUCUUACAUAGAAUUAGUGUAAUGUUAAGAGAGAGUAAUGCGGUUUUCCAUUACCAUCUUUGAAAAUAGAAAGAUAUGGAUGCGUGCAUUUAAGAGUCAUCGUGAAAAUCAUACAAUUCAAUUUCCUGACAUAUAUAUUUAUGCACGUAUGCCAAAAGAAUAAAUAGACAGAAAGUAAAUUUAUAGUCCUCACUUCCUCACAAUUGUUAACGUGGAGAUGCAUUACAACUGUGAACUGUCACUACUUUAGCCUUUUUUUUUUUUAAUUAUAGUGUGAUGGAGACAUUAAGGAUGAGCAUAAUAGUUAAAGAUGACUCAUUUCUCAUUUUCUUUUUAAAGUGCUCUGCUGAAAGCCAAACUUCCUUUGGCUAAUUAAUUUAGAAGUAAAGCAGAGAAUAAAGUCCUAGAUGCCUUCUGAAAUUAGAAAUACAUUUUAUAUGCUUUAAUUAUGAUUAUUUGGUAGACUAAAGACCUAAAAGAUAUGUCAAAAGUAUAAAACAGAGCGAUUAAAGAAAAAAGAAAAAAAAAACAGAGUAUUUGUGACGUAGAAUAACAAUUGGUAAAUAAAUCCUAAAUAUUUGAGUUGUUAAAAGCAAAUAUAACAGAGACGGUAAGAGAGAUGCUGAAACAGAAAACUAUUAGCUUAUCUUGAUUUUCCCACUAUAUUCAUUUUCGAUGCUUUUCAAACGAGAUUCUUUUAAUUCUUCUGGUGUCUCUUAUAGAUCUCCAUCCCACAUCUGCACUACGAACAAGUUGAUUAAAAUUAAAUACUGUUGGAGAUGUGGGGUGAGCGGUCAACUUGGUAAAAAAACUAUGUAUAAUAUUGUUAAUAAUAUAAAAUAUAAAAUAAUAAUUACAAAGAAUCAUAAAUUAGAAAAAUUAUUUAUUUUACAAUCUAUUUCUUAAGUAAGAUAAAUCUCGUAAUAAGUUAAGUUAUAAUGUAAAAAAUAUUUUCAAUUUAUAAUCAUUUAAGGAGUCAUUUAACAAUAAAAUCUUUCUUUUUUUGAUCAAUUGGUCAUGCUACAGAGCAUCAUCUAUUCGUGGUGAUAUUAUUAUUACUCCGUAUUCUCAAAAAACACGAUUUAACAUUUAGAGAAAGUUCCUACCUUUUAAAAAGAACAUGUAUGCAACAACUACCCAUACUUUAUCUUACCACGACAAAACUAAUAGUGACUAAAUCAAUUUUCUCGAAUAAAGAAAAAUUUCUUAAAAUUAAUUUAAUAUACAAAUAUGAUGACUUUUUGCAAAAAUUAGUUUUGGAAAAUUAGUGACAGAAAAUAGUAACGAUUAUUGUUUAGAUGUGUAAAUAGCCUAAACAUGAUCCCUAAUACCAAUAUCCACGUGCAUCUUAACACCUUUCGUCAUAUUCUUUCAUUCAUGGUCACUGGUUCAAGAUUUGAAUUUGAUCAUUAAAUCAUGUUCAAUAAUAUUAGAGAUCCCAACAAUUGAGUACCAACUUAAAUCCCAAUGCUAUGUGUCAUUAACAAAUGUUGUGUCAUUUAUAAUUAUUGAAUGAAUAAUUCGUUAAUUUAUUGAUAAAUGAAAAUUUAUUAAUUUAAAGAGAGAUAUUUUUUUUUUGGGUUUUAAGAAGAGUUUUGUUGGUACAUGUACAUACUUAUAAAGAAAUAAACUUGUAAUUAUACUAUAUCUUUCUUUCUUUAUUCAGUUUGGUGGGAUAUUGUGAUAAAUCAUUGGAUUAAAAUGCAUUUCUAAAUUAAAACUUGUUAAAAUCUAAUUUAUUUGGGAAGCGCAUAUUAUUUGUCAGUCGUACUUCUCAAGUCUCAACUUAGCAAGUUAUUUCUAACUUGUCAGUCUCUAUUUGUUCUCUAAAAGCUAAUAGUCUCGAAUCUCCCGCAUUUGAUAUCUUGCCAUUAUUGUUGGCAUUAACAUGUUACCUGAGAUUGGGAUUCAUUAAAAUCCUCAAUGUAAUCGGUGGAACGAAUGGAUUUCUUCUGUUCACCAAUCCACCAAAAUUUCUGUAAUUAAAUUCAAGAGUCAAGAUCUAUGCUUAUAAUCUAUUCUAACAGCUAAUAUUCUAUUUUAUAUUUACUUAAAUAUGAAGAGCUAUGCUUGUCAUUAACUUCAAAUGUGAUCGAAGCAGCCAUACAUCUGUAUAUUACUUAUUCCCAACCUUUUUUUUUGACUUCAUAUACUUUCUUUUCAUGUUAUUUACUCUUUUUUUCCCCUCUCUGACAAUUGAGGUAGGGGGUCAAACUUGAAAGUAUCUUAAAAUCAGACAAUUUUUUUUUUUUUUAAGAUAGCUGCUAAUAUGCUCUAUUAGACAAUGAUAAGUAAUAACCUAGUUGUUUGCAUUAGAAAUGAUAUUUUUUGUGGUGCUGAUAAAGAGGUUGAUUAUGAUUCAACAAUUUAAAAUAUGAAAACAUGUGGAAGACGGCCGCAAUUAAAUUGAUUGUAUGAAAAUAUUUCAAUGAAAUUUUAAAAAUUUAGUACUUGUUAUCUUAUCGAGAGUUUUUUUAAAUUAUAUUACUACUUGAACUUGGGUACUUGUUAUCUUAUCGAGAGUUUUUUUAAAUUAUAUUACUACUUGAACUUGGCUGCUUUUGUAUUGAAUUCCUAGCGUUGCCAUUGCUUCUACUCAAAAGCCAUUUAAGUUUGUGUAAGCUACCUAUAGUUUGAACAACAAUUUACUCAUGAAUUGUUGUUCAUAAUAGCAAUUUGAUUGAAAGUGCGGCUGCACUAAUUUUCUAGAUGAAUUUUUUCCUACAUGCUUGUUCUCGUAUGACCCAAAAUCCUGCUACAUCAGUUGUAUUAGAAAUUAAUACUGGGUUACAAUUAUGCAUCCCCACCAAUAUUUAAGCAAUUUAAUUACAGGAACAUUUCUUGAGGAAAGAAACUCAUAUCGCCCCUAGGCUUUUAAUGAGGCUCAUUUUUAUGAAUCUGGAUGGCAUUAGAUAUCUCUCCGAAUAUUGGUGGGAGUAUAUCGCAGAUCUCUGGGCUAUACUACAAAGUGUAUGUACGUUGACUCUCAAUAAAUACAAACGAUUCUCUGAUAUGAUUCAAAACAUCAGUGCACGCAUCAUUUUAACGAGAGAGAAUAUUCUAAGAACGAAAUUGAAGGUGCAAUCAACAACUAAAAUGAAGCCAGAAAUGUACACGCAUGAGGAAGUUUUCCUAGAAGAUUGAUAUUUCUUUAACUAGCAAACAAUACAAGUCCAAAGCUAACCAAACCAUACCUGCAAGUCCGGGGCUUAAAUGGAGUACUUGUAAGCAUAAAACAUUAAUCAAAACACAGUAUAGACACACACACACACCCCUACAUACAUACCAGCAAAUUCGAAAUAGAAAAAGGAGUGCAACUAUUCAAGUUUGUUGACAAUAUUGCAACCAUGGCAUAUUAAAGCAAAUCCUUAAAAUCAGCUAAACGAAACAAUUCCCUGUCUCAUGAAUCGAUGCUCAAUUAAAAUUGAAAUUGAAAGUCCGGCUGGUGUUGUUUCCCUCUCCAGGUUUGCCUACAUAAGUAAAGGGAAAUGAGAAUCAUAAAUGAAAAUCUGCUUCGAUCACUGUUCACAAAUCACUGUUCACAAAUCCCUAAUUCAAAAAUUACUGUUGAUUAUCGUUUUACAGCAGCGCCUCAGCUCCAGCCUUCACCCCGCAACGCAAGCAGCAGCCAGCGCGAACCAGUCGCGCCCAACGCAAGCCCCAGCAACCCAGAUUGUUAGCUCCAGCCGCGCGCAACGUAGCUGAGCAGCAGCAGACCAGCAGCGCGAACCAGCUCUCGCGCGCAACACAACGCGAACGCAGCAGUGCGUAGAUGCAGCCCAGCAACGCAGCGCGAACCAGCAAUGCAGCCUCACCAGCGCGCAACGCAAGCCCCCGCACGCGCAGCACCAGCAUCCCGUUUCUCGCAGCGCAGCAGCGCGCAACGCAGCGCAGCACCCGCAAAGCAAGCCUCACCAGCGCGCAACGCAAGCCCGCAACGCAGCAACGAGCACGCCCUGCAACGCAACCAGCUUACGCCUUGUAUUCCAGCCGGGUAAAUCGAAAUCCGUGAGUACAAUUAUUGUAACAAUGCCGAAGAGGAAAGCAUCCACUUCCAAGUCAUCGAAAAAGACACCCAUCGCAAAGAAAUCUAAGAUUGCCGCUCCCACUACGGUUCCAUGGAACACAAUUUCAGAUUCACGCCAAGCCGUGAGACAAAGAUCGAAGCAUGGAAAAGGCAUGAGUAUUUUGCCACUUGCGGAAUCCAAUCUCGAAGGGUGCCUUGCAUUCGCGACUCAACAAGAGAAAGAGAGGUACAAAGAUAUUUCCACGGGCAAAAUACUUCCAGCUAAGAAUUUUUGGAUAUGUCUAUGUUUGAAAGAACAUGUGUGGUUGAAUUCAAGGAGGGGAGAUUUCAGUUUACUGAACCAGGACCCACUCAACUUCCGAAGAAGCUUUAUGCUAGGAGUGGUGCUACCUCUGAUGACGAGUUUGACGACGACACUGCUGCCCCGCCAACUAUUCCUUCUACAUCCGCACCACCUUUGAGCAUUCAAUUAGAGAAAAUGGAGCACAAGCUGAACAAGAUGGAGCAGAAUUUGGCCGCAUACUUCGAGAGUGUGGGAUUUACCCCACCAUUUCCGCCAAGCCCAUAGACGUUAUGUGGAUCAAAGCUCACAAUUCAGGGAAGUUUCUUUUUGCCCUUAAUCCUUUAUCCUUACGCUUUAAUUUUUAUGUGAGCUUUGAUUAUCUUACAUUGGGGACAAUGUAAGUUCUUGGUGUGGGGGAGGGAUUUUUGCAUUAUUGAUGUCUGGAAUUAUUGUUUUCACUCUACUUAUUUUUUUUUUUCACUCUACUCAUCCUUAAAUGAUUUUGGAGUUAGUAUGCUUUAUAUAUUAUUAUUUUUUCUUUUCUUUUAUUUCUCACAACUUUUUUUUUCCCAUCUAUCUCAAAUUAUUUACAUCUAUUUUUAUUCUAUCAUACUGUUUCAUCGCUCACAUUUUAUCUUUCACUUUUCAUCUUUCUCACUUCUUAUCAUUUUUACCUUUCCUUUUAUAUAUCACCCAUACCUUCUUCUCAUUCUACACCACUAUUGAUGGUUGAUUCAUUUGAAGAGUGUACAUGAUUUGAUGGCAAAUUUACCAACUUUGUGAGGAUUUGAGCCUAUGAGCAACCACUUUGCUCUAAUAUUUUUGUUAUGUGAAUAUCAAUCUUAGUUUGUUUAUUCUAGAACUUGCUUUGUUAUGCAUGUUGAAGCCGCAUUACGGGAUUUUAUGCACUAAAAUGAUAAGGGCAAACCCUUUUCCAUUUUUCUAUUCUCGCAUUUUUUUUCUCUACCCGAAGAUCUUUAUUUGCUAUCUUUGUUUGAGCCUUAACAAUUACCCAUCUAAUUCUCUCCGUCUACUUAACCAUUUUUCUUCUUUUUUUUGAGCCUCAAUUUAAGGAGAUUUUUGGACUCAUUGUGUGGAUAUAUUUUGUUGCUUUUUCUACCUUGUAAUAAAGUUUCUCAAUUAGAUCAACAAGCAUUAUGCUUGAAUUAAAUUGUGCAAGGUUCGUUUCUUUUGUUUGAUUCAAAAACAAAAACAAAAAAAAAAAAACAAAAAACAAAAAAAAAAAAGAAAAAAAAAGAAAAAAAAAAAGAAAAAGAAAAAUCACAAAAAAAAAACAAAAAAAAAUGUUUACAUUCUUGGUGACUUAAGUAGAAAUAAGCAUUUUGAUAUCAUAAGUUCAUUCAAUGAGUUCAUUUUUCUCGUUUUAAUCUCUUUUUCUUUCGUAAACCUUUCUUUUUCAUUUAACCCAUUUAACCCCAUUACAACCCUCUUAAGACCCUUAGAUUUUUGCAUUUUAUUCAUGUUUUGUGGAUUGAGAUGUGAUAUAUGAGCAAGCUUAUGGUAAUAGCAUUCUUUGAUUUGAUUUGAGUGGAUAAAUGACACCCUAAAAACUUUGAGUGCAUGGAGUGAAGUUAUUGAGAGGGCUAUUAAAUCUUGUUGCACUUGAAUUUUGAAUGGAUCUCCUUGGUGGUUGAAUGUUCUUAUUCUAUCUUAUGAAAUUCUAUGCUUUAAAAUCCUUGUCUCUCGAAUGUUAAUCGACUUAAUUUCUUGAGGUAUGCUUUCUUAAAAUUGUUUUUGGAUGAGUUGAGAUGAGAAUUGAGUGGAGAUUUGAGAUUAAUCUUGAGUUAUAUGCUUGAGGACAAGCAUCAUCUUGGUGUGGGGGAAUUUGUUAGAGUGCAAUUUAUGCACUAGUUUUGCAUUGUUUACUUCCCUUAAUAUCGAUGUUUUACACUUAAUAAUAAUGUUUUACUUGUGUUUUACUUUUGUAGGUGCAAUUCUAUUGAUUGGUGAUAAAAUUGAGCUAAAAGAUGAUGUUUAAGGAGGAUUGUUCUCUUGGAGAAAUUAUGAGCGUCGAAAGAACUUUGUUGAUAAGGCGUGGGCGCGUGCUGUCAACUGCGGACCUGCAGUUUUUAGUUUAACGUGUUUUGUAUUUUUGGUUAUUUUUGUAAUUACGAAUUUAAUAUUUCAGAUAUUAGUAUUUUAUUUUAAAUAGAAUUCUAAAAGAGAAGAGAGAGAGAGUAUUUAAGGGAGGAAUCUAUUGUGAAAAGGGGGAUUUGGAUUGGAGAAAAAGAAAGAAACCCUAGAUCUAAUUUUUCUCUUCUCUCUAUGAAGAACUAAACCUAUUUUUCUGGUUGAAGGAUAAUGACGCUUUGAUUCAUCACUACUGUGAGAUUUUUCUUAUGCUUUAAUUGUUUUAUUACUUUUUGGGUAUUUGUUUAUUCUCUGAAUUAGUUUCAUGAUUAUGUUUGUUAAUUAGGUAAUUGUCCACUAUUUAAUUAUCAACUUAAUCUAUUGUCAAUUAAAGGAUUCAUCGUAUGAAGAAUUUAAUGUUUGUGACAAAUAACAUAGCAGAGAGUUGUGUUGUGAGAAUAAACAAUCUAAUUUAAAUGAAUCAUCAUAUGUGUUGAUUAGGAUUUGGGUCUCUCUGGUUUUUCAGGCUGUCAAUUGAUUAAAUCCUAUGAUCGUAUCAAGGGUUGUCUAUUGAUUAGGGAAAUAUCCAACGGUCGUACCUUGGUUAUCGACUAGUUAAGGAGAGAUUGGCUAUUAGAGGGUCUCAAUAGCUAUAACCGGUCUAUUCAUAAGUAAUAAUAAUAUAUAUUUGAAUCAAUGAUCAGUAGUCGAAUCAAGCUGAGUUAAUUCCUUCAACCAGAGCUUUCUCCAAUUUGAAUUACAACUUUAAUUUGCAUUUUGUAUUUAAUUUGAUUUUUAUUAUUGUCUACAAUUCCCCCAUUUUAUGUUUUACGUUUCAAAAGGAUUUAAAUAAUUACCGAUCUCUGUGGACACGACCCUGCUCAAUCACUAUACACAAUUUAUUUAGAGUAGGAAUUUAUUUUUGUUGGCUUCGACACCCAUCAGUUGAUUUGUGUUGUUUAUUGCUAGAUUUCGCAUAAUUGUUUGCUGAUUACUAGAACUGGCUCUGUUUGGAUCUGAUACCAUGUUUAAAAACAUAAAAAAUCACUGAUCAGUUUGUUUGGUUGCUAAGAAAAUUUGCUCUGUUUGCUGAGAAAGUUUCAAAGAAGAUUCUCGAUUUUUUUUAUUUCAUCUUUCUUACUUCACGAAUGAUUACAAACACACCUUUUAUACACAACUCAACUAGCUAACAGAAAGAAAGCUACAAAACAGAAUCUCAGUAAGCUUAACUAAUUUUGCUGAGCUGGCAUUACACACUUAACUAACUUCGGCUAACUAAAUUCUCACAUGUGCUAAGCAUGAGCAGACUGUUUGUACACAUUAUGUGCUUCUUUAACACAAUGGAGUUUUAAAAAUUUGGUACUUGUUAUCUUAUCGAAAGUUUUCAAAAUUAUAUGAAUGUUCAAACUUAGCCCCUCCCGGCACUGCCACUGCUUCUACGUGAAAGUCAUUUAAGUUUGUGUUAGCUGCCUAUAGAUUGAAUAACAAUUUUACUCCGGAUUUUUUGUCCAUUAUGAAAAUUUGAUUGAAAGUGCGGCUGCACUAAUUUUCUAGAUGAACUUCCCUACAUGUUUUUUCUCAUAUGACCCAGAAUACUGCUAUAACAAUUGUAUUGGAAACUAUUCAACUGGGUUACUAUUCUACAUCCCCACCAAAAUUUAAACAGUCGACAUUGUGGAAAGAAACUCAUUUCGCCACUAGGCUUUUAGUGAGGCUAAUUUCUCUGAAUUUGGACAGAGUAGAUUUCUAAGCUAAUGCUUGGAAGAUCUCUGGCGAUAUUACAAAGUGCAUGUACAUUGAGUCUUAAUAAAUAUAAACGAUUCUCUAAUAUGAUUCAAAACAUCACUACAUGCAUAAGUUAAUAAGAGAAAAAAUUAUAAGAUUAUUUAUGCAUCACCAUUUAUAGUUGCACCCUCUCUAAUGAAAUUGAAGGUGCAGCCAGCAAUUAAAAUGAAGCAGAAAUGUACAUUGACCCUUAAUAAAUAGAAACUAAGGCGUUAUCGAUUCAACUUCAGUUGAUCAAUUGCGGGUGAAAGAUAAAUAAAGGAUAAGAGAAUAGAGCUGGAGUGCUAAAUUGGCUAUUGAAGAAGGGUGUCACAUGAUCACAAUCACAUUGACGCACAACUCUUUGGAGGCAAAUUUUGUCUAUGUGUACUCUAAAUUCAGCCAAACCAUACAUGUAUGAACAGAAUUUAAACCGUAGUUCUCAUCACAAUAGUAAUUGAAGCUACAAAAGCCAGAAAAUCUGAACAAAAACUUAAAAGGAAGAUUUUAUUCAAGUUUGCCCCCAAAAGACAGUUGAAAUGAAAAAUAUUGACUAUUGAAUGGGUCAAUGCUGAAUUACAUUUCAAAUGGAAAGCUUGGCAACAGUUACAAUGUUUCCCCUCUGAUUUUCCUCCAAAACAAAUUCAGUUAUAAACAAUAACUGAAGUAGGAAUAAUUUAUUCAUCAAAGAAAAUACCCUAGUUUUCAACUAACAAAUCCUGCUAUCCAAAUUAAAAAAACUCGCAUCUCUAAAAUUUAUUUGUAAACUGUUGGAAAUGAGGAGUGAUCUGUCAACUCCGUAAAUAAACUCAGGCAUAAUAUUAAUAAUAAUUAUAAAUUACAUAAUAAUUAUUAUAAAGAAUCAUAAAUUGGAAACGCUAAUCAUUCUACAAUCUAUUAUAUAAGUAAGAUAAGUCUCAUAAUAAGUUAAGUUAUAAUGUAAUAAAUACUUUCAAUAUAUAAUUAUUUAAGAAGGCAUUUAACAAUAAAAUAUUUUUUUUUCUAUUCGGUUGAUCAUAUAGUGUUAUCUAAACUCUUGACGAUAUUAUUAUUACUCACUUUUCUAAAAAAAAAACAUGAUUAACGUUUAGAGAAAAGUCAUGCCCCUUAAAAAUAAUAUGUAUACAAGCUAUCCAUACUUUAUCUUACCAUGACAAAAUUGAUGGUGAUUAAAUCUACUUUUAAAAUAGAUUUAAUGCACAGAUAUUAUGACUUCUGGCAAAAAUUAGUUUUGGAAGACAUAAUGGUAGAAAAUAGUGAUGAUCAUUAUUUAAAUGUGUAAAUAGCCUAGGCAUAGCCUGUAAUACCAAUAUCCAUUUGCCUUUAUUUGGAUUAUCACAUUUCAUGAUAUUCUUAUAUUUAUGACCAUUGUUCGAGAUUUGAACUUGAUCAUAAAUUAAGCUGCAAGAGAUUUUACUUCAGUUUCUAAGCUUUUCAAUCGUGAUUCAUCCAUGCCUUUCUUGGAUACCAUUAUGUUACGUGCCAAUGUAACUGACCUUGUAAUUGGUGUGUAUAAGGAAACAUGCCCUUUCAAGAUUGUUUUCUUUUGUUUCCUUAUUGUAGUAGUCAAAUAAAUAAAGAACGAACAAUUGAACUUGGUCUACUUCGAGGAAAACCAAGGCCUGCAAUAUUAGAUGAACUUUGAACAAAAUUAAUCUACUGCUUUUAUUCAUCUUUGGACUAUGAAUUUAUACAAAGACUUUAACAAAAAAUAACAAAGACACAACUGAAUGAUAGCAACAAGUGCUGACUUAGCGGACUACUGCAACAACUAAAUAAAAACUAAAUAUUUAUUUUGACUGUAACAACAAUUGCCCUGAUGAAUAGGACUCCACAGCAGCCACGUGACAACUAAUUUCUCCUUAAUAUUAUUAUUAGUAGAAGUAGAUUUUCAAACUAGUCUUGAUAUAUUUCGAAGUUGUAUUAUUAUCAAUGUAUAUGUAUCUAGAUUGUAACUAUAUUUUAAAAAAUAUAAUUUUUUUAAUUAUUGCACAGUAAAUGUAGAAAAAUAUCUAUAAAAUAAUAUUAUUAGGACUAAGAAAAAAAUAUUAUUUUAUAUAAGUUAUUUAUUUAUUAUUGAAUGAAUAAUUUAUUAAUUUAUUGAUAAACGAAUAUUUAUUAAUUUAAAGAGAGAUUAUUUUGGUUUUAAGAAGAGUUUGUUUGGUACAUGUACACACUUAUAAAGAAACACAAAAGGUGCUUCCUCAAGUUAAUAGUAUUUGCUUUAAUCGCUAUAGUUCACAAUAAUAUAGCAUAGUUUGGAAAAUUGUAAUUAUACUAUGUCUACGUUUGGUACAAUUUUUCAAGAAGAACUUAUUUAAAUAGAGUUUUUGUUAGUAGAACAUUUAUAAAUAAAAUUUUUACUGAAAAAAUUUAAGUUAUUUGGUUGUCAUUGUCAAAAUUGAUGAACUUUUGAUCUUUUGUUAACAUGUGUUUUUUUUACUAAAUAAUAAAUGUUAGGUUACAAUUAUUUUCAAUAGUUUUUGAAGGAAUCAAGUUAUGAAAUUUUUAUCAAUGAACUUUCAAUAUGUCAGCAUAUGGUCUGUAAAAUUUGAGAGUUUUCCAAUGAGGGAAUAAUUUAUUAAAAAUAAGAGAAUAUGGAUUGUUCUGUUUUAAGGGCCGAUUAUUGAGGACAUUUGAGGUUGAGCUUAGGAGAUGUUUAAAUUGAGAUAUUUGAGGACAUUAUGUUAGCCUAAAGGGCUACACAUAAUGUAAUUUUGAUGAUAACAAACAUGUGUCUUAAGUAAAAAUAAUAAAUAUUGUAUUUCACAUUUUCACUAGUUUUUGAAGGAUAAUAUUUAUGCAAGUGAAUCAAGUGAAAUCAAGAUUGAAGAUACUCAACGGACAACGGCGACAUCAAGAAUAUAGUUUAGAGCUCAAUGAACAAAUUAGUGCGAUAAAUUCUUGUAAAGCCGGUAUGAUUUAAUUGAUGCAUGAUUUAGCAUUUGAGAAGCUCAAGAGAUUAAUUUAAUUAAAUACUUUUCAUAAACUAAAAGGUUUUAUUUUUAUAAAGUAAAGUAUUUUGUGGAUUUGAGUAAUUUGGACUUAAAUGCUAAGAUUUGAAAUCUUUGAUUUUAAUAAGUAUUAAAUUUCGGAGUUGGACGUUUUGAUAAACAUUUGAAAUGUUUUGGGUCAUACUAUAAUUUAUAAAUAUUUUGGACUAAAGUGAAAGGUUUUGAGAACUUUGAAAAAUAUGGGUAUUAUGUUGAAAAGGACCUUUGUGCGAACUAAAAAUUUCUUUGGGGCCAUAUCAUAAUUUCAGAAAGUUUGGGAAGACAACUACUCUUAGGAAGUUCUGAAAUUGGACCUAUUUGCAAAGUUUUAUGACAUUUUGAGCCAUAGUAUAAUUAUAGAAAGUUUUGAGCCAAAGUAUAAUUUUAGUGAACAGUGUUACUAUAGCAAUUCAAAAAUAACGGUAAUAUCACUGUUCCUGAGCGGCUAGCCGGAUAAAUCAAGCGGCUAACUGCUUGGGCGAGGGAAUUUGCCUAUAACGGCUAGUUUUCAGGCUUUAACUAUAAAAACUCAGCUCAAACUUCAUUCUAAGUACUAAUGCAUGCAAAUAUAAGAUCAUACAACAUAUAUUGAGCUUCCAAAAUGCAAAUCAUCAUUGAUUGAAUCAUUGUUGAGCUAUUAGUUGCAUAUCCACUCUUAAAGAGAGUUUUUGUUGUAAUUUUCAUUUCUUAUCAAAUUGUGAGUGUGUGAGUGUGUAAGUGUGGGAAACACUUGGGGUGAAGAGAUUGGGGAGAUAAUCUCUUGGUUGUAAAGGUUCAUUGACACCUUGGAAGUCAAUUGUAAAAACUUGAACCCUUGAGAGGCUUGGAUAGUGAAAUCCUCGAGCAUGGUUGGCUUGGAGGCGUGGACGUAAGCAGGGAUUGCCGAACCACGUAAAAAUCCGCGUGUUUGUUUCUCUCUUCCCUUGCUCUUUUAUUUUUACGCUUGUUUGAAUUUAUUGUUCUCUAUUUCAUUAAGGCGUUAGAUUGAUUUAUUGUGCGAAUUGUAUUGCAUUAUUUUUAAAAACUCAAUUCACCCUCCCUCUUGGGUUGCAUUACUUGCAUUUACAUUAGAGUUUAUGAUUGAGACUCGAUUAUAUCUUAUGAGAAAUUUAUUGAUGAUUUUAGGUUGAUGAUAACAGUACGCAUUUGUUACAUGAGGAUGCCAAGAGGUAAGUAAACUAGACUUAAAAACGAAUCACAAUAAACAAUAUAUAUGUUUGACUUGUAUGAAAAGUCUAUUUUGAUAUGUACGAAUAUAGAUUUAUAUGUCUCUACUCAUGUGUUUAUGUGAUGUGUUGUUAUGUAUUGGGCGUGAUUAUGUACAUAGGCAUAUGUAUGUGUGAUGGUUCAUUGUCAUGAGCACGAAAAUGCAUUGAGUUUUCUAUGAAUGAAAAGUGGAUUUUAGCAAAUGAGAUUUCUCUUUUAUGAGAUUUUGCAUUGGGGGCCACCUCUUGAGGGCCAGAGUGCCGCAAAGUACCACGCACAACACAAAGUGCCACAUUGCAGGAUACGUAUUUUAUUGAAAGGAAAUAUGAAAGUUUGAAAGCGACAGAAAGAGAUUUUUAUGAAUUUGUUUUACAGUAUUUCCAAAAGAUCAUGGCAUAGCAUCCAUCUACAUUAUGUAUAAGUAUGCAUGUUUGCUUAUUGAGUUUUGUACUCAUUAUAGUUUAUUAUGAUUCAGUUUCCAGAAGUCAGGAUUGAUUCGUGAUGAGUGAGAAGAUGAAUUUAAAUUGAGGAUGGUAGAUGGUUUGGCUAAAUUUUUAAGUUAUUCCGCUGGCUUUUGUAUUCGAGGCUCGAAUUUUAUCGGUUGUAAAGAGUUAUUUAAAUUCAUAUGUGAGUUGUAGUCAGAUUUGCCCUCGGAGUUCGGGUUGGGGCGUUACAGAUGCAGAAACAGAAAACUAUUAGCUUAUCUUGAUUUUCCCACUAUAUUCAUUUUCGAUGCUUUUCAAACGAGAUUCUUUUAAUCCUUCUGGCGUAUGCAGCCCUUGCUCUUCUUAUAAAUCUCCAUCCGACAUCUGCACUAGGAACAAGUUGAUUGAAAUUAAAUAACAUUAGAGAUGACGGACGGUUGAGCCGUUAACUCGGUAAAAAAACUCAUAUAUAAUAUUACUAAUAAAAAAAAAUAUAAUAAUCAUUACUAAGAAUCAUAAAUUAGAAAAAUUAAUUAUUUUACAAUCUAUUUCGCAAGUAAGAUAAAUCUCAUAAUAAGUUAAGUUAUAACGUAAAAAACAUUUUCAAUUUAUAAUCGUUUAAGAAGUCAUUUAACAAUAAAAUCUUUCUUUUGGUCAGUUGGCCAUGCCACAGAGUAUCAUCUAUAUUCGUGGUGAUAUUAUUAUUACUCCGUAUUCUCAAAAAACUUGAUUUAACAUUUAGAGAAAAUUCCUACCAUUUAAAAAGAACAUGUAUGCAGCAGCUACCCAUACUUUAUCUUACCCCGACAAAAUUAAUGGUGACUAAAUCAAUUUUCUCGAUUAAAGCAAAAUUUUCUUAAAAACGAUUUAAUGCACAAAUAUGAUGACUUUUUGCAAAAAUUAGUUUUGGAAAAUAUAGUGAGAGAAAAUAGUGACGAUUAUUGUUUAGAUGUGUAAAUAGCCUAAACAUAAUUGCUAAUACCAACAUCCACGUGCAUCUUAACACCUUUCGUGAUAAUCUUUCAUUCAUGGUCACUGGUUCAAGAUUUGAAUUUGAUCAUUAAAUCAUGUUCAAGAAUAUUAGAGAUCCCAACAAUUGAGUUCCAACUUAAAUCCUAAUGCUAUGUGUCAUUGACCAAUAUUGUGUCAUUUUUUGUUAACUGGGUGAUGAAUUUCUAGUUGAUAAAAUUACUUAAAAAUAUCUUAAAAAUCAGAUAAUAGUUAGCUUAAUUUUUUGAAGCUAACUGCUCAAGAUGCUCUAUUAGAAAUGAUAACCUAAUUAUAUAAAAAAAAAAAUGAUGUAUUUUUUUCGGUGUUGAUAGUGAGAUUAUCAUUCAACAUGUUAAAAUAUGAAAACAUAUGGAAGAAGGUUGUAAAUUGAUUGAAUGAAAAUAUUUCAGUGAAGUCUAAAAAAUUUGGUACUUGUUAUCUUAUCGAAAGUUUUCUAAAUUACAUUCGUGGCACUGCCACUGCUUCCAUGUGAAGGUCAUUAAAAUUUGUGUUAGUUACCUAUAUGUUGAAUAAUAAUUUUAUUCAUGAAUUGUUGCUCAAUAUAGCAGUUUCUAGAUGAAUUUUCCUACAUGUUUGUCCUCAUAUGACCUAGAAUGCUGCCAUAUCAAUUGUAUUGGAAAUUAUUCAAGUGGGUUUGUGCUCUAUACCCCCACCAAAAUUUAAGCAAUCUACAGAACAUUCCUUGUGGAAAGAAACUUAUUUCGCUACUAGGUGGGAGUAGAUUUCUAAGCUAAUGCUCGGCAGAUCUCUAGGCUAUACUAAAAAGUGUAUGCACUUUGACUCUCAAUAUAUACGAGUGAUUCUAUGAUAUGACUGAAAACAUCAGUACAUGCAUGAUUUUAUAAGAAAGAAUAUUCUAAAAUUAUUUAUGUAUCACCAUUUGAAGUUGUACCCUCUCGAAUGAAGGUGCAAUCAGCAACUAAAAUGAAGCCCGAAAUGUACACGCGUGAAGCAGUUUUUCUAGAAGAUUGAUAUUUCUCAAACUAGCAAACCGUACAAGUCCAAAGCUAGAAAAAGGAGUGCUUCUAAGCAGAAAACAUUGAUUAAAACAGAAUGCACACAAACAUACCAGCAAAUUCAAAAUAGAAAAAGGAGUGCAACUGUUCAAGUUUGUGGACAAUAUUGCAACCGUGGCAUAUUUAUAGCAAAUCCUUGAAAUCUGCUAAAUAAACAAUGCCCUGUCUCAUGAAUCAAAGCCGAAUUAAAAUUGAAAUUGAAAGUCCGGCUGGUGUUGUUUCCCUCUCCAGUUUUGCCCACAUAAGUGAAGGGAAAUGAGAAUCAUAAACUAAAAUCUGCUUUUACAGUUCUUAUUAGAUAGAUAUAAAGGGAUCUUUCUUUGUUUCUCUGCUGCAAUUUGUGGCUAUCCCACUCUGUUUUGCCACUCAAGCUUAGUCUACGUUGAGACACAAUUUUGACAUCAGAAGCAACCUCAAUUAGUUUGGCAUUUUUAUGACCUCCUUGUACGUUUUACGAUAAACAUAAAUCUACUGAGAAAGUGGGAAAAAAAGAAAAUGCAUAUAAAAGUAUGAGUUAUCAGACAUGAUUAAAACUCACCCAAUUCAAUCCAUUAGAUUCCGUAAGGAUAUAACUGGAUGUCAUACCGCCAUUCCAUAUCCUCGAAAGUCCGUAGCCUCUGUCUCAACUCUGUCUGAGGCCAAUGUAAAUCCAAUAUGCGCAAGCUCUUUAUGCACCACAGCUCUUCUGGAAGCUUUCUCAAGUAAGCACAAGGGUUGACAAUUAAGCUUUCAAGUUUUGGCAUUGCUCCAGCCCCCAUCGUCCACUCAUCUAGCCAAAACAUUGAUUUCAGGUGCAAAACCUUACGUUCCGGAAAGCAACCAGGGCCAACGCAGGCCAGCUUUCUUCCUAAAUACGAGUUUUGCUUCAGUUUCAGCACUUGAAGGCGUGGAAGCUUUUCCAGCAUUGGCAUGGGAUCCUCCAUUAGCUCAGUAUUCGAUAAGCUCAGAUGGCUCAGACUUGGAGGAAAUUGGUAUUCAGACAGGAUAAUCCGUGAGGGCUUGCUCUCAUUCACCAGCUUCAAGCAUUCAAGUUUGUGCAGUUCGCAUAGGCUUUUGGAAACCCCGGAUUGAUAGUAACUCAAAUCUCCAGAUAUUCUUAGACUUUGGACAAGAUAUUCUUAGACUUUGGACAUUUGGUAGUCUGCCCAAUAUAGCUGGACUGCAACUACUAGGAUGUAAGGCUGAUAAGAAAAUGAGAUUUUUCAGAGAGCUUCAAUAAUUUUUUGGAGGUGCGGGCAGAGUGAUGCAACCGAAGUUUAGAUGCAUGAGUUUUUGCAUCAUCCAAAUAUCCUCUGGUGAAUGAUCUAUGUAGCUAGAUGGCAUUUCUAGCGUUUGAAGGUUUAAAAGGGAGCAUAGCAGUGAAGGAAUGCAUUUGAGCGAAGGGAUAUUCAAUUUCAAAUACUUCAAAAGGAAUAAAUUUUCUAAUCCGGCUGGAUAUUGGUCGAGAACUGCAGAACCCAAGUUCAAUACCCGAAGGUAUUUGAACUUGUCGCAAUCUAUCAGAGCGAGAUGAUCGCUUGCCGAACUGUUAUUCAGAAAAGAUUGGAGAUACAUGUCAGAAUGUCCUAAAGAUAAAAACCCAGUCAGAUCUUGGGCAAUGACGCACCGUUUAACAUUUGCCACUGGCUCCUCUUCCCUGUCACGCAUCCAUACAAAUUCCGUCUUCUCUGCCACCGAGCACAGUAAAGUAAAUUCAAAACCUGGAACAUAAAACGCUUUAAUUGUGCCGCCGGCUCCUCUUACUCACUUGAAUGAAGCCGCAAUGGAUUAGUUCUUUCAAGUAAUGUUCUGCCGUCUCCUCACUGUUGUAUGGUAUGAAACCUUCAGCUACCCACAACUGAUAUAAUUGUCUCGUAGAUAUCUCAAUGUCUGGACGGAAGACAAACAAAUAGGUGUAGCAGACUUUCAAGUGAAAAGGUAACUCCAUCACAGAAUAAAUUUGUCUCCAAAUUGUCCGAAUCGCUUAGGCUUGAAGAUAAUUUUCUAAUGGCAUACUUCCAUAGUGUAGGAUGAAAAAUUGCCAGGCCUCAUACUUUAAUCUGAUCAAUGGUCCUCCAACGAGCACAGAAUCAGGCCGAAUCUUCUCUCCAUUUUCCAUUUCCAACGACACAAGGAGUUCUGGAUCAGUGACUGUUAUCAAUACUCUGCUUCCAUUCUCAUUAUCAGGGAGACCUUCUUCGAGAUCAUCCCAUAUCUCACUGUUAUCGAAGACAUCAUCAAGCACAAUAAAGUACUUCUUGUUUGUUAGGUAAUCUCGAAGAAUAGAUUUCUUCAAUUGAUAAUUGAAAGAGUUUGUAUAUAGUGUUUGGUUUAAGAGAAACUAACAAGAAAAUAAAAGAAAAUCAUAAAGAACCAGAUCUGAAAAUGAUCAUAUUCUCAUUUUUUGACUAAUGAUUACAACUUGUUAUUUAUAGUAAAGAUCAGAGGCGUCACGUAGCUUGUCAGUUUGUUGGAUCUAAUAUGCAUGCAGUACAGUUCGUUAUCUUUGCUGCUGAGCUGGAUAACUAACUCAACACACGUAAGCAUCAGCAGCUCCAUUUAAUCAGAUGCUCUCAUCUAUACCAUAUUAUCAUACUCUAUAACAUCCUCCCUCAAGCUGAACUGACCUGGAUGGACAUUCAGCUUGCUUCUUAGAUAGUGAAACUGAUUGAAGGUUAGUGCCUUGGUAAGAACAUCGGCAUUUUGGUCUUCACUGGGAAUGAACUGAACUGUAAUUUGCUUAGCUGUUACUUUGUCUCUGAUGAAGUGAAUAUCAAGCUCAACAUGCUUAGUUUUAGCAUGAUAAACAGGAUUGUGAGCUAAAGCUAUGGCACUUUGAUUAUCACACCACAUUAUGGGGGCUGUGACAAGAUGAAUAUGUAGCUCUUUCAGUAAGGACUGAAUCCAAGUAACCUCAGCUGUAGCUUGAGCCAAAGCUCUGUAUUCAGCUUCAGUGCUUGAUCUGGAAACUACUGCCUGUUUCUUAGACGACCAAGAAACCAAAUUUGAACCAAGAUAAACAGCAUAACCAGCCACUGAUUUGCGAUCAUCCUUAUCACAUGCCCAAUCUGAGUCACUAAAACAAUUUAUCUGCAUAGUGCCGUAAUGAUAAAAAUGUAAUCCAAAAUGAAUUGUUCCUUUCAAAUAUCUAAGAAGCCUCUUACAAGCCUCCCAGUGCUCUGCUGUUGGUGAAGCUAAAAACUGACUAAGUUUGUUUACAGAGAAAGCUAUUUCUGGCCUAGUGAGAGUCACAUAUUGUAAAGCUCCAACUGCACUUCUAUAUUGAGAACUAUUUGAAAUAACACUUCCUGACCCCUUUGUAAGAUAAUGACCAGUGGCCAUGGGAGUAGGAACUGGACUGCAGUCAGCCAUAUUGUGUUUGGCUAGAAUAUCAGCUAUGUAUUUAGAUUGAGAGAGAUAAAUUCCAGAUGCUGUUUUGGUAACUUCUAUCCCAAGAAAAUAACUCAAUUUGCCCAGAUCCUUCAAAGCAAAAGCAUUUUGCAUAUUGGUAAUCACUUGCUGCACCAUUUGAUCACUUGAGCCUGUUAUGAUUAUAUCAUCCACAUAGACAAGAACAAAAAUUACUUGAUCACCUAUCCACUUGUAGAAAAGGGAGUUGUCUGACCUUGAAUUUUGGAAACCCCAUUUCACAACCAUAGCAUCUUUCAGUCUCUCAAACCAUGCCCUGGGGGCUUGUUUUAAACCGUAGAGAGCCUUUUUCAACUUACAGACAUGAAGAGGUCGAGAUGGAUCAAUGAAGCCCUCUGGCUGCCCCAUGUACACAUCUUCAACUAAUAUGCCAUUCAAAAAGGCAUUAUUCACAUCCACUUGUCUGAGCUCCCAUUUAUUCAUAACUGCCAAACUUAAAAUAACUCUGACUGUGGAUGCUUUAACAACUGGACUGAAUGUUUCUGUGUAAUCAACUCCUUGUGUCUGAUGAAACCCCUUAGCCACUAACCUGGCUUUGUAUCUAGAAAUGGUUCCAUCAGCAUGAUAUUUUAUCUUGAAUAUCCAUUUGUUACCAACUACCUUAACUGGUUCACUUGGCAAAACCAGAUCCCAUGUAUGAUUAUUCUGAAGUGCUUGAAAUUCUUCUUGCAUUGCCUUAAACCAUUUUGGAUUAGAUAAAGCAGCUGAAACAGAAGUAGGUUCUGAAGGUAUGGCUAGUAAAGCAGCUAAAUAAGAUUUAGGCUUAAAUAUACCAGCCUUGGAUCUGGUUAUCAUGGGAUGACCUAUAGGUGGUGCAGCAGGUAAUAUAUGAGGAGGAGAUUGUGUAUGAUGUAUAGGAUGUGUAUGUGAUGUCAAAGUAGAAGAUGAAGAGGAGGUUGAAGAAGGAGAGAAUACCUGUGGAGUGUCAGCAGGUAGGUAAUCACUUGCUAGAGAUUGUUGCAGGGGGGAUUGUACUUGUGGGAUUGGAACAAGAGUAACUUUGGACUCUGAAGAAAUAUCUGAGGGACUGCAAGACUGAGCAAUGGAAGAGAAGUCUAAUCCAGAUACAUAUGGAAAAGAUUGUUCAUCAAAGAUGACAUGAUUGGACACAUACACACGACCAGAUGAAUGAAGACACUGAUACCCUUUAUGAGAAGAGCUAUACCCAAUAAAAACACAUCUGUUUGAUCUAAAACUGAGCUUGUGUCUGUUAUAAGGUCUGAGAUAAGGAAAGCAAGCACAACCAAAGACCCUAAGAGAGACAUAAUCUGGUACUUGCUGAAAAAGUUUUUGGUAAGGUGAAAUGUAUUCAAAGUUGGUGUGGGUAGUCUGUUAAUAAGGAAUACAACAGUAUGAAAGGCAUUCCACCAGAACUUAAGUGGUAAAUUAGCUUGAGCUAACAGAGUGAGGCCAAUGUCCACUAUGUGUCUAUGUUUUCUCUCAAUUCUUCCAUUUUGAUGAUGGAUAUGUGGACAAGGAUGCCUGAACUGAAUUCCAAACUGAGUGAGAUAUGAUGCAAAGGUUCUAAACUCCCCUCCCCAAUCUGUUUGAACUGUUUUGAUGUGUUGUUGUAAGUGUUUUUCAAUAAAAGAUUUGAAUUCUGUGAAAACUUGGAGUGCAUCUGAUUUGGCAGUCAAAGGAAAAAUCCAUGUGAAUCUGCUAAAAUCAUCUAAAAUGGACAAAUAAUAUAUAUAGCCUUGAGUGGAUGCAACAUGUGAUGGUCCCCACAAAUCAGCAUAUAUAAGUUGUAAUGGUGCUGUUGUUUUUGUUGGAAUAGAUCCAAAAUGUAAAAGGUGACUUUUACCAUGUUGACAGGCAUUGCAAAAGUUUGGAGUUUUAUUGAGUACAUUGAAACUAUUACAAGCUUUCAAUACAGAUUUGAGUGUGUGUAAGGCAGGAUGUCCUAGCCUUUUAUGGAAAACAUUGACAUCGACUGAGCUAGUAUUGACAGCCAAGGCUGAUUUACACAGCAAAUGAUGAGACAAAGUACUCUUACUUAUUUCAGGAGAAAUAUCACUAGACAAAGGAGAAUGAAAAGCAAACAAAGACUGAGGUUUAUUGGAAGAAAGUUGACAAGACAAGGCUGAGCUAGUUUCAGAGACUUGAGCUGCAGAUUGGACUUGAUACAAUCCCCCUGUUGCAAUUCCUCUAAGCAAAGUGAUCCCUGAGUUCCUGGCCUUGACAACACAGACAUUUGCAAAAAACUCAAGUGUCACAUUAUUAUCUACUAAGAGCUUUGAAACACUGAGUAAAUUUUUCUUAAUAUUUGGAACAUGAAGAACAUGGUUUAAACACAAGGGUUUAUUUGCAGUAGUAGCUAGCAAUACUGAUCCAAUAUGCUGAAUAUGCAAUGCAGAACCAUUCCCAACAAGCAAUUUGUCAGUUCCAACAUAUGGCUUGAGAUCCAGUAAUUUACCUGGGUCAUUUGUGAUGUGGUUAGUAGCACCACUGUCAAUGUACCAAGCUGGAUCUUCAAUCAUCUCAGGUGCAUGAGCUGGAACAGGGACUGAAGGAGAUCCAGAGUAAUCUCCAGUAGGAGCAAAAGCAUGAGCAGGAGAGUAACCACCAUGAGAAUUAGAUGGUUGAUAAACAUUGAAAGCAGCUGGAUCUGAAUACAUCAAAUGGCCUUGAUAACCAGGUGCUCUUGGUAUGUUGAAAUUACCAAACUGAGAGUUACCAAUUCCAGCACCAUAUUGAGGAUUAAGAUUUCUACCAAAAUUACCAAAAUUUCCAUAAGCCAUAGAAGACCUAUUGCCAUUAGCAUAGCCAAAACCUCUACCAUACUGCCUCUGACCAGGCCUAAAAUUUCCAUUAAAACCACCUCUUCCUUGAUUUCUUGAAGGAACAAAAGCUGAGUUAAACCUAUUCCUGCAUUUAUUGGCACCAUGACCAGGAAUGAAAUAGAUCUGACAUACAAUUUGUGAGAAGUUACCAUCACUAGAUCCAGCUCCAGAAUUAUAACUUCCUCCAUACGAUCCAAUGUUAAACUUCUGAUUACCACUAGUGUUUUUACUAGGAUUGAACUGCUUUUGAGCAACAUUAGCUGACAAGUUAUGUGUAACAUCACUUGCAAUUUUUCCUCUCUUUUGUUCCACAUGAUUUUCAUGACUCAAUAACAAUGAAUAAAACUCAUCAAGACUGAUAUUAUCUCCUCUAGCUAACACAGUAGUAACUAGUGAUUCAUAAUCAGAGGAAUCCAAUCCAGUCAAAACAUGUUGAACGAAAUCAUUCACUUCAACAGGUUUUCCAGCUAAAGCCAAGCUAUCAGAUAUCCUUUUCAUUUUUGCAAAAUAAUCAGUUAUGGACAUCGAGCCUUUUUUAAGAGUUUGGAUUUGCAUUUUUAGAGGCAUUAUUCUAGCUUGUGACUGGGAAACAAACAUACUUGUAAGUGUAUCCAGCAGCUCCUUUGCAGUUGAGCAGUGGAUCACAGUUGUCAACAGAUUCGGCUGAAUAGAUGAGAGCAUCCAGCUCAGAAUCAAUUGAUCCGUCUUUAUCCACAUUGUGUAAGCUGGAUUGAUCUCUUGAUUCUCUGUUCCAGUUGAGAAACCAGCAGCAGAGCUUAUAGCAGAGAAAAAUUUUCCCGGACAGACUUGAUUUCCAUUGAUGAAAUCUUCUAAACCAUUUCCUUUAAUGGAUAUGAGAAUCUGAGUUCGCCAAACAAUGAAGUUAUUAUGAUCUAGUUUUAUCGGAGUAAUAAAACUAUAGGAUCCAGAAUUUUGAUUCGAAUUUGCCAUUUGUUAGCUCUGAUACCAUGAAAGAGUUUGUAUAUAGUGUUUGGUUUAAGAGAAACUAACAAGAAAAUAAAAGAAAAUCAUAAAGAACCAGAUCUGAAAAUGAUCAUAUUCUCAUUUUUUGACUAAUGAUUACAACUUGUUAUUUAUAGUAAAUAUCAGAGGCGUCACGUAGCUUGUCAGUUUGUUGGAUCUAAUAUGCAUGCAAUACAGUUCGUUAUCUUUGCUGCUGAGCUGGAUAACUAACUCAACACACGUAAGCAUCAGCAGCUCCAUUUAAUCAGAUGCUCUCAUCUGUACCAUAUUAUCAUACUCUAUAACAUCCUCCCUCAAGCUGAACUGACCUGGAUGGACAUUCAGCUUGCUUCUUAGAUAGUGAAACUGAUUGAAGGUUAGUGCCUUGGUAAGAACAUCGGCAUUUUGGUCUUCACUGGGAAUGAACUGAACUGUAAUUUGCUUAGCUGUUACUUUGUCUCUGAUGAAGUGAAUAUCAAGCUCAACAUGCUUAGUUUUAGCAUGAUAAACAGGAUUGUGAGCUAAAGCUAUGGCACUUUGAUUAUCACACCACAUUAUGGGGGCUGUGACAAGAUGAAUAUGUAGCUCUUUCAGUAAGGACUGAAUCCAAGUAACCUCAGCUGUAGCUUGAGCCAAAGCUCUGUAUUCAGCUUCAGUGCUUGAUCUGGAAACUACUGCCUGUUUCUUAGACGACCAAGAAACCAAAUUUGAACCAAGAUAAACAGCAUAACCAGCCACUGAUUUGCGAUCAUCCUUAUCACAUGCCCAAUCUGAGUCACUAAAACAAUUUAUCUGCAUAGUGCCGUAAUGAUAAAAAUGUAAUCCAAAAUGAAUUGUUCCUUUCAAAUAUCUAAGAAGCCUCUUACAAGCCUCCCAGUGCUCUGCUGUUGGUGAAGCUAAAAACUGACUAAGUUUGUUUACAGAGAAAGCUAUUUCUGGCCUAGUGAGAGUCACAUAUUGUAAAGCUCCAACUGCACUUCUAUAUUGAGAACUAUUUGAAAUAACACUUCCUGACCCCUUUGUAAGAUAAUGACCAGUGGCCAUGGGAGUAGGAACUGGACUGCAGUCAGCCAUAUUGUGUUUGGCUAGAAUAUCAGCUAUGUAUUUAGAUUGAGAGAGAUAAAUUCCAGAUGCUGUUUUGGUAACUUCUAUCCCAAGAAAAUAACUCAAUUUGCCCAGAUCCUUCAAAGCAAAAGCAUUUUGCAUAUUGGUAAUCACUUGCUGCACCAUUUGAUCACUUGAGCCUGUUAUGAUUAUAUCAUCCACAUAGACAAGAACAAAAAUUACUUGAUCACCUAUCCACUUGUAGAAAAGGGAGUUGUCUGACCUUGAAUUUUGGAAACCCCAUUUCACAACCAUAGCAUCUUUCAGUCUCUCAAACCAUGCCCUGGGGGCUUGUUUUAAACCGUAGAGAGCCUUUUUCAACUUACAGACAUGAAGAGGUCGAGAUGGAUCAAUGAAGCCCUCUGGCUGCCCCAUGUACACAUCUUCAACUAAUAUGCCAUUCAAAAAGGCAUUAUUCACAUCCACUUGUCUGAGCUCCCAUUUAUUCAUAACUGCCAAACUUAAAAUAACUCUGACUGUGGAUGCUUUAACAACUGGACUGAAUGUUUCUGUGUAAUCAACUCCUUGUGUCUGAUGAAACCCCUUAGCCACUAACCUGGCUUUGUAUCUAGAAAUGGUUCCAUCAGCAUGAUAUUUUAUCUUGAAUAUCCAUUUGUUACCAACUACCUUAACUGGUUCACUUGGCAAAACCAGAUCCCAUGUAUGAUUAUUCUGAAGUGCUUGAAAUUCUUCUUGCAUUGCCUUAAACCAUUUUGGAUCAGAUAAAGCAGUUGAAACAGAAGUAGGUUCUGAAGGUAUGGCUAGUAAAGCAGCUAAAUAAGAUUUAGGCUUAAAUAUACCAGUCUUGGAUCUGGUUAUCAUGGGAUGACCUAUAGGUGGUGCAGCAGGUAAUAUAUGAGGAGGAGAUUGUGUACACACUGAUCCAUGUACAACACAUCUCUUGAUUAUCUGUGUGUGUGCUGCUCAUCAAUGAUUAACAAGAUACAGUAGUUUUGUGAAGUCUCAUGUCUUGUGUUACAAAAUUUUGUGAUGGAAAGAAGGAAUAAUUCAACUAAAAAAAAAAAACACACGCGCGCAGCACACACACAGAGGGCCGCAACUAGCCCUUGAACCCCUAUUGAACUCGCACAAGAUACUAUUGAACUAAAUUCAAAAACAGCUGUUAAUAGCAUCUUAAAAUAUGGGUUCUAUCCAUACUCCCACCUGAAUCAUUUCUUGCGGCAUGACUCAAAAAUAACAAUAAGCCUGUCGCACCGAUAACUCAUUAGUGCAAUUUUUUUAACUCAAAAAAUUGAUACGCGUUCAUUUAGCGAAAAGUCCAAGACGCUUGCCUUUUGAAAAGAAGAGGUAUCCAAUAGAUAUCCAACCUUUAUCUUAUUUAAUUACUACCACGACAUGAUUGAUGGUGCUUAAAUCGAUUGUUUCUUUUUUAAUUUAAAGAAUUUUUCAUUAAAAAAUAUUUUAAUAUCAAAUUGCCUUCAAUAGCGUAACUGCCGCAGGCCCAGUAACAAGAUUAAUUAAAAUUUUUUGAAUUUUUGGGCAUGGAAAGAGUAGUAUUAGACUUCAGAAAGCUUAAGGUUGUUAUGUUAAAGAAUUGAUAUUGACAUAAUUUUAUUUUGGUUUUCGGGAAACAAAUUAUUUGUUGACAAGCAAGAAAAUAUUUUUGUAUUUUACAAUUUAUUAUACAUAUUUUAUCAUAUUAAAGUAAUUUUAAUAAUAAAUAGACACAUAAUAUUACAACAAAUAAAGUAAAGUUUAAAUUAUUUUGAAUAUUAUAAAAAUAAUUUUAAUAUUAUUAAUAGGAAGACAUUUUGUUAAUUUUAAAAUCUUUUUAACCUAAAGGUUUAUUUAAAAUCUUUAGAAAUCUCCAUCCCACAUCUACCCUAUUAAACAAGUUGAUGGAAAUUGAACAAUUGCUUUUUGAAGUGGACCCAUUGAGUUAUGUUCAUUACUGGUCAUUGUCUAUUCUUUCUAAGAGCCACUUGUUUUGAGCAUUAGCAAUCCUAUCUGGACUACUCCAAUUAUUGAUGUAACUCCAAUGGUUGCAUCAACAGUUGAAUGUAAGAUAGUGUUAGUUCUUUUUUGAGAAUAUAGAGGGAUCUUUAUUUGUUUCUCCGUUGUAGCGUAUUAGUAUAAAUUUCUUUACCUUACAGUUCCUACAGUCUUCCUGUUAAUGAAUUCGCUGAGGCAUUAUUGAUCCAAUCUCAGUGAAGUAAUUGUGGGUGAAAAAAAAAAAUAAAGGAUAAGAGAACGUAGCUGAAGUGCUGAAUUGACUAUUAAAGAAGAGCGUCACCUGAUCACAAUCACAUUGAUGCACAACUCACUCAGAUCAUUACAACGUCCUUUUCGCUAAUUAAUUAUGAUUAUAUACAUUUUCAUAUGGCAAGUGGCAUUGUAGAUCUAAACUACGUUGCUAUUUCAUUACGUUAAUUAAGUGAUUCUCCUCAUUGUCAUCAGCGCUUUUUGGGCAUGGAAAGAGUAGUAUUAAACAUUAGAAAGCAAAGGUUGUUCUGUCAAAGAAUUGAUAUUGGCAUAAUUUUAUUUUUGCUUUCGAGUAAAAAAAAAAAAAUUGUUGACAAGCAAGAUACUGUUUUUAUAUUUUACAGUCAGUUAUACAUAUUUUAUCAUAUUAAAGUAAUUUUAAUAAUAAAUGGAAACAUAACAUUACAAUAAAUCAAUUAAAGUUUAAAUUAUUUUGAAUAUUAUAAAAAAUAAUUUUAAUAUUAUUAAUAGGAAGAUAUUUUGUUUAUUGUAAAAUCUUUUUAACCCAAAGGUUUAUUUAAAAUCGUUAUAAUAAAUAAAAAUAUAAAAACAAAAUAAAUAUCAUAAUUUAAAAUUUUAAUAUUAUUUUAAAUAUUAAAAAUACUUUAAUGCUAUUAGUCUACUACCCAGGUUAUAUUACGUAUAUUAUAUUUGUAUAAAUUAAAACUUUUAAAGUUAAAUUUUUAAUUACUAUAUUGAAAAGUUAUUAUGGUUAAAAAAAGUUUUGGCAUUUCUUUUUGAAAAUUUGAGGGUCUGCAUGACAAUUUGUCCAAAUCCUAGAGGUAUAGGUGUCUUUUUUUUUUUUCGAUAAUCAUUUUACUUUUGAGGGAAUCCGAUGAGAAAUAAGAUAAGAGAAACGUCAAUUUAAGGUUCUCUAGGGAAAACCAAGAACUAUUCAAUUUUGUAUUUUUUGUUUGUAAAACGAAAAACAGUUUGCCAAAAAAGGUACCAAACAUAUCCUUAAUGUCUCACAUGAUUUCUUAUUAAGUCCAUACUCGAUAUAUUUAUACAUUUUAGGUAUUUUAGUUAUAAAAGAAGUUGGUCCUCCCUUUGUUUAUAAAAGGUAACUUUAUUUCGAGAUUACCACUAAAGUCUUGCAAAGAAUUAGUGUAAUGUUAAGAGAGAAUAACACAGUUUUCCAUUACCAUUUUGAAAAUAGAAAGAUGUGGAUGUGUGCAUUUAAUAUUGCGUUUACUUGCUGGAUUGAGGAAUCGGAAUCUAGAAUCGGAAUGAUUGAUGGUGUUUACUUUGCAAAUAUGGAGCAGGAAUCGGAAUUGGAAUGGUGGGGGCCACCACUAUUUGGGAAUGGGAGAUUGAUUCUCAUGGGGGAAGGUGGGAAUGAGUCUCCCAUUCCCUGGAUUGACCAUUUUGCCCUCCCUCAAAAUUAAAAAUGCCUACUUUGUCCUCUUUUAUAAUUAAUUAAUAUAAUAUUAUAAUUACUUAAUUAAUAUAUAAAUAUUUUAUUAACUAUAAUUAUUAAAAAUUAUAGUUCUUGAAUAAAUAAUCACAAUAAUUAAUUUAUUAUUAUUAUUGUUAUUUUAAUUAAUUAAUUAAUAUACUAUUAUAAUAAUUAUUAAUAUAAUUAAUUUAUAUAUUAUUAUUAUUAUUAAUGAAUUAAUAUAAUUAUUACUAUUAAUUAAUAUAUUAAUAUAUUAUUAACAAUAAUAUAUUAAUAAUUAUUGUUCGUGAAUAAAUAAUCACAAUAAUUAAUAUAUUAUUAUUGUAAUUAAUUAAUUAAUAUACUAUUAUAAUAAUUAUUAAUAUAAUUAUUAUAAUUAAUUCAUAUAUUAUUAUUAAUUAAAUUAAUAUUAUUAAAUAAAUAAAUAAUAUAAUUAUUACUACUAAUUAAUAUAUUAAUAUAUUAUUAAAAAAUAUUAAUAAUUAUAAUUUUUGAAUAAAUAAUCACAAUAAUUAAUAUAUUAUUUUAAUUAAGUAAUUAAUAUUAAUAUUAAUAUUAUUAGUUAAUAUAUUUUUAUAAUAAUUUUUAAUAUAGUUAUUAUAAUUAAUUAAUUUUUUUUACAAUUAAUUAAUAUAUUAGUUAAUAAUAAUUAUGACAAUAAUCCAUUAAGUACUUUUUAGUAAUUUGUUACAAUCUAAUUCAUUCCGAUUCCGAUUUCAAGACAAAGUAAACACAUUAAUGGCAAUUUAGCUCAUUCUGAUUUUGAUUCCUACAGUUCAAGUAAACAACUUAUUUUGAUUCCUAUUACAUAUUCCCAUUCCAACCCAUUCUCAUUUCUGUCCAUUCUCAUUUCUGCCCAUUCCGAUUUUAGCUCAUUCCGAUUUCAGUUUAGUAAACGCAGUAUAAGAGUUAUCAUGAAAAUCAUACAAUUCAAUUUCCUGAAAUAUAUAUUUUAUUCACAUGUGCCAAAAGAAUAAAUAGAUAGAAAGUAAAUUUACAAUCCUCACUCCCUCACAAUUGUUAAAGUGAAUAUGCAUUACAACUGUGAACUGUCACUACUUUAGCCCUUUUUUUUUUUUCAAUUAUAGUGUGAUGGAGACAGUGAACAUUAAGGAUAAAGUGCUCUGCUGAAAGCCAAACUUCCUUUGGCUAAUUAAUUUAGAAGUAAAGCAGAGAAUAAAGUCCUAGAUGCCUUCUGAAAUUAGAAAUACAUUUUAUAUGCUUUAAUUAUGAUUAUUUGGCAGACUAAAGACCUAAAAGAUAUGUCAAAAGUAUGAAACAGAGAGAUUAAAGAAAAAAGAAAAAAAAAAAAAAACAGAGUAUUUGUGACGUAGAAUAACAAUUGGUAAAUAAAUCCUAAAUAUUUGAGUUGUUAAAAGCAAAUAUAACAGAGACGGUAAGAGAGAUGCAGAAACAGAAAACUAUUAGCUUAUCUUGAUUUUCCCACUAUAUUCAUUUUCGAUGCUUUUCAAUCGAGAUUCUUUUAAUUCUUCUGGUGUCUGCAGCCCCGGCUCUUCUUAUAAAUCUCCAUCCCACAUCUGCACUACGAACAAGUUGACUGAAAUUAAAUAAUGUUGGAGAUGAGGGGUGAGCCGUCAACUUGUUAAAAAAAACUCAUGUAUAAUAUUAUCAAUAAUAUAAAAUAUAUAAUAAUUGUUACAAAGAAUCAUAAAUUAGAAAAAUUAAUUAUUUUACAAUCUAUUUCUUAAGUAAGAUAAAUCUUGUAAUAAGUUAAGUUAUAACGUAAAAAAUAUUUUCAAUUUAUAAUCAUUUAAGAAGUCAUUUAACAAUAAAAUCUUUCUUUUGAUCAUGUGGGCAUGCCAUAGAGUAUCAUCUAUAUUCGUGAUGAUAUUAUUAUUACUCAGUAUCCUAAAAAAAACACGAUUUAACAUUUAGAGAAAAUUCCUGCCUUUUAAAAAGAACAUGUAUGCAAUAGCUAGCCAUACUUUAUUUUACCACAACAAAAUUGAUGGUGAUUAAAUCAAUUUUCUCAAUUAAAGCAAAAUUUUAAAAAUUGAUUUAAUGCACAAAUAUGAUGAGUUUUUGUAAAAAUUAGUUUUGGAAAAUAUAGUGAGAGAAAAUGGUGACGAUUAUUUUCAGAUGUGCAAAUAGCCUAAACAUAAUCUCUAAUACCAAUAUCCAUGUGCAUCUUAAUACCUUUCAUGAUAUUCUUUCAUUCAUGGCCAUUUGUUCAAGAUUUGAAUUUGAUUAUUAAAUCAUGUUCAAUAAUGUUAGAGAUCCCAACAAUUGAAUACCAACUUAAAUCCCAAUGCUAUGUGUCAUUAACAAAUGUUGUGUCAUUUAUAAUUAUUGAAUGAAUAAUUCGUUAAUUUAUUGAUAAAUAAAAAUUUAUUAAUUUAAAGAGAGAUACUUCUUCUUUUUUUGUUUUAAGAAGAGUUUUGUUGGUACAUGUACAUACUUAUAAAGAAAUAAACUUGUAAUUAUACUAUAUCUUUCUUUCUUUGUUCAGUUUGGUGGGAUAUUGUGAUAAAUCAUUGGAUUAAAAUACAUUUCUAAAUUAAAACUUGUUAAAAUCUAAUUUAUUUGGGAAACGCAUAUUAUUUGUCAGUUGUACUUCUCAACUUAGCAAGUUAUUUCUAACUUGUCAGUCUCUAUUGGUUCUCUAAAAGCUAAUAGUCUCGAAUCUCCCGCAUUUGAUAUCUUGCCAUUACUGUUGGCAUUUGUUAAGUAUAGCUGAAGCUGGUGACGUGUAUAAGCUGCUGAUGAAGCUGCUGAGUUGGCUGGCUGGUGAUGUGUAUAAACUGAAGGUGCUGAGCUGGAUUGGGUUGUUGUUCACACCAACUAAAGAUGUAACAGAUUAUCCAGCUGGCUUGUUAUGAUUGGAAGUUAGAUUAGUUUGUUAAUACAGCAAACAAUGAGCUCUGUUUUGGUAGUUAGUUUUGAGUGUAACUAUAAAUACUGGCUAACAUGUUUUCAGUGUUAAGCUUGAGUUUUAAUCAAUAAAAAUCAAUUCAGUUAAAGUUUCUUUGUUAACUUUCUUUCACUUUCUCACUUGCCAAACAACCUAUUAAUUCUAAAAUGGUAUCAGAGCUUGCACCUAUGUCAGGAUCUAAUCAUAUAGCUUCCUCAUCACUUUCAUUCAAUUUUGUUCAACCUAUAAAACUCGAUAGAUCAAACUACUUGGUGUGGAAAGCUCAAGUUAGAACAUCGAUCAUUGCUAAUGGACUUGAGAGCUUCAUCAAUGGUGAGAGUGUAUGUCCAAAAUGUUAUCUCAUUGAUUCUAUUCAAGAACUUCAAAGAUCUGGAGCUGAAACAUCACAGAAGCAGGAAAAUCCAGAGUAUAUCUUAUGGAUGAAAACUGACAAACUUCUGCAGAGCUGGAUGCUUUCGUCAAUGGUGGACAAUGUAUUAAUCAUGGUGAUCAAUUGUGAAACAUCACUUGAACUUUCGGAGAUGCUUGCUAGAAUCUUCAUGUCACAAUCCAAAGCGAGAUAUCUGCCUUUGAAGAUGCAGAUUCAAUCAACAAAUAAAGGAUCUCUCUCCAUCAGUGAUUACUUCAAAAGGAUGAAGAAAAUUGCUGAUAGCUUGGCCAUUGGAGGUAAUCCAAUUACUUCGAAUGAACUGAUUAUUCACUUGCUUACUAGAUUGGAUGAAAACUAUGAAUCCAUAGUCACAAAUAUACUUACUAGACUGGAAAAAGAGAGACUUACUGCUGAAGAGGUGUACUCUAUGUUACUUAGUCAUGAAACUAGGUUGGAAAUGAGCAAAGGAAAAUCACAUAAUGAACCUCUGCAUGAUAUGACAUCAAAUUUUGCUCAGAAAGGCCAAGGUUAUAAUACUGGUCCUGGAAGAGAUGUUGUGUGUCAAAUCUGUUACAUUCCAGGCCAUGGAGCUUAUAAGUGUAAACAUAGAUUCAAUCAAGGGUUUAUUCCUAGAAACAAAGGCUUUGGUGGUUUCAGGCCAAGAGGUGGAGGUCAGAAUUAUAGAGGAUUCCCUAGAAAUAAUCAGAAUUAUUUUGGUAGAGGUUCUGGAUACAAUAGUUCUGCUUUUGGAUCUGGAUUCAGACCUAACUUUCCCAGGCAAGCCGGACCUACUGGACCUUUCUUUGGCUAUGUUGCCUAUCAGAAUCCAGGAUUCAUGAAUCCUCAAGGUGCCUUUGACUUUCCAAGUGCAAAUGGUGAUUAUACUGGUGUUCCAACAGCAAACAUGUAUGUUGGAAAUUAUGGCAUUCCUCAUAAUGUCUCUCCCUCUGCACAAUUGGCAAACUUCAGCAAUGUAGCUGAUUCAGCCUGGUACCUUGACUCUAGAGCAACAAAUCACAUUGCUCAAGAUGCAGGUAUACUUUCUAAGUGCUCAACUUACCAUGGCCUUGAAAAACUACAUGUAGGAAAUGGUAUGGGGCUGCCUGUUCAUAAUGUUGGUUUUGUUGCUGUUAAAACCUUGACUACAACACCUAUAUACCUAAAUCAUGUUCUGCAUGUCCCUAAAAUUACUAAAAACCUUAUCAGUGUUUCCAAAUUGCUUGCUGAUAACAAUGUUUUUAUUGAGUUUUACAACCAUGUUUGUUUUGUUAAGGACAAGAAUUCAAGAAUCACAUUGCUCAAGGGGAUUGUUAGAGGAGGUCUUUAUCAAGUUUCAAGCUUAAAUACAGUCUGUGAUAACUCCAGUUCAGUGUUCCCAGUGUCAACCACUUCUGAGUUUGUUUUUACUUCAAUAAGUACAUUCCCAGCAACUCCAGUGUCUAUGUUUACUCAACUAAGUUCAUUUGAUACUAAGUUUCACUCUUGUAUGCUUGUAAAUAAUUCUCAAAUCAAUAAGAAUGUCCCUGUGGCUCACUUUGCUUCAUAUAACAAGCCUAUUGAUUAUAGUUUACUGCACAAAAGAAUGGGUCAUCCAACUACUCAUGCUUUAAAACAGAUCAUGAAAUGCCUGAACUCAAAUUUUAUUCUUCCCAAAGAUUUCACAACACAGUUCUGUGAUGCCUGUCAACUAGGCAAGUGCCAUACGCAGCAUUUUCCCUCCAUAGAAACUUCAACCACUCAGCCCCUUGAAUUACUACAUGCUGACCUUUGGGGACCAGCUCCCAUUACCUCUUCACAAGGUUACACCUACUAUCUAUCUAUCUUAGAUGACUACACUCGAUACACUUGGAUUUUUCCUCUCAUUGCCAAAUCCAAAACCUUGUCAGCCUUUAUUGAAUUCAAAAACAUGAUUGAAAACUGCCUGAACUUGAAAAUUAAAUGUUUACAAACUGAUUGGGGUGGAGAAUUCAGGCCUUUUGUGUCAUAUCUUUCUAACCAGGGUAUACAAUUUUGACAUCCCUGCCCUUAUAUCCAUCAUCAACAUAUUACCUGAGAUUGGGAUUCAUUAAAAUCCUCAAUGUAAUCGGUGGAACGAAUGGAUUUCUUCUGUUCACCAAUCCACCAAAAUUUCUGUAAUUAAAUUCAAGAGUCAAGAUCUAUGCUUAUAAUCUAUUCAACAGCUAAUAUUCUAUUUUAUAUUUACUUAAAUAUGAAGAGCUAUGCUUGUCAUUAACUUCAAAUGUGAUCGAAGCAGCCUUACAUCUGUAUAUUACGUAUUCCCAACUUUUUUUUGACUUCAUUUACUUUCUUUUCAUGUUAUUUACUCUUUUUUCCCCCUCUCUGACAAUUGAGGUAGGGGGUCAAACUUGAAAGUAUCUUAAAAUCAAACAAUUUUUUUUUUAAGAUAGCUGCUAAUAUGCUCUAUUAGACAAUGAUAAGUAAUAACCUAGUUGUUUGCAUUAGAAAUGAUAUUUUUUGUGGUGCUGAUAAAGAGGUUGAUUAUGAUUCAACAAUUUAAAAUAUGAAAACAUGUGGAAGACGGCCGCAAUUAAAUUGAUUGUAUGAAAAUAUUUCAAUGAAAUUUUAAAAAUUUAGUACUUGUUAUCUUAUCGAGAGUUUUUUAAAUUUUUCUACUUGAACUUGACUGCUUUUGUAUUGAAUUCCUAGCGUUGCCAUUGCUUCUACUCAAAAGCCAUUUAGUUACUCAUGAAUUGUUGUUCAUAAUAGCAAUUUGAUUGAAAGUGCGGCUGCACUAAUUUUCUAGAUGAAUUUUUUCCUACAUGCUUGUUCUCGUAUGACCCAAAAUCCUGCUACAUCAGUUGUAUUAGAAAUUAAUCAACUGGGUUACAAUUAUGCAUCCCCACCAAUAUUUAAGCAAUUUAAUUACAGAAACAUUUCUUGAGGAAAGAAACUCAUAUCGCCACUAGGCUUUUAAUGAGGCUCAUUUUUAUGAAUCUGGAUGGCAUUAGAUAUCUCUCCGAAUAUUGGUGGGAGUAGAUAUGCUACAAAGUGUAUGUACGUUGACUCUCAAUAAAUACAAACGAUUCUCUGAUCUGAUUCAAAACAUCAGUACAUGCAUCAUUUUAAUGAGAAAGAAUAUUCUAAGAACGAAAUUGAAGGUGCAAUCAGCAGCUAAAAUGAAGCCAGAAAUGUACACGCAUGAGGAAGUUUUCCAAGAAGAUUGAUAUUUCUUUGACUAGCAAACCAUACAAGUCCAAAGCUAGCUAAACCAUACCUGCAAGUCGGGGGUUUAAAUGGAGUACUUCUAAGCAUAAAACAUUGAUUAAAACAGAAUACACACAUACAUACCAGCAAAUUCAAUAUAGCAAAAGGAGUGCAAAAGUUCAAGUUUGUAGACAACAUUGCAACCAUGGCAUGUUUAUAGCAAAUCCUCGAAAUCUGCUAAAUAAAACAAUGCCCUGUCUCAUGAAUCAAUGCUGAAUUAAAAUUGAAACUGAAAGUCUGGCUGGCGGUGUUUCCCUCUCCAAUUUUGCCUACAUAAGUGAAAAUAAGAAUAAUAAAUGGAAAUCUGCUUUUACAGUUCUUAUUAGAUAGAUAUAAAGGGAUCUUUCUUUGUUUCUCUGCUGUAAUUUGUGGCUAUGCCACUCUGUUUUUCCAGUCAAGCUGAGUCUACGUUGAGACAUAAUUUUGACAUCAGAAGCAACCUCAAUUAGUUUGGCAUUUUCAUGACCUCCUUGAAGGUUUUAUGAUAAACAUAAAUCCACUGAGAAAGUGGGAAAAAAAGAAAAUGCAUAUAAAAGUAUGAGUUAUCAGAUAAGAUUAAAACUCACCCAAUUCAAUCCAUCAGAUUCCGUAAGGAUAUAACUGGAUGUCAUACCGCCACUCCAUAUCCUCGAAAGUCCGUAGUCCUUGUCUCAACUGUGUCUGGGGCCAGUGUAAGUCCAAUUUGCGCAAGCUCUUUAUGCACCACAGCUCUUCUGGAAGCUUUCUCAAGUAAGCACAUGGGUUGACAAUUAAGCUUUCAAGUUUCGGCAUUGCUCCAGCCGCCAUCGUCCACUCAUCUAGCCAAUACAUUGAUUUCAGGUGCAAAACCUUAAGUUCGGGAAAGCUACUCAAGCCAACACAAGCAAGCUUUCUUCCUAAAUACGAGUUCUGCUUCAGUUUCAGCACUCGAAGGCGUGGAAGAUUUUCCAGAAUUGGCAUGGGAUCCUCCAUUAGCUCAGUAUUUGAUAAGCUCAGUUGGAUCAGACUUGGGGGAAAUUGGUAUUCAGACAGGACCAUCCGUGAGGGCUUGCUCUCAUUCACCAGCUUCAAGCAUUCAAGUUUGUGGAGUUCGCAAAGGCUUUUGGAAACCCCAGAUUGAUAGUAACUCAAAUCUCCAGAUAUCCGAAGAGUCCGAACACUAGGUAGUCUGCCCAAUAUAUCAGGAGUACAACUACUAGGGUUUAAAGCUGAUAUGAAAAUGAGAUUUUUCAGAGAGCUAGAAUAAUUUUUUGGAGGUGCGGGCAGAGUGAUGCAACCGAAGUUUAGAUGCAUGAGUUUUUGCAUCAUCCAAAUAUCCUCUGGUGACUGAUCUAUGUAGCUAGAUGGCAUUUCUAGUGUUUCAAGGUUUAAAAGGGUGCAUAGCAGUGAAGGAAGGCAUUUGAGCGAAGGGAUAUUCAAUUUCAAAUACUUCAAAAGAUAUAAAUUUUCUAAUCCGGGUGGAUAUUGGUCCAGGACUGCAGAACCCAUGUUCAAUACCCGAAGGUAUUUGAACCUUUUAAAAAAAUUCUCGCAAUCUUUCGGAUUAAGAUGAUUGCUUUUUGAACUGUGAUUCAGAAAAGAUUGGAGACACAUGUCAGAAUGUUCUAAAGAAAAGAACUCAAUCAGAUCAUCGUCAAUGACGCACCGUUUAACAUUUGCCACUGAUUCCUCUUCCACGUCAUGCAUCCAGACAAAUCCCGUCUUCAUUGCCACAAUAUACAAUGAAGUGUAUACAAAACUUGGAACAUAACACGCUUUAAUUGUGCCUCUGGCUCUUCUCUUACUCACUUGAAUGAAGCCGCGAUGGAUUAGUUCUUUCAAGUAAUGUUCGGCAGUUUCUUCACCGUUGUAUGGUAUGAAACCUUCAGCUACCCACAACUGAUAUAAUUGCUCCGUAGAUAUCUCAAUACUUGGAGGGAAGACAUACAAAUAGAUGCAGCAGACUUUCAAGUGAAAAGGCAACUCCAUCACAGAAAAAAUUUGUCUCCAAACUGUCAGAACCACUUCGCCUUGAAGAUAAUUUUCUAAUGGCAUACUUCCAUAGUGUAGGAUGAAAAAUUGCCAGGCCUCAUGCUUUAAUCUGAUCAAUGGUCCUCCAAAGAGCACUGAAUCACGCCGAAUCUUCUCUUCAUUUUCCAUUUCCAACGACGCAAUGAGGCCCGGAUCAGUGACUGUUAUCAAUACUCUGCUUCCAUUCUCAUCACCAGGAAGAAGUUCUUCGAGAUCACUCCAUAUCUCACUGUUAUCGAAGACAUCAUCAAGCAAAAUAAAGUACUUCUUGUUUGUUAGGUAAUCUCGAAGAAUAGAUUUCUUCAAUUGAUAAUCUUCACCGAUAAUUACACUAACCCGAGAUGGAGGCAUCACAGACUUGAUUAUGUCAUCCAACAUCUUGCCAAAAUCAUAGAAUAUAGAAACCCUGACCCAAGCAAGACAGUCAAAAUAGAACUUGACAUGGUUAUUAUUGUAAGUAUCUUCUGCAAAAGCAGUCUUAUCGAAGCCACUGCUGUCGAGAAUUGUAACCACUGCAAGCCGAGGGCGUCCUUCAAUCAAUAAAUCAAACAACUCCUCCCUGCCCCUUUCAAAUUCAUUGAUAUCAAGCCGAGGUUGUCCCUCACUCAAUAGGUGAAUGAUUUCGUUACUUUUUUUACUGAUAUCAAAACCAUUGUCGCCGGGUGGAAGUUGUUGCAUCCGAUUACUAAUAUCAAUGAUUUUACUGUGGAGACCAGCAAGAAGAGCCAUAUUAGUACUGCUUUCACUUUCGUUUUCACUGUUUUGCUGCUGCAUAAUGUUGAUGAAGAAUGUGUCAAUGGCUUCCUCAGAUUCAUGGACAAAGUCAUUGAUGUCCUUCACAAUGCCCAAAAGGUCCGCUCUUUCAACUUCUUCUUCAUCGCUUUCUUCUAAGUCCAACAGUUGCAAAAAAGGCAAAGAUAUUUUGGAGUCAUCGAAUUCUUCUCUAAUGAGUUGAAAGAAAUGCCGAGCCAUGUCAGCUUCAUAUUUUCCCAGCAGGGUAGUAGCAAUAAUUUCGGACUCCGUAAGAAGGUUUUGAAAAAGUGGGGUUAAAUUUGUUGAAUCAGGCAGCGUUAACGGGCCUUCUUCACCUGCUAACACCCUUUUCAACCUCUCACAAAACAGUCGGAGGUGGAAUUCCAGCAUAUCUCCUUCUCUCCGUAGCACUCAGAGGUAUAGCUGAAAGAUUAAACACCAUGGAAGAAUUUGAAAGGAAAAUGCCAAGACAUUAUUGCUCAUUUUUUAACUCAAAAGAUUGAUACGCGUUCAUUUAGAGAAAAGUCCAAGACGCGUGCCUUUUGAAAAGAACAGGUAUCCCAAUCGGUAUCCGACCGAUAUCUUAUUAAAUUACAACCAUGACAUAAUUGAUGGUGCUUAAAUCAAUUGUUUCUUUUUUAAUUUAAAGAAUUUUUCAUUAAAAAAAUAUUUUAAUAUCAAAUUGCUUUCAGUGGCGUAACUGCCUCAAGCCCAGUAACAGGACUAAUUAAAAAUUUUACAAUUUUUGGGCAUGGAAAUAGUAGUAUUAAACAUUAGAAAGGUAAGGUCGUUCUGUUAAAGAAUUGAUAUUGACAUAAUUUUUUUUGGUUUUCGGGGGAAAAAAAAUUGUUGACAAGCAAGAAAAUAUUUUUAUAUUUUAUAAUUUAUUAUACAUAUUUUAUCUUAUUAAAGUAAUUUUAAUAAUAAAUAGAAACAUAAUAUUACGAUAAAUAAAUUAAAGUUGAACUUAUUUUGAAUAUUAUAAAAAAUAAUUUUAAUAUUAUUAAUAGGAAGACAUUGUAUUAAUUUUAAACUUUUUUAACCCAAAGGUUUAUUUAAAAUCUUUAUUAGAAAUACAAAUAUAAAAUUAAAUAUCAUAAUUUAAAAUUUUUAAUAUUAUUUUAAGUAUUAAAAAUAUUUUAAUGUUAUUAGUCUACUACAUAGAUCAUAUUACUUAUAUAAUAUUUGUAUUAUUAAAAAUUGUUAAAAUCAAAUUUUUAGUUAGUAUAUUCAUGAGCUAUUAUGGUUAAAAAAAAAAAGACCUUAUUAUUACUUUUUUAAAAAUUGAGGGCCUGCGUGAUAAUUUUUUCAAAAAGAAAAUGCUUGGUAUGUAGGAGGGGUACAGAAACAGGACUCCCAAAAUCUCUCACCCUUUUUUAAUUAAAAAAAAAAAUUAAAAUAUCAAUAAAAAGUAAUAAAGAAAAUAGAAUUUUAUCUGCUCCUUACUCCAUUUUUGCAACUCUCUCACCAUCCCUAUCGAGCAGCCCUCUCUCUCACUGUCUCACUCACACAGUCCUUUUCACGAUUUGAAAUUCUUUGGCCCUCUGCAUUACAAGAAAUUAACGCUUUGGUUCUCCCAAGGGUAGAUUGGUUUUAUUGGGAAGCUAUUAAUUUUUUUUUUUUUUGAAUACUGAUUAAUCAUCAGAUUACUGCAUUACACAGAUAUUUACAACAACUGCUAUUGUAGCAGAGAUAUUAUACUGAUAUUUACAAUCAGAUAUACAUAAUUGGGACUUAUAUUAUGACAUUGAAUUCUAUGAAGUACAUGCCCAAACAAAUAACCCCUCACAGGAGAGGGAUGUCCAUACUCCACUCGCAUUUCGCAAGGGAGAAUGAUUUUUUGGAAGUAUAAAGAACAUUUAGCCCCCACAAUACUUUUGUGGGGGCUAGAACCGCUGCAGCAUUGUGAGGGCAGCAGCCCACCACUUCGGCCUUGGCCGAAGUGGCGGGAAGCUAUUAAUUAGAAGGAGGAAAAAGGACUAUAUUUAGAAUAUGAUUUGUUGGAGAAUCUCAGAGUUAGUCAAUUUUCAAGCCACACUUUCAAUAGCCAAUUGAUUUAGUAACCAUUAAUUACUUUAAUUUCCAUAAAUUGUAAUGACAGUGCAAAUGCAUCUGGUUGUGAUAGCUAAGGGUUAGCUUGAAGAAUUAAAUUUCAUAAGAUAUUACUGGAAAAUGCUUUGCAGAUAACGUGCUGCUUCCUUUGCUAGACUACAAUUUCAAAAAUCUCACGAGUUUUCCAUUGUUGUCACAAACCGAGAAAUUAUAAAAUACAUGGCCUGGUUCUUUGGCAAUGACCAUCUCAUCGUCGGCGGUCGUGUCGUCAUUGUCACUGUUCUUGCUCGACCGAGACAGUGAGAGAGAGGUUUGUUAGAUGGAGUUAGUGAGAGAGAGUUGUAAAGAUGGAAUGAUGAUAAAAGGAUUCUAUUUGUUUUUAUUGUUUUUUAUUAAUAUUUUAAUUUUUUAAAUUAAAAUGUGCUGCCGUUUCUCUAGCCUUUUUAGCUGCUUAACUUAACAGUAUUCUUUUCAAAAUUUAAGAAUGUAGUAGGUGUCCUUUUCUCUAAUAAUUUAUUUCAUUUUUAGGGAAUCCAAUGAGAAAUAUGAUAAAAGAACGUCAAUUACUUGUCGUUUUCAAUUUUUUCUAUAAGCUAUUUAUUUUGAGCAUUAGUGAUCUUGUCUGGACUACCCCAAUUAUUGACGUAACUCCAGUGGCUGCAUCCACUGGAAAAAGUGGAUGAGACCAUUUUUUUUUUCAUAAAGGUAACUACUCCAAUUAUUGACAUAAUUGAUGGUGCUUAAAUCAAUUUUUUCUUUCUUUUUUUUAAUUUAAAGAAUUUUGCUUUAAAAAAUAAUUAAUAUCAAAAUGCCUUCAAUGUUGUUACCGCCACAAGCCCAGUUAGAGGACUCAUUAAAAAUUUUAGAAUUUUUAGGCCUGGAAAGCAUAGUAUUAAACAUCAGAAAGCAAAGGUUGUUAUGUCGAAGAAUUGAUGUCGACAAAAUUUUAAUUUUGUUUUCGGAAAAAAAAAAAAAUUUUGUUGACAAGCAAGAAAAUAUUUUUUAUACUUUACAAUCUGCUAUACAUAUUUUAUCAUAUUAAAGUAAUUUUAAUAAUAUAUGGAAACAUAAUAUUAUAAUAAAUAAAUUAAAAUUACUUUGUAUUAUUGAAUAUUACAAAAAGAUAAUUUUAAUAUUAUUAAUAGGAAAACAUUUUUUAAUUGUAAAAUCUUUUUAAUACAAAAAUUCGUUUAAAAUCUUUAUAAUAAAUACAAAUAUAAAAUUAAAAAAUAUCAUAAUUUAAAAUUUUUAAUAUUAUUUAAAUAUUAAAAAUACUUUAAUGUUAUUAGUCUACUACAUAAAAUAUAUUAUUUAUAUUAUAUUCGUAUUGAUUAAAACGUUUUAAAGUCAAAUUUUUAAUUAGUGUAUUCAAAGGUACAAAAGAUUUAAGUAUUAUUUUUUAAAAAUUUCAAGAUACGAAUGAUAAUUUUUUCAAAUUUUAAAGAUGUAAAAAUCUUUUUUUCUGAUAAUUUAUUUCACUUUUGAGAGAAUCCGAAAACGUUAAUUUAACAUUCUUUACCUUUGUAAAAAAAGUGAAAAUCAAGAACUAUUCAAUUUUGUUUUUAUUUGUAAUUCAAAAACUUUAUUCAUUUUCGAUGCUUUUCAAAAGAGAUUCCUUUAAAUGUCUGCAGCUCCUGCUUUUCUCAUAAAUCUCCAUCCCACAUCUACACUAUCAAGUAUCAAACAAGUUGAUGGAAAUUCUUAUAAAAAAAAAAAAAAAAUUGAUGGAAAUUGAUCAAUUGCUUUUUGAAGUGGACCCAUUGAGUCAUGUUCAUUUCUGGUCAUUGUCUACUCUUUCUAUCAGCCAUUUAUUUUGACCAUUUGCGAUCUUAUCUGGACCUACUCCAAUUAUUGUUGUAACUCCGAUGGUUGUAUCUACAGUGGAAUGUAAGAUAGUGAAAGCUCUUUCUUUGAGAAAAUAGAGGGACCUUUCUCUGUUUCUCCGUUGCAACGUGCUCGUAUAAAUUUCUCUACCUUACAGUUUAUACGGUCUUGCUGUUAAUGAAUUCGCUGAGGCAUUAUUGAUCCAAUCUGAGUGAAGUAAUUGUGGGUGAAAAAUAAAUAAAGGAUAUGAGAACGUAGCUGAAGUGCUGAAGGGGCUAUUAAAGAAGAGUGUCACUUGAUCACAAUCACAUUGAUGCACAACUCACUCGUGGCAAAUUUCGACUAUACGUUCUGCAAAUUCAGCCAAACCAUACAUGCAUGAACAAAACUAAAAUGUAGUUCUAAUCACAACUGCAGUUAUGAUGUUUACCUCUCUGAUUUUUCUCCAAAACAAAUUCAGUUCAAAACAAUAAUCAAAAUAGCCACAUUUUGUUCGUCAAAAUAAAUGCCCAAAUUUUCAAUUAACAAAUCAUCUUCUCUAAACUAAAAAGCCCACAUCUCUAAAAUCAAUCUACAUAAUGUUGGAGAUGAGGGUUGAAUUGUUAACUCAGUAAAAAAAAAAAAACUCAUGCAUAAGAUUACUAAUAAUAUAAAUUAUAUAUUAAUCAUUAUAAAGAAUCAUAAAUUAGAAAAAUUAAUCAUUUUAUAAUUUAUUACACAAGUAAGAUAAAUCUCAUAAUAAGUUAUAACAUAAAAAACGUUAUCAAUAUAUAAUCAUUUAAGAAGUCAUUUAACAAUAAAAUCGUUCUUUGAUCAGUUGGCCAUGUCACAUAGUAUCAUCUAUAUUUAUGGUGAUACUAUUAUUACUCAGUAUUCUCAAAAAACAUGAUUUAACAUUUAGAGGAAAUUCUUGCCUUAAAAAAAAAACAUGUAUGCAACAGCUACCCAUGCUUUAUCUUACCAUGACAAAUAUUUUCUCAAUGAAAGAAAUUUUUUAAAAAAUUGAUUUAAUGCACAAAUAUGAUGAUUUUUGCAAAAAUUAGUUUUGGAAAACAUAGUGAGAGAAAAUAGUGACGAUUAUUGUUUAAAUGUAUAAAUAGCCUAAACAUAAUCCUUAAUACCAAUAUCCAUAUGCAUCUUAUCAUCUUUCAUGAUAUUCUUUCAUUUAUGUCCAUUGGUUCAAGAUUUGAAUUUGAUCAUUAAAUCAUGUUCAAUAAUAUUAGAGAUUCCAACAAUUGAGUACCAACUUAAAUCCCAAUGUUAUGUGUCAUUGACCAAUUUUGUGUCAUUGACCAAUUUUGUUAUUAACUAGGUGAUGAAUUUCUAGUUGAUAAAAUCACUUAAAAAUAUCUUAAAAAUUAGACAAUAGUUUGCUUAAUUUUUCCAAGUUAACUGCUCAAGAUGCUCUAUUAGAAAUGAUAACCUAAUUAUAUACAUAAAAAAUGAUGGAAAUUGAACAAUUGCUUUUUGAAGUGGACCCAUUGAGUUAUGUUCAUUACUGGUCAUUGUCUAUUCUUUCUAAGAGCCACUUGUUUUGAGCAUUAGCAAUCCUAUCUGGACUACUCCAAUUAGGAUAGUGUUAGUUCUUUUUUGAGAAUUUCUUUAUUUGUUUCUCCGUUGCAGCGUAUUAGUAUAAAUUUCUUUACCUUACAGUUCCUACAGUCUUCCUGUUAAUGAAUUCGCUGAGGCAUUAUUGAUCCAAUCUCGGUGAAGUAAUUGUGGGUGAAAAAAAAAAAAAAGGAUAAGAGAACGUAGCUCAAGUGCUGAAUUGACUAUUAAAGAAGAGCGUCACCUGAUCACAAUCACAUUGAUGCACAACUCACUCGAGGCAAAUUUCAUCUAUAAAUAAAAGAUCCCUUACUAUUCUCUUAACCCUGAGUUUUGAGAUAGAAAUUUCCCGAACUCCAACCCCACAUCCACAGACAAGUUGAUUGAAACAAUUGCUCUUGUAAUUAAGAGGAUGGGUUAGGGUUCAGUUCUUAUCAUUGUCUGUUAUUUCUUUGAAUCAUUAUCUUAAUUAAUUACAUCAAUUGUUUCUUUUUUUUAAUUUAAAGAAUUUUUCUUUAAAAAAAUAUAUUUUAAUAUCAAAAUGCCUUAAAUGGUAUUACUGCCGCAAUCCCAGUAACAGGAUUAAUUAAAAAUUUUAGAAUUUUUGGGCAUGGAAAGAGUAGUAUUAAAUAUCAGAAAGCUAAGGUUGUUCUGUCAAAGAAUUCAUAUUGGCAUAAUUUUAUUUUUGCUUUCGAGUAAAAAAAUAUAUAUAUAUAUAUUUGUUGACAAGCAAAAUACUGUUUUUAUAUUUUACAAUCAGUUAUACAUAUUUUAUCAUAUUAAAGUAAUUUUAAUAAUAAAUGGAAACAUAACAUUACAAUAAAUCAAUUAAAGUUUAAAUUAUUUGGAAAAUUAUAAAAAAUAAUUUUAAUAUUAUUUAUAGGAAGAUAUUUUGUUUAUUGUAAAAUCUUUUUAACCCAAAGGUUUAUUUAAAAUUGUUAUAAUAAAUAAAAUAUAAAAACAAAAUAAAUAUCAUAAUUUAAAAUUUUAAUAUUAUUUUAAAUAUUAAAAAUACUUUAAUGCUAUUAGUCUACUACAAAGGUUAUAUUACUUAUAUUAUAUUUGUAUAAAUUAAAACUUUUAAAGUUAAAUUUUUAAUUACUAUAUUGAAAAGGUAUUAUGGUUAAAAUAUGUUUUGGCAUUUCUUUUUAAAAAUUUGAGGGUCUGCAUGACAAUUUGUCCAAAUCCUAGAGGUAUAGGUGUCUUUUUUUUUCGAUAAUUCAUUUUACUUUUGAGGGAAUCCGAUGAGAAAUAAGAUAAGAGAAACGUCAAUUUAACGUUCUCUAUGGAAAACCAAGAACUAUUCAAUUUUGUAUUUUUUGUUUGUAAAACGAAAAACAGUUUGCCAAAAAAGGUACCAAACAUAUCCUUAAUGUCUCACAUGAUUUCUUAUUAAGUCCAUACUCGAUAUAUUUAUACAUUUUAGGUAUUUUAGUUAUAAAAGAAGUUGGUCCUCCCUCUAUUUAUAAAAGGUAACUUUAUUUCGAGAUUACCACUAAAGUCUUACAAAGAAUUAGUGUAAUGUUAACAGAGAGUAACAUAGUUUUCCAUUACCAUUUUGAAAAUAGAAAGAUAUGGAUGUGUGCAUUUAAUGGUGUGUUUACUUACCGGAUUGAGGAAUCAGAAUCUGGAAUUAGAAUGAUUGAUGGUGUUUACUUCGCAAAUAUGGAGCAGGAAUCGGAACUGGAAUGGUGGGGCCCACCACUAUUUGGGAAUGAGAGAUUGAUUCCCAUGGGGGAAGGUGGGAACGAGUCUCCCAUUCCCUGGACUGACCAUUUUGCCCUCCCUCAAAAUUAAAAAUGCCUACUUUGUCCUCUUUUAUAAUUAAUUAAUAUAUAAAUAUUUUAAUAACUAUAAUUAUUAAAAAUUAUAGUUCUUGAAUAAAUAAUCACAAUAAUUAAUUUAUUAUUUUUAUUUUUAUUUUAAUUAAUUAAUAUACUAUUAUAAUAAUUAUAAAUAUAAUUAAUUUAUAUAUUAUUAUUAUUAUUAAUGAAUUAAUAUAAUUAUUACUAUUAAUUAAUAUAUUAAUAUAUUAUUAAAAAUAAUAUAUUAAUAAUUAUUGUUCGUGAACAAAUAAUCACAAUAAUUAAUAUACUAUUAUUUUAAUUAAUUAAUAUAAUUAAUUUAUAUAUUAUUAUUAUUAUUAAUGAAUUAAUAUAAUUAUUACUAUUAAUUAAUAUAUUAAUAUAUUAUUAAAAAUAAUAUAUUAAUAAUUAUUGUUCGUGAACAAAUAAUCACAAUAAUUAAUAUACUAUUAUUUUAAUUAAUUAAUAUACUAUUAUAAUAAUUAUUAAUAUAAUUACUAUAAUUAAUUCAUAUAUUAUUAUAAUUAAUUAAUUAAAUUAAUAUUAUUAAAUAAAUAAAUAAUAUAAUUAUUACUACUAAUUAGUAUAUUAAUAUAUUAUUAAAAAUAAUUAUAAUUUUUGAAUAAAUAAUCACAAUAAUUAAUAUAUUAUUUUAAUUAAGUAAUUAAUAUUAAUAUUAUUAGUUAAUAUAUUUUUAUAAUAAUUUUUAAUAUAGUUAUUAUAAUUAAUUAAAUUUUGUUACAAUUAAUUAAUAUAUUAGUUAAUAAUAAUUAUGACAAUAAUCCACUAAGUAUUUUUGAGUAAUUUGUUACAAUCUAAUUCAUUUUGAUUCCGAUUUCAAGACAAAGUAAACACAUUAAUGACAAUCUAGCUCAUUCCGAUUUCGAUUCCUACAGUUCAAGUAAACAACUUAUUUUGAUUUUCAUUACCUAUUUACAUUCCAGCCCAUUCUCAUUUCUUCCCAUUCUCAUUUCUGCCAAUUCCAAUUCCAGCUCAUUCCGAUUCCAGUUUAGUAAACGCAGCAUAAGAGUUAUCAUGAAAAUCAUACAAUUCAAUUUCCUGAAAUAUAUAUUUUAUUCACAUGUGCCAAAAGAAUAAAUAGAUAGAAAGUAAAUUUACAAUCCUCACUCCCUCACAAUUGUUAAAGUGAAUAUGCAUUACAACUGUGAACUGUCACUACUUUAGCCCCUUUUUUUUUUUCAAUUAUAGUGUGAUGGAGACAGUGAACAUCAAGGAUAAAGUGCUCUGCUGAAAGCGGAACUUCCUCUGGCUAAUUAAUUUGGAAGUAAAACAGAGAAUAAAGUCCUACAUGCCUUCUGAAAUUAGAAAUACAUUUUAUAUGCUUUAAUUAUGAUUAUUUGGUAGACUAUUGACCAAAAGACAUGUUAAAGUAUAAAACAGAGCGAUUAAAGAAAAAAAAAGGAGUGUUUGUGACGUAGAAUAACAAUUUGUAAGUAAAGUCCUAAUUUGAGUUGUCAAAAAGCAAAUAUAACAGGGAAGGUAAGAGGGAUGCAGAAACAGAAAACUAUUAGCUUAUCUUGAUUUUCCCACUAUAUUCAUUUUCGAUGCUUUUCAAACGAGAUUCUUUUAAUCCUUCUGGCGUCUGCAGCCCCUGGUCUUCUUAUAAAUUUCCAUCCCACAUCUGCACUAGGAACAAGUUGAUUGAAAUUAAAUAACAUUGGAGAUGACGGACAGAUGAGCCGUCAACUUGGUAAAAAAACUAUGUUAAUAUUGUUAAUAAUAAAAAAAAAUAUAAUAAUCAUUACAAAGAAUCAUAAAUUAGAAAAAUUAAUUAUUUUACAAUCUAUUUCGUAAGUAAGAUAAAUCUUGUAAUAAGUUAAGUUAUAACGUAAAAAAUAUUUUCAAUUUAUAAUCAUUUAAGAACUCAUUUAACAAUAAAAUCUUUCUUUUGAUCAAUUGGUCAUGCCACAGAGUAUCAUCUAUAUUCGUGGUGAUAUUAUUAUUACUCCGUAUUCUCAAAAAACACGAUUUAACAUUUAGAGAAAAUUCCUACCUUUUAAAAAGAACAUGUAUGCAACAGCUACCCAUACUUUAUCUUACCACGACAAAACUAAUGGUGACUAAAUCAAUUUUCUCGAAUAAAGCAAAAUUUCUUAAAAUUAAUUUAAUAUACAAAUAUGAUGACAUUUUGCAAAAAUUAGUUUUGGAAAAUAUAGUGACAAAAAAUAGUAAUGAUUAUUGUUUAGAUGUGUAAAUAGCCUAAACAUGAUCCCUAAUACCAAUAUCCACGUACAUCUUAACACCUUUCGUGAUAUUCUUUCAUUCAUGGUCACUGGUUCAAGAUUUGAAUUUGAUCAUUAAAUCAUGUUCAAUAAUAUUAGAGAUCCCAACAAUUAAGUACCAACUUAAAUCCUAAUGCUAUGUGUCAUUGACAAAUGUUGUGUCAUUUUUUGUUAACUGAGUGAUGAAUUUCUAGUUGAUAAAAUUACUUAAAAAUAUCUUAAAAAUCAGACAAUAGUUUGCUUAAUUUUUUGAAGCUAACUGCUCAAGAUGCUCUAUUAGAAAUGAUAACCUAAUUAUAUACAUAAAAAAUGAUGUAUUUUUUGCGGUGUUGAUAGUGAGAUUAUCAUUCAACAUGUUAAAAUAUGAAAACAUAUGGAAGAAGGUUGUAAAUUGAUUGAAUGAAAAUAUUUCAGUGAAGUCUAAAAAAUUUGGUACUUGUUAUCUUAUCGAAAGUUUUCUAAAUUACAUUCGUGGCACUGCCACUGCUUCCAUGUGAAGGUCAUUAAAAUUUGUGUUAGUUACCUAUAUGUUGAAUAAUAAUUUUAUUCAUGAAUUGUUGCUCAAUAUAGCAGUUUCUAGAUGAAUUUUCCUACAUGUUUGUCCUCAUAUGACCUAGAAUGCUGCUAUAUCAAUUGUAUUGGAAAUUAUUCAAGUGGGUUUGUGCUCUAUACCCCCACCAAAAUUUAAGCAAUCUACAGAACAUUCCUUGUGGAAAGAAACUUAUUUCGCUACUAGGUGGGAGUAGAUUUCUAAGCUAAUGCUCGGCAGAUCUCUAGGCUAUACUAAAAAGUGUAUGCACUUUGACUCUCAAUAUAUACGAGUGAUUCUAUGAUGACUGAAAACAUCAGUACAUGCAUGAUUUUAUAAGAAAGAAUAUUCUAAAAUUAUUUAUGUAUCACCAUUUGUAGUUGUACCCUCUCGAAUGAAGGUGCAAUCAGCAACUAAAAUGAAGCCCGAAAUGUACACGCGUGAGGCAGUUUUUCUAGAAGAUUGAUACUUCUCAAACUAGCAAACCGUACAAGUCCAAAGCUAGAAAAGGAGUGCUUCUAAGCAGAAAACAUUGAUUAAAACAGAAUACACACACACAUACCAGUAAAUUCAAAAUAGAAAAAGGAGUUCAACUGUUCAAGUUUGUGGACAAUAUUGCAACCGUGGCAUAUUUAUAGCAAAUCCUUGAAAUCUGCUAAAUAAACAAUGCCCUGUCUCAUGAAUCAAAGCCGAAUUAAAAUUGAAAUUGAAAGUCCGGCUGGUGUUGUUUCCCUCUCCAGUUUUGCCCACAUAAGUGAAGGGAAAUGAGAAUCAUAAAUUAAAAUCUGCUUUUACAGUUUUUUAUUAGAUAGAUAUAAAGGGAUCUUUUUUGUUUCUCUGCUGCAAUUUGUGGCUAUCCCACUCUGUUUUGCCACUCAAGCUUAGUCUACGUUGAGACAUAAUUUUGACAUCAGAAGCAACCUCAAUUAGUUUGGCAUUUUUAUGACCUCCUUGUACGUUUUACGAUAAACAUAAAUCUACUGAGAAAGUGUGAAAAAAAGAAAAUGCAUAUAAAAGUAUGAGUUAUCAGACAUGAUUAAAACUCACCCAAUUCAAUCCAUUAGAUUCCGUAAGGAUAUAACUGGAUGUCAUACCGCCACUCCAUAUCCUCGAAAGUCCGUAGUCUUUGUCUCAACUCUGUCUGAGGCCAAUGUAAAUCCAAUUUGCGCAAGCUCUUUAUGCACCACAGCUCUUCUGGAAGCUUUCUCAAGUAAGCACAUGGGUUGACAAUUAAGCUUUCAAGUUUUGGCAUUGCUCCAGCCCCCAUCGUCCACUCAUCUAGCCAAUACAUUGAUUUCAGGUGCAAAACCCUAAGUUCCAGAAAGCAACCAGAGCCAACGCAGGCCAGCUUUCUUCCUAAAUACGAGUUCUGUUUCAGUUUCAGCACUUGAAGGCUUGGAAGCUUUUCCAGCAUUGGCAUGGGAUCCUCCAUUAGCUCAGUAUUCGAUAAGCUCAGAUGGCUCAGACUUGGAGGAAAUUGGUAUUCAGACAGGACAAUCCGUGAGCGCUUGCUCUCAUUCACCAGCUUCAAGCAUUCAAGUUUGUGGAGUUCGCAUAGGCUUUUGGAAACCCCAGAGUGAUAGCAACUCAAAUCUCCAGAUAUCCGAAGAGUUUGAACAUUAGGCAGUCUGCCCAAUAUAUCUGGAGUACAACUACUAGGGUGUAAGGCUGAUAUGAAAAUGAGAUUUUUCAGAGAGCUGCAAUAAUUUUUUGGAGGUGCAGGCAGAGUGAUGGAACCGAAGUUUAGAUGCAUGAGUUUUUGCAUCAUCCAAAUAUCCUCUGGUGAAUGAUCUAUGUAGCUUGAUGGCAUUUGUAGUGUUUGAAGGUUUAAAAGGGUGCAUAGCAUUGAAGGAAGGCAUUUGAGCGAAGGGAUAUUCAAUUUCAAAUACUUCAAAAGGAAUAAAUUUUCUAAUCCGGGUGGAAAUUGGUCGAGAACUGCAGAACCGAAGUUCAGUACCCGAAGGUGUUUGAACUUUUUACAAAAAUUCUCGCAAUCUAUAAGAGCGAGAUGAUCGCUUUCUGAACUGUGAUUCAGAAAAGAUUGGAGAUACAUGUCAGAAUAUUCUAAAGAAAGGAACUCAAUCAGAUCUUCCAAAAUGAAGCACCGUUUAACAUUUGCCAGUGAUUCCUCUUCCAUGUCAGGCGUCCAGACAAAUCUCGUCUUCUCUACUACCAAAGCCAAUAACGUAUAUACAAAACUUGGAACAUAACACGCUUUAAUUGUGCCGCCGGCGCUUCUCUUACUCACUUGAAUGAAGCCGCGAUGGAUUAGUUCUUUCAAGUAAUGUUCGGCAGUUUCUUCACCGUUGUAUGGUAUGAAACCUUCAGCUACCCACAACUGAUAUAAUUGCCUCGUUGAUAUCUCAUUGCAUGAAAGGAAGACACACAAAUAGAUGCAGCAGAUUUUCAAGUGAAAAGGUAACUCCAUCACAGAAAAAAGUUGUCUCC
rnacentral:lncRNA from 1 species